AAAUAAUAUCUGACAAAUGGAAUAAUUCGAGAGGAUAACAUUAAGCUAGAACCACAAAUCUUCGAGAGAAUGGGCAUGAUUUAGGAGAAACUCUUCUUCGAUCUUCAAAUGACGAUGAGAAACACCACCAAAAUUACUGAGAUACUCCAGUUGAAUGCAAAGAGGUUGAACCAACAAUGAAAUGAUUUGAAAUCGAUCUCGGAAAGGCAUCUGACUGAUGAAAUUCAUUCUUACCUCAAACUCCGAAAAGAAUUAGGGAUGGCUCCGGAAUAAUUAGAAGAUUCAGGUCAGAUCCUGGGAAAAGACAUGUGGGUUAGGGCCCACUAAAAGAAAACAUGGUUGAAAAAGGAUUUUUGAACAGAUAGAUGAUGCACCAGAACAAUUGAAAUAUUUGAAUGAGGUGAUAACCUCGAAUUAAUUCGAACACAAGAGAAUCUCNNNNNNNNNNNNNNNNNNNNNNNNNNNNNNNNNNNNNNNNNNNNNNNNNNNNNNNNNNNNNNNNNNCGAAAGACUGAAGAGGUUCCGCAUGAAUGAAAUUGAUGUCGAAUAGAGAUGCAAACUCUCGGAAGAAAAAGGGGUGGGAGGGCGGGAAAGAUAAAGGCAACUUUGAAGGGCGAACCGACAAAUAACUUGAAAAGGCACCGGUUGAAAUAAUUGAGUAAAGAAUGCAAAGGCUUCGGACGAGUAGGAUGGAUAUUCGAUUACGGACUCCGGCUCCGAGAAGAAAAAGGGUGGGCGGGUGGGAAAAGAAAAUAACUAAGGAUUGAACUUGGCAAAGAUGAAGAGGCUCGAGUCAACUUGACGAGAAAUGCACCGGAUGAAAAGAGCUGACACACAAUGAUCGGAAAACCAACUGUGUGAUCCUAAAGAAAAAUUUGAAGGGAAGAGGAGUAAGUCAAAACACCUAUGUCAAUAUUCCUCACCAGAGCGAUGAAGUGGCUGAGGAGUAAAAAGAAUUCCUACUCUCCGAUAUAACUAGACUCCAAAAACAGUUUUCUUCUAGACUCAACAAUGGCCAACUACGAACAUUCAAGGGGGCUCCUAUGGUCGGUCGAGGCUCUGAUACCAACUUGUCACGCCCAAUAUGCAAACUCGAAAGUCCCACCAAGGAUAGAAGCGCAUAUUGGAGACGCUUUUUAAAGGUGGAUAUCAUUACAUCGUCCAUUCCAUAGUAGUUGGGGAUACAUACGAGAGGCAUACAAUGCCACAUGAAUACAACAUCACCAUACAUAAGAGCAACAUCCGACUACGGAUGAAACACAAACAGAAACUCAAACGACAUCCACCCUGCUAGCCCAGGCUGCCGACCUGGAACCUAUCCCCUGAUCGAAGAAGAAGUAGAAGAAGAACUCCAAAACAAGUAACAUCGCUCUCGCGUCAUGAUCAUCGCACUACCUGUACCUGCAACUAUUGUUGUAGUAAUCUGUGAGCCACGAGGAAUCAGCAAUCCCAUUACCAUGGGUAUCAAGACUAGCAAAUCUUAAUGGGUAAGGAAAGGAUAAGUGGUGGGGUUGCAGCAGCGACUAAGCAUUAUAUGGUGGCUAACAUACGCAAAUAAGAGAGAGAAGAGAAGAAANNNNNNNNNNNNNNNNNNNNNNNNNNNNNNNNNNNNNNNNNNNNNNNNNNNNNNNNNNNNNNNNNNNNNNNNNNNNNNNNNNNNNNNNNNNNNNNNNNNNNNNNNNNNNNNNNNNNNNNNNNNNNNNNNNNNNNNNNNNNNNNNNNNNNNNNNNNNNNNNNNNNNNNNNNNNNNNNNNNNNNNNNNNNNNNNNNNNNNNNNNNNNNNNNNNNNNNNNNNNNNNNNNNNNNNNNNNNNNNNNNNNNNNNNNNNNNNNNNNNNNNNNNNNNNNNNNNNNNNNNNNNNNNNNNNNNNNNNNNNNNNNNNNNNNNNNNNNNNNNNNNNNNNNNNNNNNNNNNNNNNNNNNNNNNNNNNNNNNNNNNNNNNNNNNNNNNNNNNNNNNNNNNNNNNNNNNNNNNNNNNNNNNNNNNNNNNNNNNNNNNNNNNNNNNNNNNNNNNNNNNNNNNNNNNNNNNNNNNNNNNNNNNNNNNNNNNNNNNNNNNNNNNNNNNNNNNNNNNNNNNNNNNNNNNNNNNNNNNNNNNNNNNNNNNNNNNNNNNNNNNNNNNNNNNNNNNNNNNNNNNNNNNNNNNNNNNNNNNNNNNNNNNNNNNNNNNNNNNNNNNNNNNNNNNNNNNNNNNNNNNNNNNNNNNNNNNNNNNNNNNNNNNNNNNNNNNNNNNNNNNNNNNNNNNNNNNNNNNNNNNNNNNNNNNNNNNNNNNNNNNNNNNNNNNNNNNNNNNNNNNNNNNNNNNNNNNNNNNNNNNNNNNNNNNNNNNNNNNNNNNNNNNNNNNNNNNNNNNNNNNNNNNNNNNNNNNNNNNNNNNNNNNNNNNNNNNNNNNNNNNNNNNNNNNNNNNNNNNNNNNNNNNNNNNNNNNNNNNNNNNNNNNNNNNNNNNNNNNNNNNNNNNNNNNNNNNNNNNNNNNNNNNNNNNNNNNNNNNNNNNNNNNNNNNNNNNNNNNNNNNNNNNNNNNNNNNNNNNNNNNNNNNNNNNNNNNNNNNNNNNNNNNNNNNNNNNNNNNNNNNNNNNNNNNNNNNNNNNNNNNNNNNNNNNNNNNNNNNNNNNNNNNNNNNNNNNNNNNNNNNNNNNNNNNNNNNNNNNNNNNNNNNNNNNNNNNNNNNNNNNNNNNNNNNNNNNNNNNNNNNNNNNNNNNNNNNNNNNNNNNNNNNNNNNNNNNNNNNNNNNNNNNNNNNNNNNNNNNNNNNNNNNNNNNNNNNNNNNNNNNNNNNNNNNNNNNNNNNNNNNNNNNNNNNNNNNNNNNNNNNNNNNNNNNNNNNNNNNNNNNNNNNNNNNNNNNNNNNNNNNNNNNNNNNNNNNNNNNNNNNNNNNNNNNNNNNNNNNNNNNNNNNNNNNNNNNNNNNNNNNNNNNNNNNNNNNNNNNNNNNNNNNNNNNNNNNNNNNNNNNNNNNNNNNNNNNNNNNNNNNNNNNNNNNNNNNNNNNNNNNNNNNNNNNNNNNNNNNNNNNNNNNNNNNNNNNNNNNNNNNNNNNNNNNNNNNNNNNNNNNNNNNNNNNNNNNNNNNNNNNNNNNNNNNNNNNNNNNNNNNNNNNNNNNNNNNNNNNNNNNNNNNNNNNNNNNNNNNNNNNNNNNNNNNNNNNNNNNNNNNNNNNNNNNNNNNNNNNNNNNNNNNNNNNNNNNNNNNNNNNNNNNNNNNNNNNNNNNNNNNGACCGCGUAAGGAACAUAACACCGGUGUGACGGAAACUAGGGCGGCAAGAGUGGAACAAAACACCAGGCAUAAGGCCGAGCCUUCCACCCUUUACCAAGUAUAUAGAUGCAUUAGUUAAAAUAAGAGAUAUUGUGAUAUCCCAACAUAAUCCUGUCCAACAUGGAGCAAUCUUCAACUCCACCUGUAACUAACAACGCUAUAAGAGGGGCUGAGCAAAAGCAGUAACAUAGCCAAACAACGGUUUGCUAGGAAGGGUGAAAAAGGUUAGAGGCUCACAUGGCAAUUUGGCAGGCUUGAAAAACAAGUGAUAGGUAGCACAGCAUAGCGAUAGAACAAACCAACUAGCAUAGCAAUUAUAGUAGUGAGAUCCAGGGUAACGGUCAUCUUGCCUGAAAUCUCGCUAGGAAGAAGAACGAGUCCAUGAAGAAGACGAACAGGCGAAGACGAACCAAGCGUAGUCGAACGAAUCCUCACGAUCGCAAUGAAACAAGAACUAUCGAGAAGAAGCACAACCAGAAAGAAGCAAACAACAUGGUAAGCACACAACACAUAAACAUGACAUGAUGCACAACCAAGCAUGAUGCAUUACAAAGGCUAUAUAAUGCUACUCAUGACAAGAGAUGAUGCAAACAAGAACAACACAUCAAAGCAAGUUUAAAUGAGGUCGGAAAUAACAUAUAACAAAUCCGGUAAGUCCUCAUAUGCAAAUUUCAAAAUUGGUCCAGAUCUGAAUAAACCUUAUGUUCAAGUUUUUUAAACAGCAAUUUAAGAUGCAUCAAGAUGAUCUAUACGAAAUUCUAUUCAAGUUCCAUAUAAAGUUUAUUUAGUUCGGAGCUACGGCCUAGAAGAUAUGAGCAAAACAAGUUAAACAUGACAUUUAUGCAAAAAUACAUUGAAACAUCCAGCAAACACUCUCAAAACAUUGAUGCAACAUGAUAAUAUGAAACGACAUGUAAAAUAAAGCAAGUUUCAUAUAAAUCAUUCUCAAAACGGAGGAACGGUGCAACACAUACACUCCAAACAAGAUAUAACAACAAUCUGCCAAAAACAGCAAGUACGCACUUUGCAAUCAUCAAAACCACAUACUACAGGAAUUAUAUGAACAUAAACUUGACAUGCACUUCAUGUACAGAUAACAUACUUCAAAUAUCAUUAAGGUUCAGGUUCAUAGGCAUCAAGAUUAAACCAAGAUGAUCAAAGCAAAAUGCAACUUUAUAACACAGGAGCAUAUACAUGAACAGAGUUAAUAUGAUGGCAUGUUGGAGGCAUCAAACAAAGCUGCUACAGCAACUAUACAUAGCAACCAAUGGCAUGGCAUCAAAAUACACAUAACAAAGAUCAAAUAACAUCAGGGCAUCAUAUACAUAUGGCCCAUGGAAUAGUAGGAACCAACAAGACAAGAUUGAAUGUUGAAACAGUUUCAGCAAGUGUAAAUCAGCAACAUUAUCAUAACAUGUUUGCAAGCCUGAAACAGAGGCGUAUGGCAUGUGAACCGAGUACUCAUAACAUACUACAAAACAUGUAAUUGGAGCAUCUCCAGAAUAGGCAUGUAUCAACUAAUAUCAAGCUCACAACAAGGCAUCAUGAAGUCAUCAUGAAGUUGAUAGAAAUCUGGAACAACGUGUAUGCAUGUUCAUGGCAAUGAAAAUAUAUGCUACAGGACAUAUAUAGGGCACCAAAAGGCAUGGCAUGGUAGAGCAUAACAAAGAAAAUAACACAUGUCAACUAAGCAUCUCAAGAAUAUGCAUGGAUUAAUUGGUAGCAUCAAGCAAACAUGACAUCAAGAUAUGACAGAAACAGACUUGACAGAAAGUUAACAGUAAGUAGCCCACUUCACAAGCUUGAUACACUCAUUACAGGUCAUAUAAAAAUACAUGGAUUGCACCCCUAUAAAGAUGGCAUGAAAAUUCUCCUAAAAUAUGUAGACAUCAUGCUCAUAGGAUGCACACACAAAAUGCAACAAAAAUGAAAAAUCAGCAAGUUAAAGUAGUCUUCAGUAAUUAACAGCAAUAUGCACUUUUGCAACAGGGAUUAAGAUAUCAAGAUGCACCCUAACAUGAAUGGAAAGCACACCAACAUGUAGAGCACGAGGAGCAGAACAUGUGCAUAUCAAGACCAUCAUCAUAGCAUCAACAGGGGCAAAGUUAUAGCACUCAAAAGAUGCAUACAUGAUGUUAACAAUCAGCAGAUUACAGCAGUUCAUAUCAGAUAGCAGUUUUGCAAUGAAGAUUAAGGCAUCAAGAUGAACAUUAAAAUGAAUUCAAACUAGACCGUCAUCUAGAGUGUCAAGAGAUGAACAUUUUGACAUAUCAUGCACGCAAAACGGAGCAAUAUGCAUGAAGUUAUGAUCAUGUAAAUAUGUGCACAAGAGAUGAUUUCCUGUGGACUUAGUAAAAAAACACCUCACGGAUCUAGGGUUCCGGGGCACGCAAACCGAGGAGUUGGGGAAGGCGCCGGAGGGGACGGGGACGCCGGAUCUGGCCGUAGGCGGCGAGGCAGAGGGCGAGGCGCGGCGGCGCAUGUACAGCGGGGCGGCGGCGCAACUGCGGCGACGGUGGGGCGGUGGACGAAGGCGGCGGGGCGGCGAAGAUCGGGGGCGGCGCAGAGCUCGCCGGCGGUGGGGUUGGGGGCGGAGGCGCGCGGGCGCUCGGCCCGGUUCGAGCCCGGGGCGGGCCGGAGUCAGGCCUCGUGGGCCCGCGGCGGAGGCGGCGAAGUGGGCGCUGGGUGCGAGCGACGUUGAAGCUCCUGAUUCGCCGAGCGGACGUGUCCGGCGCCAGGCGGACAUGUUCGGCGCACGGGGGGAAGAGGAAGGCUAGGGUUAGGGUAGGAUUUGAUCCGGAAUUUCGGGGAAGGAGGUCUUUAUAUAGGUAGUGGGAGCUAGGAGAGUCCAAAUGAGGUACGGUUUUCACCCACACGAUCGUGAUCCAACGACGGAGAGAAUGGAGCGGGUUUGGAUGGGCUAUUGGGCUGUUGUGAAGAGGUGCUGGGCUGCAAAGAGAGAGGGGCUUUUGCGGCUACCCGGUUAACCGUUGGGGCACCAAACGACCUCCAAAUGGAACAAAAUUUGACGGGCGGUCUACCGCUGAUAUACCAAGGCCACUCAGCAAAUCUCGGUCCAUUUCGGGAACCUUUUUCGGCGGCUCACAAAACAAGAACCGGGAGGUGACGCGGGCGCGGGCCAGUGUGGUUGGGCUCAGAACGGACAACGAAGAGAACCGGGGGAACCCGAACGGAUGCAAGUUUUGAAAAACAUGCAGAUGAAAUGCAUAUGAUGACAUGGCAAGAUGCAACACGCAAGCAAAUGACAUGGCAACAAUGACGAAUAACUGGAAUACACCUGGUGUAUCGGUCUCGGGGCAUUACACCCCCUCCAUAGUUAGACACCUCGGUCAUAUCGUCGUAGUGCUUAGGCGAAGCCUUGCACCGGCAACUUCAUCAUCACCGUCACCGCGCCGUCGUGCUGACGAAAAUCUCCCUCAGCCUCAACUGGAUCAAGAGUACGAGGGACGUCCCCGAGCUGAACGUGUGCUGAUCGCGGAGGUGAUGUACGUUCGGUGCUAAGAUCGGUCGGAUCAUGAAGACGUAUGACUACAUCAGCCGCGUUGUCAUAACUCUUCUGCUUUCGGUCUACGAGGGUACGUGGACACACUCUCCCCUCUGGUUGCUAUGCAUCACAUAGAUAGAUCUUGCGUGAUCGUAGAAAUUUUUUUGAAAUUACCGCGUUCCCCAACAAUUCCAAGAGAAGGCUAGAAUUGAAUGAUCAAGCAGGAAUCCGUGUGAAGAAGAAUUUUGGUUCUCUUGGUAUGGAAGCUGGCGGAUAUGGAAAUAUCAAGUUUUGGUGAAAAGGAAUGUAGGAACUAUUUGCAAGAGAAAAGAAGGCUACAACUUGGUGCUAGGGAUGCACAUGUUGUUUAUCCAUAUUUAAUACAGAUGCAGUCAAAAGAUCCAAACUUUUUGCCAUGUUUUGGAUGUGGCUGAGGAUGGACGUCUGGAAAAUGUCUUUUGGGUAGAUGCAAGUAGGGCUGCAUAUGAGUCUUAUUGGGAUGUCAUCACAUUUGACACUACAUACUUAACAAACAAGUAUAAAAUGCCUUUCGCUCCUUUUAUUGGCGUAAAUCAUCAUGGAUAAUUUGUUCUAUUAGGUUGUGGUCUUCUUUCUGUUUGGUUAUUUCAAUCUUGGCUCUGUUGUAUGUCAUACAAACCAUCAAAUGCUAUCAUCACUGACCAAUGCAAAAUACUAUUGAAGCGGUUUUUCCUCAAACUCGUCAUAGAUGGUGUAUAUGGCAUAUCAUGAAGAAGAUUCCUGGAAAGCUUAGUGGGUAUGGAAAGUAUGAAAACAUUAAAUAUACUUUUUUUGAAAUCUGGUUUGUGAUUCCUUGAAAAAAAUGAUUUUGACAAAGCUUGGGCAGAGAUGAUCAAUAAAUAUGAUCUUCAGGAAAAUGAAUGGCUUGCAGGAUUAUAUGAUAAUAAAAAUCUACGGGUACCAGCAUAUGUAAAAGAUACAUUUUGGGCAGGAACAUCUUCAACACAAAGGAGUGAGAGUAUGAUUUUUUUUUUGACGGCCAUGUCAGUGCAAGAUCAACUCUGAAGCAAUUUGUGGAGUAACAUGAAAAUGCAUUAAGAGACAAGGUAGAGAAAGAAAACAAGGCUGAUUCUAAGUCGUUCCAAGAGGAAAUUCCAUGCAUUACUCUCUUUGACUUCGAGAAGCAAUUUCAAGCAGCAUAUACCAAUGCAAAGUUUCAAGAGUUUCAAGAGUAAUUGAGAGGUAAAAUCUAUUGCUAUCCAUCUCUGCUGAACAAACAAGGGUCACUUUUCACAUCUGGAGUCAGAGGACCGUGAGAUUUUUUUGGAGGGGAGGAUGGCGAGAUUAAAGAGAAAUGGAUUACUUCAGAGUUCACGGUCUUGUUCAACCAAGGGGAAUGUAAUAUGCAGUUUGAAUUUCGAGGCAUCUUGUGUAGCUACAUUAUUUCUGUGCUUGCUCUCAUGAAGAUUAGAGAAAGGAUUUUACGGGCAAAAACGCAUUUAUUAAAUGCUCCUAUGAUGAUAUGCUGAAUACACCUGUUGUGCAGCGUUACGAUGAACUGUGCAAGCGUUCUCACGAAGUGGCAGAGAAAACUAGGGGCUUUGGCACACAAAAAAGAAGUAAAUAAAUAGUUUGCCGACCAACUAAAAAACAAGGUUGUAAAAACUCGCGUAGCGCCUCGUUUCCUGUCUCUCGCCUCCUCGAGUCCCCGCGAGAUGUAAAUUACACCGGCGAGUCCUACGCAUGCGCGCGUGCGUCUCCUCGGCUAUCGCUGCAGCAAGUACGCGGCGACUGCUCGGGCGUCGGGCGCGAUGAAUGCACAGCGACGCCAUCACGGGAAACGGUAGUACUCCACUGUACAAGAACCUCACGAGAUCAACNNNNNNNNNNNNNNNNNNNNNNNNNNNNNNNNNNNNNNNNNNNNNNNNNNNNNNNNNNNNNNNNNNNNNNNNNNNNNNNNNNNNNNNNNNNNNNNNNNNNNNNNNNNNNNNNNNNNNNNNNNNNNNNNNNNNNNNNNNNNNNNNNNNNNNNNNNNNNNNNNNNNNNNNNNNNNNNNNNNNNNNNNNNNNNNNNNNNNNNNNNNNNNNNNNNNNNNNCGCAAUGACCUUCCCUUUGCGAUGGGCAACAUCGCUCCCAACGACGGGCCGUCGUCGCCGACUGCGUCGGCCAUCGUCGCGCAGGCCGUGUUUGGGUCGCACGUCGUCAAGAUAGACGGCUACUCCCGCAUCAAGGGGCUUGGCAAUGGCACAUGCAUCAAGUCCGAGACUUUCACCAUCAGAGGCCAUCCCUAGUGUAUGCGCUACUACCCAGACGGCGAACGGACUAAAGACGCAGAUUGGAUAUCCACCUAUCUGUGCCUUGAUGAGACUGAUGCUAGUGAAGUUAAAGCAGGGUACAAGAUAAGUUUGCUUGACCAAAACAGGCAACCAGUGGCAAAGUACAGCUUUUGCAGCAGCGAGAGACACACAUUCACCGCGAAAAAUCCCUCAUGGGGCUUCGCUCAAUUCAUGAAGAGGAAGAACUUGGAGGAAUCCCCUUACCUUAGGGAUGACGUUUUCAGCAUCAGAGCAUCACCAACAACCGCGCUAAACUAGCGCCGCGCCUUAAAUUAGGCCGUUUUAGCGCGCGCGUAACACGGCGGGUGGCUCCACCGGGCGCGCAAAAACGGCGCGCGCGGCAUAUGCAGUUCAGCGCGCUGGCCAAAAUGCAAUCGCGCGCCGUUUAUUUGCUGCACCCGCUCCCGCGCGCUGGACUCUAGCGUGCUCGCUCUCCCACUUCCUCUCCCACUUUCACUCCCCAUCCGGCCGCGCCGCAGCCGCCGCCCGCGCGCCCGGCGAUCGUUCAAGCGCUUCCCCGGCCUAUCCCCGCGCCGCCGCGCUUCCGCCCCAUCCCCUCCUAGUCCCGCCGGCCCUCGCGCGCCUCCGUCGUCCGAGGAACAGCGCCUGAGCGAUCGCUGUCGCGCCGCGCCCGCAAGGUGUUCGACAAAACGCCUACAAGGUAUGUAUUGCUCAAACUUCAUGAAUUUGGUGCAUGUUUUGAAUUGUAGUUUUUAUAGUAUAGUAAUGAACAUUGUAGAUGAGUUCGUCGUAUGAUUCUUCCAAGAAGAAUUUGAUAUGGAAGAGGAGGAGGAUCUUGCAAUGAUCAUAGCUAUGCAUAUCAAUAAAAAAACCGAAGCACGGUGGUUCGGUUAUGGGUCGGGAGAAAAUUUGGAGAGAUAGGAUUGAUGACCAUAACAGAUUGAUGAAGAACUAUUUCUUGGAGAAUCCCACAUACCCGGAGUCGUAUUUUCGUCGCCGGUUUAGGAUGAGCACCGACUUGUUCAGGUGCAUUGCAGAGAAACUAGCGAGCCAUGACCGGUUUUUUCAGCAAAGGAGGAAUGCCGCCGGAGAGCUCGGGCAUAGCACCUUUCUGAAGGUGACAGCCGCUUUGCGUAUGUUGGCAUACGGUAUCCCGGCCGAUCUAGUUGAUGAUCACUUGGCUAUGGGUGAGAGCCAAGCCAUCAUGUGUGUCAAGCGCUUUGCAGUGGGAAUUGUGCAAGUGUUUAGCGAGGAGUAUUUGAGAUCUCCCACUGCUGAAGACGCCGCAAGGCUAUUGGCGAUGAACAAAUCGCGCGGCUUUCCUGGCAUGCUUGGCUCAAUAGAUUGCAUGCAUUGGAGUUGGAAGAAUUGUCCAAAGGUAUGGCAUGGGCAAUUCCACGGCCAAAAAAAGAGUUUCACUAUAAUCCUUAAAGCGGUGGCCGAUCAGGAGACUUGGAUUUGGCAUGCAUUCUUUGGAAUGCCUGGAUCUUUGAAUGACAUCAAUGUUGUCAACCGGUCACCACUGAUGAAUAAGAUUGCAAACGGUGAGUUGCCACCGAUGCAGUUUGUAGCAAAUGGUUGUACGUACAACUAUGACUAUUAUCUAGCGGAUGGCAUCUAUCCAAAGUGCCAAACCUUCGUGAAGCCGUUGAAAAAGUCGAAAGGUAAGAAAAAUCUUGAUUUGCACAAUGCUCAGGCGGCGGCUAGAAAAGAUGUGGAGAGAGCAUUUGGGAUUUUGCAAGCCUAAUUUGCUAUUGUGAGAGGACUGGCUAGAUUUUGGGAUCAAAAAUGCUUUGGUACAUCAUGCACGCUUGUGUGAUCACACACAACAUGAUCAUCGAGAAUGAGCGUGGCCAAGAUUUAGACUACUCACAGUAUGAGCUCUUGGGACAUUCCGUGCGAGUGCGACGGAGGGCUGAAAGGGUAGCCCGUUUUAUUGCCUCCUAUCAGCCAUUCGGCGUCCCGCAACGCACAAUGAACUUCAGAAGGAUCUGAUUGAAGAGUGGUGGGCAUGGCAUGGAUGACAAAGAGCAUGAUUUCUGCAUUCGACAUUAUAUAGUUCAUGAACUAUUUGUUGUGUUUAUUGCAUUAUUUCUUGUACUGAACGAUAAAUUAUUUGUUUGAGUUGUAAUGAUAACGAAAUUGAACUAUUUAUUGUUAAUUUAUUUUGUUUGUUUGAUCAUUUUUGCUCUUCUUUUUCAAAAUGUAUAUGUGGUUUGUGCGUGCUGCGCGCGUUGUAUUUUUGCGCGCUGCUAGAGCGGCGCGCGCGCUGCAUUAUAGCACGGCCGUUGGAGCUAGCGCUGGCGGCCACGCUAAACCAGCAAAAGCGCGCGCGGCAAAUAGGUUUUUUGCGCGCGGCACGAAGCGCGACUGUUGGAGAUGCUCUCAGGUGGGAUGUCUCCGUGUCAAAGGAGAUCUUCACCGAGCCAAUCCCACCGCACGUGGUCGUGCCACCGUCCAACAUGCACCAACAUCUUGGACAACUGCUCUUGGCCGGCGAGGCGGCCGAUGUUACCUUCGAGGUUGGCGAGGAGACAUUAGCUGCGCACAGGUGCAUACUCGCAGCUCGGUCACCGGUCUUCAGGGCCCAGCUCCUUGGCCCCAUGAAGGAGAAGACCGCAACUCAAGUGCUGAUCGACGACAUGGAAGCCAGGGUGUUCAAGGCGUUGCUCCACUUCAUCUACACAGACUCGUUGCCCGCCAUGGACGAAGGCGGUGCGGCGGAGAUUGCUCAGCAUCUACUGGUGGCGGCUGACAGGUAUGAUAUGGAGAGGCUGAAGCUGAUCUGUGAGGGGAAGCUGUGUGAUCACAUCUGCAAAAGCACGGUGGCAACCACGCUAGCACUGGCUGAGCAGCACGGUUGUGGUGCUCUCAAGAAGGCAUGCGUCAAGUUCCUGAUGUCUCCGGGUAACCUGAAGGCGGUCAUGCAAUCUGAUGGAUGUGAGCACGUGAGGAGCAGUUGCCCGGCUGUUCUGGACGAACUGCUCGCCAAGCUUGCUCCAUGAUCUCUUUGAGUAAACUCACAAGAACUCGAUAUUUGUCAUGCUAUUAAUAUUUUUAGAAGUGAUGAUAUCUACUACUGGUAUCUGUGAAGCGCUGUUAAUUCUAUUAAAAUUAAGGUUGCUUGCGUUGCUGCAUCUAUUUGAUUCAAACAGCCUUUUCCAGAUAGUGCCAUAGUGGCAAAGCUUUAUAAAAUUUUAAAUAUAAGCAAAAAUUUGAAAACCGAGAGAAAAUUCUGUUUAUUCUGAAGAAAUUAUUGCAGAGUUCUCAAAAUUAGUGGAAGCAUUUAGAAAUUCUAAGGAAUGUCCUACAAAAAUUUGGCGCAUGGAAUGUCCUCAAAUUUAAUAAGUUAGCAGAUAUUUACAAUAUGUUUUAAUUGUAAUUUCAUACUAAGGGUAGUAACAACGUGGUGCGAUGGUGUUUAAUUUAAAUGUGAUAUAAGUCAUUAUUACAUAGUCAUGGUCAAAAGUGUGUGAGUCAAAAAAUUAUUUAAAACAUCUUGCAUACCCCAAGUGGGGUUGGUCGAGUCUGACUGCUUGGCCCGUCUCCAAGGCCGCCGGGCACGUAAGGCGGUGUCUGUGGCCGGUCAGGGAUGUCGCGACUCCAGGGGGCCUUCCGCCACAAGGUGGAGGACGACGGCGGAGGGGACGGUGGCCUCGUAUGCCAUGCCUACGAGGUCAUUGUCUGAUACUUCACCUAAUUUUUAGUUUAGUUUACUUUAGUUUUCAUUAGGUUAAUUGAAACUUUGUUAAGUUUCAUUAUUUGGUUGAAAUAUAUCAAAAAUUAACAAAUUUAAUCUGUUUUAGCAUAGAUUUUAUCCAUUUUUAUGCUCGAUCCGUUUGAAAGAGGACAAACAUUUGAUGUGUACGAUUGGAUGCGUACGUCCAAAGUUGUUUUCACUUUCAGUUUCACAAAAAAAUUAGCAGCAACUGAUAACACCCAAAUUCAGUGAAUUUGAGUUAUUUUGAUUUGCGCUUGGACCAAAGUCUGAAAUAUUCACUUGAAGUCAAAUAAAUAUUUGAUUUUAAAAAAAUACAAAAUAUUUGAAUUCAUGUGUAUCAUUGAAUGAAAUUGCUGAAAUAUUUUGGCCAAAAGGUAAAUAUUUCAGUGAUUGCUGAAAUUAAUGAAAUUCAGUAAUAUCACCGAGAUCUCACUGGAAGUGAAAACCAUGCUCCCAACUUGUUGCCCGCGGACAUUUGAUCCCCUCAGAAUGUUGAUCCGUCGCUGGAAUUGGCCACGAUAGUAUCUCUCUAUGAUGGUACUCCCCGCGCCCACGCGUACCCCUCUCGGACAAGCUCGAUAUUCUUCUGGGCCAGCCUAUGUGACGCCAUCAAUUAAAUCAUACACUAAUCAUACACGCAAAUGUGUACGAUCAAGAUCAGGGACUCACGAGAAGAUAUCACAACACAACUCUAGACACAAACUGAAAUAAUACAAGCUUUAUAUUACAAGCCAGGGGCCUCGAGGGCUCGAAUACAUAAGCUCGACACACAAGAGUGAAACAAUAUCUGAGUACAGACAUAAGUUAAACAAGGGUGCCUUAAGAAGGCUAGCACAAAAGCAACACGGCCGAAGAGGCAAGGCCUCCUGCCUGGGACCCCCUAAACUACUCCUGGUCGUUGGUGGCCUCCACGUAGUAGUAUCCGUCGGCGGUGGCAUCUGGCUCCAGGGAUCCACCAUCUGGUUGCAACAACCGGAAAGAAGAAGGAAGGGAGAAAAGGGGUAGCAAAGCAACCGUGAGUACUCAUCCAAAAUACUCGCAAGCAUCAGAUCUAUACUAAGUAUGCACUGGUAUCAAAUGGAAGAUUUGUAUCUGUGGACUGAAUUGCAGAAUGCCAGAAUAGAUGGGGAAGGCCUAGCCUAUCGAAGACUAGCAUCUUCAAGCAGCUCCAAGCAUCUUGCAGCAUGUAGGAGAGUAGAUAAUAGCAGUUUAUAAUUAAAAAGCAUGUUGUAGCAUUAACGCCCAGAGAUCCUUCCCCGACUCCCUGCGAGAAAGCAAUCCCGGGGCCACAUAUCUCAAGUAUCCAUUUCUCAUUGUAAAAGAUCAGGAUAUAAGUCUGAACGUCUGUUACCGUGAACACGGCUAUUAAUAGAUAAUCUUCCCUGCAGGGGUGCACCAUGUUUUCCAACAUGCUCGAUUACCCUGGCCAGACACACUUUCCUGGGUCAUGCCCGACCUCAGAAGAUCAAUGAUAACCCACAAGUAUAGGGUAUCAAUUGUAGCCUCUUUCGAUAAGUAAGAGUUUCGAACCCAAUGAGGAGCUAAAGGUAGAACAAAUAUUCCCUCAAGUUCUAUCAACCACCAAUACAACUCUAUGCAUGCUUAACAUUUGCUUUACCUAAAACUAGAAUGAAACUAGAAGGACUUUGUAGGUGUUGUUGGAUAGAUUUGCAAGAAUAUAAAGAGCACGUAAAUAUAAACUAGGGGCAGUUUAGGUAAAGAAGCAACAAAGUUAGUAUAGAGAGUGUGGAAAAGUGGUGGUAAGAGUUGUGAAAUUGUCCCUAAGCAAUUGACUACUUUACUAGACCGGUAGCAAGUUUUAUGUGGGAGAGGCCACUGCUAGCAUGUUAUCCCUGACUUGGAAUUCUAUGCACUUAUGAUUGGAACUAUUAGCAAGCAUCCGCAACUACUAACGUUCAUUAAGAUAAAACCCAACCAUAGCAUUAAGAUAUAUUGGUCCCCCUUCAAUCCCGUAUGCAUCAAUUUCUAUGCUAGGUUGAAGCUUCUAUCACUCUUGCCCUCCAAUACAUAGUCUUAUCAACAUACAGCUAACCCUAUGGUGUGAUCCACGCACACGCUCAUAUGAUGGGCACCAAAGGACAGCAACAUAACCACAAGCAAAUUAAAUCAAUCAUAGCAAUUCACCAAUUACCGAUAGAACAACGAAAAUCUACUCAGACAUCAUAGGAUGGCAACACAUCAUUGGAUAAUAAUAUGAAGCAUAAAGCACCAUGUUCAAGUAGAGGGUACAACAGGUUGCGGGAGAGUGGACCGCUGAAUAUAGAUGGGGGAAGGUGCUGGAGAUGUUGGUGAAGAUGACGGCGGUGUUGGUGUAGAUCGCGGUGAUGAUGAUGGCCCCGGCGGUGUUCCGGCGCCGCCGGGAGAGAGGGGGAGAGAGCCCCCCUUCUUCUUCUUCUUCCUUGACCUUCUCCAUAGAUGGGAGAAGGGUUUCCCCUCUCGUCCAUGGUCUCCAUGGCGUGGGAGGGGUGAUUGCCCCUCCGAGAUUGGAUUUGUCUCUCUGUCUCUCUCUUUGUUUUUGCAUUCCCAGAUUCUGCCCUUUCACCAUUUCUUAUAUUCCUGGAGAUCCGUAACUCUAAUUGGAUUGAAACCUUCAACAUGAUUUGUUUCCAGAUAUUAGCUUUCUUGCGGCAAAAGAAGAGCAGCAACUGCCUUACGAGGUGUCCACGAGGGUCAGGGGUGCGUCCACCCCCCUGAGGCGCGCUCCCUGCCUCGUGGGCCCCUCGAGAAUCAUCUCGCGUUGAUUCUUCUUCCCGAAAAUCAUAAAUAUUCCAAAAAUAUUCUCCGUCCGUUUUUAUCUCGUUUAGACUCCGUUUGAUAUGUGUUUUCUGCGGAACAUAAAACAUGCAACAAACAGGAACUGGUACUGGGCACUGGAUCAAUAUGUUAGUCCCAAAAAUAGUAUAAAAAGUUGCCAAAAGUAUAUGAAAGUUGAAUAAUAUUGACAUGGAACAAUCAAAAUCUAUAGAUACGAUGGAGACGUAUCAGCAUCCCCAAGCUUAAUUCCUGCUCGUCCUCGAGUAGGUAAAUGAUAAAAAAUGAUGUGGAAUGCUACCUAGCAUAAUCUUGAUCAUGUAAUCUAAUCAUGGCAGGAAUAUUAAGACACGAGUGAUUCAAAGCAAUAGUCUAUCAUUUGACAUAAAAGAAUUUAAUACUCGGGCAUCCCAACAAACAAUCAUGUCUUUCAAAAUAUCAAUGCUAAAGAACGUUAUCCCUACAAAAUCAUAUAGUCUUGUAUGAUCCUUUUUCUUAACACAAGGUACCCCUCAUGCUCAUCCCGGUGUCAGCCAAGCAAUUGGUUCAUAAUUUUUAACGUGCUUCAGCUUUUUCAACCCUCACGCAAUACAUGAGCGCAAGCCAUGGAUAUAGCACUACAGGUGGAAUAGAAUAUGAUGGUGGAGGUUGUUUGGAGAAGACAAAAGGGAGAAAGUCUCACAUCGACGCGGCUAAUCAAUGGGCUAUGGAGAUGCCCAUCAAUUGAUGUCAAUGCGAGGAGUAGAGAUUGCCAUGCAACGGAUGCACUAGAGCUAUAAGUGUAUGAAAGCUCAAACUGAAACUAAGUGGGUGUGCAUCCAACUUGCUUCCUCAUGAAGACCUCGGGCAUUUGAGGAAGCCCAUCAUCGGAAUAUACAAGCCAAGUUCUACAAUGAAAGUUCCCACUCGAGAGACUCUCUAUAUGAAGAACAUGGUGCUAUUUUGAAGCACAAGUGUGGUAAAAGGAUAGUAACAAUGCCCCUUCUCUCUUUUUCUCUCAUUUUUUUAUUUUUUUAUUGUUUUAAUUUUUUUAAUUUUUUGAUGGGCUUCUUUGGCUUUUUUUUAUUUGGGCUUCUUUGGCCUCUUUUAUUUUUCAUAAAGUCUGGAGACUCAUCCUGAUUUGUGGGGGAAUCAUAGUCUCCAUCAUCCUUUCCUCACUGGAGCAAUGCUCUAAUAAUGAUGAUCAUCACACUUUAUUUACUUACAACUCAAUAUUACAACUCGAUACUAGAACAAAAUAUGACUCUAUAUGAAUGCCUCUGGCAAUGUACCAGGAUGUGCAAUGAUCUAGCAUAGUAAAGAUAUCAAAAAACGGACAAGCCAUAAAAACAUCAUGCUAGCUGUCUUACGAUCAUGCAAAGCAAUAUGACAAUGAAUGCUCAACUCAUGUAUAUGAUGAUGAUGGAAGUUGCAUGGCAAUAUAUCUCGUAAUGUCUAUGAAAAUACCAUGAUACGUAAGUAUGGUGGCUGUUUUGAGGAAGAUAUAAGGAGGCUUAUGUGUGAUAGAGCCUAUCGUAUCACGGGGUUUGGAUGCACCGGCAAAUUUUGCACCAACUCUCGAGGUGAGAAAGGGCAAUGCACAGUACAAUAGAGGCUAGAAAAUUGCGGAAAGGUAAGAGUGCGUAUAAUCCAUGGACUCACAUUAGUCAUAAAGAACUCAUAUACUUAUUGCAAAAGUUUAUUAGCCCUUGAAGCAAAGUACUACUACGCAUGCUCCUAGGGGGGAGGUUGGUAGAAAUUAACCAUCGCGUGCCCCCAACCUUCACGCAAAGAUAAACAAUCAAAAUACAAUGCGCGCCAAUUUAGUUACAUCACUACUAGAAAAAGGGCUAUAGAUGGGAUUGACACUAAUGGCGCACCAGACAAGUGGUGCGUCAUUAGUAUAUACUAAUGGCGCACCACCCUCUGAUGCGCCAUUAAAGUUGAAACUACUAAUGGCGCACCUGGCUGACGGUGCGCCAUUAGUAUCAAAAAAAAAUUUAACUAGUGCGCCUAUCCAAACAUACUAAUGGCGCAUCCACAGGCAGUGCGCCAUUACUAGUUGUAACUAGUAAUGGCGCACCUUCCAGAGAGUGCGCCACUAAUGUUGUUUUUUUAUUAUUUUUUUAUUCCUUUUUUUGCAAGACUACUAAUGGCGCACUCGCACGCGGUGCGCCAUUACUAGUUUAAACUAGUAAUGGCGCACCGUGGUGUAGAGCGCCAUUAGUAUGUUUUUUUUGCAAAACUACUAAUGGCGCGCCACCAGGGGGUGCGCCAUUAGUAACCUGGAUUACUAAUGGCGCAUUUGUGGUUGGUGCGCCAUUAGUAAGUGGGCAGCAACAAGAUAUUUUGGACAGCCUCUCCUCCCACACUCACUUUCUCCCCACUUCAUUCUCUCCACUGCCUCCUUGUCUCGGGUGCCUCCUCUUUUUCACCUCAUUUCCACCAUAAAUUCAUUGAAAUUAAGUGGUUAAGUUACCUUGUUCUGCUAGGUAAGUAAGGGCGGAAGCUAUAUUUAUGUUGUUCUCCCUACAACAAUGUGCACGUGCACUUUUUAUGGCCUAGCUAGAUCUAUGUAUGUUCAUGGUGUUGCAUAUGUUUGUGGUUUUGCAUAUGUGUUUGUGUUUGGAGGUGUACCGGUAUUUGAAAUGCCAUAGUUGCCAAUAUUUUCCCGGAAUGUUGAUUUAUUUCCGUUUCGGUGAGAAUUUUGGCAUUAAGCAUUCUUUUUUGUCCUAUUUUUAGGGAAAGUCGUGCCAAAUUUUUUCUUGGUUCUAAAAUGUCGUUUUGCUCUACCCCGCAGGCGACCAUGGUCCGCACGAUGACCGAAGGCAUCGUGAAUAGGUUUUUGAGGUCCACGAAGGCCGAGAUGCUUCAAAAGAACGAGAUGGAGAUAAGAUGUCCGUGUCGAAGAUGCAAGCUGAAUAGCCUUAUUGCGGACCCGGAUUCCGGGCAGGUGCGGGACCACCUGCUCUUGCGUGGUUUCAUGGAUGGCUAUCGGUGGCAAGGUGAUGAAGAUGACUACGAAGUCGUCCAUGGGGGCCGGGCAAGAAAUGAGGAAGGGCAGAAAGACAACCACCGCUGCUCGUGCGGGCGAGAAGACGAAGAAUCCCCAGGAGAUGAUCACGACGGUGAUGCUGUACACAGUCAUCAUGUAGAAGAAGAUGCAGGACAUGAUGAUGAUGCUAGCGGAGCAGACGAAGCUGGACCAUCGAUGGGCUGGGUGCAGGACCCUCAUAUUCAAGAGCUGCUUCUCAAGCAGACGGAUAAUGCAAGAGCUGCCGCCCGAGAGAAAGCCAAGAUGGAUCAACUUGAGUUAGACGCGGUUACUCCAUUGUAUGAAGGAUGCAGGCUCGAGGAUACCCGCCUAAAAGUAACGCUCAUGGCUCUGGAGAUGAAGGUAAAACACAAAAUGACCGACGCAUGCUUCGACGAGAACAUGUCAUUCUGGCACGAACGUCUUCCCAAGGGGAACAAGUGCCCGACCAGUUUGGAGGAGGCGAAGAAAAUCGUGUGUCCUCUGGAUUUACCGCACGUGAAAUACCAUGUGUGCAUGAACAAUUGCAUCAUUUAUCGGGACGAGCACGCGGAGUCUACCAUAUGUCCGGUGUGCGGUGUCACUCGAUACAAGAAGAGGAAGAAAGCUCCUCGAAAAGUGGUGUGGUACUUUCCGAUCACUCCUCGUCUGCAGCGGUAUUUCACGGACCCUAAGGUAGCAAAGCUCCUGCGUUGGCACGCGGAUAGGGAGGAGAAGAAGCGAGAAGAUGACGCAAAUGAUCCGGAGAUAGAUAAAAAAUACAAGAUGCUGAGUCACCCUAAGGAUGCGAGCCAGUGGCAAGCGUUGAACUUCGAAUACCCAGAAUUUGGGAACGAUAGAAGGAACAUCGUGCUGGGCGCGAGCACCGAUGGAGUCAAUCCAUUUGGCAGCCAGAGAAGCACACAUAGCACCUGGCCUGUGUUCGUGUGGAUGUACAACCUUCCCCCCUGAUUGUGCAUGAAGAGGAAGUACAUUCACAUGAGUAUGCUAAUUGAAGGGCCAAAACAACCAGGGAACGACAUCAAUCUGUAUCUGGGGCUGCUGAAAGAGGAGAUUGACACGCUAUGGAAAACGCCAGCCAAUACGUGGGACGCCGCAGAGAAAGAAUAUUUCCCUAUGAGAGCCGCACUGCUCACGAUGGUGCACGACUAUCUCGGUUACGGAUAUCUUGCGGGGCAGGUAGUCCACGGAUUUUCUGGAUGCGUAAGGUGCAUGGAUGACACAACGUAUCGCCAGCUAGAUAGAGAUCCCGGGUCUUUGAAAACCGUGUUCAUGGGACAUCGAAGGUGGCUUCGCGACGAUGACCCGUGGAGGAAACGCAAGGAUCUGUUCGAUGGUGAAACCGAACCCCGAAAACGCCCGUGUACGAGGAGCGGCGAGGAAAUAGACAAGCUGUUGAAAAAUUGGAAAGACUGCCCACUGCCGGGAAAGAAGCAAAAGGCGCCAGAGCCGCUGCUGAAGGUAUGGAAAACGAGGUCUGUUUUCUGGGACUUGCCGUACUGGAAGAUCCACUGUGUGCCUCACAGCCUUGAUGUCAUGCAUAUCACGAAGAACGUGGGCGAGAGUCUGCUUGGUACCCUGCUCAACAUGCCAGAGAGGACCAAAGAUGGGCCGAAAGCAAGGGCAGACUUGAAAUCAAUGGGCAUCAGGCAGGAGCUUCACGCUAUAUAUGAUGAUGAUGAUGAUGAUGAUGAUGAUGAUGAGGCGAAGCAGGACACAGAAAGUCGUUGCAAAGGAAAAAAGGCCAAGAAGACCGGAAAUGACUACCCUCCCGCGUGCUUCACUCUAAGUCAGGAGGAGAUUGAGCAGUUUUUCACCUGCCUCCUAGGAGUAAAACUUCCUUACGGUUACGCGGGGAAGAUAAGCAGAUACCUAGACCUAGCGAAGCAGAAGUUCAGCGUGAUGAAGUCUCACGACUGUCACGUGCUGAUGACGCAGAUACUUCCAGUUGCAAUCCGUGGGAUCAUGGACGUGCACGUCCGUGAAACGCUAUUUGGCCUAUGCAACUUCUUCGACGUCAUCUCUCGGAAGUGGAUUGGCGCGAGGCAACUCAGAAGGCUACAGGAAGAGAUCAUGGUGAUACUAUGCGAGCUUGAGAUGUACUUCCCGCCCGCAUUCUUCGACGUUAUGGUGCAUCUGCUGGUCCAUAUAGUGGAGGAUAUCAUCCAACUCGGGCCGACGUUCCUGCACAGCAUGAUGCCGUUCGAAAGGAUGAAUGGUGUCAUCAAAGGAUGCGUUCGCAACAUGUCACGUCUAGAGGGAAGCAUAGCCAGGGGCUUUCUGACUGAAGAGUGCAUCUCCUACUGCACGAAUUAUCUAGGCAUCGAGAACCCCGUUGGUCUGCCCGUCAACAGGCACCUCGGCAGGCUCGCUGGAUGGGGUCACCGCGAGGGUCGCCGCGAAAUGCAUGUCGACUUCGAGGGUCGACUCGCCGACUUUGAAAGAGCAAACCUAGUCGCGCUACAACACAUAGACGUGGUCGAUCCUUGGGUGGUAGAGCACAAAACCUUUAUUAAGAAGACGUACAAUGACCGAGGCCAAUAGAGGACGGACGGAGAUAUACUCAAAGAGCACAACUCAUGUUUCACGCGUUGGUUCAAGUAGAAGCUUCUGUCGUACCCUUUACAUGAGGAUUCUUCCGCGGAAGAACAACUCAUAUUCGCCUUGUCACAGGGCGCCGAGCACAACCUGAUGACCUAUGAGGCGUACCAUAUCAACAGCUACACAUUCUACACCGAGGCCAAGGACAUGAAGAGCGAUGGUUAUCAGAACUCUGGGGUAACAAUGGAAUCCUACACCGGUAACGACAAGGACAGAUACUACGGAAGGAUCGAGGAGAUCUGGGAGCUGAGCUACGCUGGAGAGAAGGUCCCGAUGUUCCGUGUCAGAUGGGCCAAGAACGUCAUAAAAGAAGACCGGUAUUUCACCACCAUGGUUAUACCCGAAGCCAAAUCCAAGACCGCGGGCGCAAACGUCACCGCGAAAAAUGAGCCAUGGGUACUGGCUUCCCAAGUGGACCAAUGCUUCUUCAUUACCGACCCGCCAAAGCCCAGUCGUGUUGUCGUGAGGAGAGGCAAAAGGAAGAUCAUCGGAAUGGAUGGAGUAGCCAAUGAGCAAGACUUCGACAAGUACGGCGACCCGAGGAUCGAACAUGACGACGAUGAUGAAGUAGCAGCAUACACCACAAGAAGAAGCAGGACCACGUUACCUAAAGGACGUCCGUUCCAUAGAAGAACUCCAUUUGCGAAAAAGAAGGGCAAGAAGAUUGUGAACAGAUAGCUAGCUAAGAUCGAUUGUAUUUAAAUCGUAGACUUCAUUUCUCGAUUAUAUUUCAUGGGCACUUUUUGAACUAUCAUGAAUAUUUUUUAAUUUCAUGGACACUCGAUCUCGAUCCUCCUCCAUCUCGAUCGCUAUCCCACCUCGCCAGAUCCGGUCCACCGGCCGCCGCCGCCGACCGCCCGCACCCUCUCGAUUCCCCUACUCAACCGCCGCCGCCGACCCCCCGCACCCCUCCCCUACUCAACCGCCGCCGCCGACCCCCCGCACCCNNNNNNNNNNNNNNNNNNNNNNNNNNNNNNNNNNNNNNNNNNNNNNNNNNNNNNNNNNNNNNNNNNNNNNNNNNNNNNNNNNNNNNNNNNNNNNNNNNNNNNNNNNNNNNNNNNNNNNNNNNNNNNNNNNNNNNNNNNNNNNNNNNNNNNNNNNNNNNNNNNNNNNNNNNNNNNNNNNNNNNNNNNNNNNNNNNNNNNNNNNNNNNNNNNNNNNNNNNNNNNNNNNNNNNNNNNNNNNNNNNNNNNNNNNNNNNNNNNNNNNNNNNNNNNNNNNNNNNNNNNNNNNNNNNNNNNNNNNNNNNNNNNNNNNNNNNNNNNNNNNNNNNNNNNNNNNNNNNNNNNNNNNNNNNNNNNNNNNNNNNNNNNNNNNNNNNNNNNNNNNNNNNNNNNNNNNNNNNNNNNNNNNNNNNNNNNNNNNNNNNNNNNNNNNNNNNNNNNNNNNNNNNNNNNNNNNNNNNNNNNNNNNNNNNNNNNNNNNNNNNNNNNNNNNNNNNNNNNNNNNNNNNNNNNNNNNNNNNNNNNNNNNNNNNNNNNNNNNNNNNNNNNNNNNNNNNNNNNNNNNNNNNNNNNNNNNNNNNNNNNNNNNNNNNNNNNNNNNNNNNNNNNNNNNNNNNNNNNNNNNNNNNNNNNNNNNNNNNNNNNNNNNNNNNNNNNNNNNNNNNNNNNNNNNNNNNNNNNNNNNNNNNNNNNNNNNNNNNNNNNNNNNNNNNNNNNNNNNNNNNNNNNNNNNNNNNNNNNNNNNNNNNNNNNNNNNNNNNNNNNNNNNNNNNNNNNNNNNNNNNNNNNNNNNNNNNNNNNNNNNNNNNNNNNNNNNNNNNNNNNNNNNNNNNNNNNNNNNNNNNNNNNNNNNNNNNNNNNNNNNNNNNNNNNNNNNNNNNNNNNNNNNNNNNNNNNNNNNNNNNNNNNNNNNNNNNNNNNNNNNNNNNNNNNNNNNNNNNNNNNNNNNNNNNNNNNNNNNNNNNNNNNNNNNNNNNNNNNCGUCCACACCACACCACCGACGCCUCCCUCUCCCCAUCCUCCCCUUCCUCCCCUCCGACCCCACCCCACUCUCGCCAGAGCAGCGCCGCAGGGCCGACACCAACCUCACCCUCGCCCGCGUGCGCCGCAACCUCCGCCUUGCCAAGUCCGGAGCUGCUCGUGGAGGAGACGUGGCUGGAGGCGAUCUCCGUGGCUGGAGGCGAUCGCCGGCCCACCGCCGGAUCUCCCUGACGCCGGCCGACCGUAGUUGAUACCCCUCAUCCCCUGAUCAAGCCUUCUUCAGAGAGAGAGAGUGAGGUACCUCAUCCCCUUCUGUAUUUUACACUACACAUACACAUAAUUUUGCAGUAUAUCAAUGUGAUUUUCCAGUACAUCUCCAUCCAUCUGAAUUUGACUCAUAUGCAUAAUUUUGCAGUACAUUAUGAUUUCGGCUAGAUGCAUAUGAGUUCAUAAUUUUGCAGUACACAUUAUCGGGCUUCCUUCUCUCACUAGAUGUAGUGCACAAGUAGAUGAACUGAUGAACUCAUACACAUAAUUUUGCAUAUAAUUUGUUCAACUAUGUCAUUAUGAUUGAUAGAAUGUAAUUAUUGAAGAAUUAAGAGGAUCGGAACCAUUGCUUCUCUUUUUGAGAGACAUGCUAACAAGAAAGGGAAGACAUGCUAACAGACGCGCUCCACUAUGCUGUUAGGGUUAAGAUUUUUUAGUCCCCGCCCCCGACUCUGCUGCUGAAAUUACCGUUGAAAUCGAGGUAAAAUCACUGUUGAACUGGGUGUAAAAUCACUACUGUUGAUAUUCAAAUUUAAACUUGAAAAUGAAAAUUGAAUUGGAGAAUUAAAUCACUGUUUUUUAGUCCCCAUUUCUGAACCUAUGCUAACCUUGCAAGCAGCAUAACAGGCAAUGUACUCCAAAAUACUAUAAGAACUGGAGUAAAAGAUGACUGCAUCUCACAGAAUAUAAGAAAUGGGGACUCUUGGCUAAGUAUGGCAAUGCCACAGAGUAUAAGAAGUACUCCUGCAUCUUACACAAUGAUAGGUCUAAUUUAUGCUACUCAACGAAAGAAGAAGAAAAAUGCACUGGACAUACACUGAAGAAAAAUGCACUGUAUCAUUGGGUAAUUGUCCAUGGUUUAUACCUGAAAAUAAGUUUAUCUCACGGCAUGAAUGUAAGUAUCUGUUCCGCAUUCAUGGGCUAUCUACCCAAGGUAAACCUAGAAAAUGAGUUAUAUCCAGGACAAGCCACUGUCAAUUAACACUAUAUACACUGCCAACUGUAUUUAGUUAACAUUACACUGCCACUACUAUUCAGCACAAACGUUUGAUCAUCUCACUCUACUUACUGUCAAUUGACACUGUAUAACUGUCAGCUCCAUUCACUAGCAGCAGCCAGCACUUCUGAAUCUAAUCUUUCUUGGGCAAGCUCGGCUACUUAUUGUUAGUCAUUCACUAAAAGAUCCUCAACAGACUGCAUGCAUCUAGUAUUAAAUUUCUUGGACGGAUCAUCUCUUUUAGCAAAGGACUGUAAUAAUUAACUAACUGAAAAUUUGACAUUCUGGACUAUGCUUGGCUCUGGUUUUGUGAAAUCUCAUCUCUUUUCUAGUGCCAUGACUAGUCAUGAAUUUUAUUUUACUUUCCCCACUUUAUAACAUUCAGAAAUUGUUUACUAGCUCAAGCUUCUCCUUUGCACUUUAUCACUUCAAUCUGCUGCUACCUCAAGCUUCUCGUUUACACUUGUGCCAAGUAGCAUUUUUUCCUUGUAUAAUUAUAUGGUGGUUGACUGAGCUGCUACUUUUUCCUUGUAGAAGAUCGCAGGUCGAGUGGGAGGGAUCCAGUUGCAACGACACCGAAUCACUAGCAAGGCAGCUGCCUAGAAUAAUAGGUUGACUCACCUAUAUAUACUACUAUCUUGCAUCUCUCUCUUGUUUCUUCUUCUAUAUACUACUAUCUGGCAUCUCCAAUUUUUAAGUAAUCUUGCAUAUGUUAGAAACUACAUAUAUGGUCUCCGGUUUUCUUACCUCUACUCUAAAACACCAACGCAUCAACAAAAGAAGAUGGUAUUUUUGUUACGCUUUCAGUUCGUGUCAGCAGGGAGAUAUAAUGUUUUACAAUCUUUCUGGUUAUAUUGGAGUUAGGUUUUUUGAAUAUGAGUAGCAGUGACUUGGAUAUACCUUAUGGAGUUGUAACAGUUCCUCUUGGUGCUUAGGUGCAUUUUCUUUGUGUAACUUGGUUUAAAAAUGUGAUUUGGUCUUUUGUGGCAUUUGGAUGCCUAAAUCCCAUUUUCUUAAUCAUAUUGCUUGGAAACUUUUGGUUAUCUCCUCUCAGUGAUGAAAUAAUUUAUAUGUACUGCACUUUUUUCAUAAUUAGGUAAUAACGUUGGUUACAGUUUUGGUAGUUCAAACUGAAUGUAUCUCAUUUUGUAGACAGAUUAUUUUCUGGAAUAUCAUAUAUUCAAAUUUGUAAUGAAUGAUGGCUUCUACCUGAAUUGGUAGACUCUGUGGUGUUAGUUUGUUCUAAAUACAGUAAGAUAAUUUUAACAACUGUAGAACAUGUUGAGAUUUGCAACUUUUUUGUGACAUCAACCAACAGUCCUGUCACUGGGUUAUCCUAUUUUAUAUUUUUAAUUACUAACUUAAGUUUGAGUAAACAGUGGCAGUGAAGUCCUCAUAAUAAUCAGGCGGAUGUUAACUUUCUGAUGUCCCCAGAAGUUAACUAAGAUUGUGGUGCUAGUAGAGGCACAUUGUGGCCUUUUCAUCCAUAUGAAAGUAGAGGCACAUUGUGGUGCUAGUUUGCUGGGUUUUGUCUCCGACCAUCGUGUCGUGAUGAUAUUGCAGGUACCCCGAGAGGCCCUUGAGUUUGCCGGAAUGUCGAUUAACUUCCGUUCUGGCAAAUUCGGGUACUCCAUAUGUCCUAUUUUCAGCAAAGGUCAUGCUGAAAUUUUCCGUGAAUUUUAGCAUGACUUUGCUAAAAAUAGGACAUAUGGGGUACUUGUGACUAAUGCAUGGGCCGGGGUAUCUUAGUAGUUAAUUAGGUAGGAUCAAGUGCCCCGGCGUACUUGUGACUAAUGCAUGGCUUUUAGUGUGCCUCGGUGUCGAUAAAAACCGAAAUGAUGAAAGGUUAGGCUUUUAGGGUGCCUCGGCGUCGAAAAACCCUCAAUGAUAAAAGCUUAGAUUUUAGGAUGCCUCGGUGUCGACAAACCCUAAAUGAUGAGACCAUGAUCUUGUUCCUUGACAAUAACCAACUUUUUGACCAAACUUUGUUUCUAUUUAAAGAGAAACAUGGCCCACAAUGAUGAGGCCGGGGGUUCGGGCGGCAAGGCAUUCUGGGAGCUGUCCCAGGAGAUGGAGGAACAACCUCACUUGUAUGAGGCCGCCGCCUUCCCCACCGAUCCUGAGACCACGGAUGGUGCCGCCGAGGAUGACCACACUGAUGCCACCAGUGAUGGUGCCGCCGAGGAUGCCACCACUGAUGAUGGCAGCGCACGCACAGAUGGCAGCCAACCGAAGAGGCAAUGGAAGGACCGGCGCCCGAUCGUGCUCCGCACCCUCAAGGAGGAAGUUACUGAAGUGGACUCCAACGGGAAUCCAACGGCGCCCGAACGAAUAGUCAAGGGGUACUCGCUUCAGCUCGGGUGCAUUGUCCAGAGCACCGUCUCGAUCAACACCGAGAACCUGAGGCAUCCUGACCGAGGGAAUUUGCGCAACCUCUUCUUCACGAAGCUGCACGAACGAUACAAGUUCCCCGCUGAAUUUGAAAACACAAGCCUCAAAGGGAAUAAAGUGAACAAUGCUGCCCUCACGAAGAUGAGCAAGGCCCUGUCUACUUGGAAAAGCAAUGUGAAGAGAAUGAUCGAGAAAGGUGAGAGUUAUCAGAAGAUCAAGGAGAAAAAUCCUUCAAUCACCGAAGAUGACUACAACGACUUCAAGAUCAAUUGCUCGAGCACCGCAAGCUCCCAAUCAAGUGAGUGGGGAAAACAAAUGCGGGAGCUGAACAUAGGGAAACACACACUCAGUCCCGGCGGUUACAGAGUGGCGGAGCCUAUAUGGGACAAGGAGGAGGCGGACCGUGCCGAGCAAGGCCUACCGCCCCUCUUCGAUAAAUACGGUGACAAGCAGACCAGGAACUUUGUCAGGGCCCGGUACAAGAAGGACCCGAAAACAAAGGAGCUUACCACGGAUCCGAAGACCAGGCAGCUUGAGCUUGUUCUGGUAAGGAAUACACCCCCGCGUAAUUAGCUCCAUAUGGUUGCAUUCUAAUUAAUGAAGCCAAAUUUCUAAAUGGUUCACAUUCCUUCCGCAGGUGACUGAAAGCAGUAGCGCGGGGUCGACUAAGAGCAACCCUUGGGACACCACUCUAAAUAGGGGGUUGCAUGUAAUGAAGAACAAGGAUAAGCUCAGUAAGCCGACGUCAGCUGGUCGUGUGGCCGGCAAAGGCUUGUGGACAAAAUGGGGGUCAUACUAUACCGCUGGUGUGCGGAAGGAGAAAAAGACCAGCUCGGAAAGCCAGGCGCGAGAGGUUCAAGAACUCAAGGCACAGGUGGCGCGGAUUCCAGAGAUUGUCCAAGAGCAAGUGGAACAACGACUCGGAGCGACGAUCACCGCCAUUGUGCCUACCUUGAUCUCGGGGUUGAGUGCGUGGAUUGCGGGCGGCCAACAGGGGCCGCCCCUGAUUCCUAGCUUCACGGCCAGCAACUCGCAUAAUGCGAUGGCGGGGCCAUUGGUGCCUCCGGCGGAGGCGACAUUGGUGUCUCCGACGCCGGCACGGGAGCUUAAUGCACCCGGGUGUACGCCGGCCGACACCUCUGCAGCAAGCGGCACCUCCGUCAACUGGACGCUCGCCGUUGGCGGUGCGUCGACAUUAGCCGAGCUCGACGCCAUCAUCACGGUAACUAAUUAAGCCUCUCUCGGCCGAGGACUUCAUCUCCUUGCCUUUGACUGGGCAUCCCUGACGCCCUACAUGUUUUCGCAGGGCGCCGUCGACAUUCCGUGCACUCUCCUCCACUUCGUGAACAACGAGUUGGUCGAUGUCGCCAAGGGAAAAAUCGUUCAACCGGGCAACCCCUUGUUCCACGGUACCCAGAUGCCACCCAACUUGUUUAGGGUUCAACUGGUUCGGGUGCUGCCAGGCUGCGAUGACUUGUUACCUCCGAUUCGACCCGUCGGGGCCGACGAUGAUGACGUGAUGACCCUCAGCGCCUGCCUGAGUUGGCCCCUGCUUUGGCCGAAGAGCCAGAUUCGUUUGGGGGCGGGGGACACCACCCCAAAGACAACACCGCCAGUCGUGCCGGCGCCAAGUCGGCCCCAUGGCAAGACCGCAGCAACGGUGCCGGACAUCCCUAUGCCACUGGAUCCAAACAUGCAUAUGGCACAGGAUCAGAACGACGAUGACAACGACGAUGAUACAUUUGGCAACGUCGAUCAGUACUUUGCCGAUCAUGGGUACGAUGGCGACUUCAUGGGGCCUCCUUCUCAAGAACCAAACCCAACAAAAGACGUGUGCGAUCUAGCUCGUACCGCGGAGAAGCCAAGUUGCAACAGGCGCCGUCUGGCGUUCAGCUCUCAGGAGACGCCUUCAGCUACCGACUUCAUCGAGCCUCAGAUAGGCGAGGUGCGAAAUAUUAUCAGCCCCAACACACUCAAGAAGGCGGUCUGUGAGCAGAACUCGGUCCCAUUACAGGAGAAGAAGAAGGCACGCAAAAGAAAGACUAAGAAGGGUGCGAGCCAGCCGGCACCGAGUACGAUCCGUGCUUAGGACGGGCCACCUUCACCGCAGGAUAUCUCGAGGAGGGUGCAUGUGGCGGGUAGGGCGAUGCUACCGACAAAUAUGCUCAAUGCUGCAACCGGUGCUAUGCGGAGUCUGCAUGACAGUGUUCUUUCUUUGGAGAAGCGGCGUCUCAGGGAGAAGGAUGUGGCAUACCCAGUUUUCGCGGCCAAGGUGCCAGAGGGCAAGGGCUUUGUGGAUAACUCUAUCGGGCGUACGAUCGUCCUGCGUUUUGAUGACAUCCACGCUAUGUUGAACCUUCAUCCGCUGCACUACACCUUCAUUCGGCUAUUUUCGCUGAGUAUGGAGAUGCGGAUCAUUCGCGACAAGACCCCGGACAUCGUGAUAGUCGACCCCUUCUACAUGUGUGCCAAGAUCUUGGGCACCGCUGGGGACCGGCAAGUCGCGAGUUCUUACCUCGAAGGCGUCAUUCUGGCAAACCAAGAUAAGGAUAACUUCCUCGUGCCUUACUUUCCCGAGUAAGUCCUCCCCUCAACCGUCCCGUAACAUAUGAAUUCUUACAUUUCGAUCGUUUUUCUUUUAACAUUCCGUGUUUUCUGCAGUGACACACGUUGCACGCUCAUCCUCCUAAGCCCCAAAUAUUCCAUGGCCACGUAUUUCGACCCGGACCAUCAGUCGAACAUAGACUACACAAAUGUCAAGAAGGUUCUUGAUGAUGUUCUCGCCGGCUACGCCAAAUCUGGAGGCACCUUCACCAGGCCUAUUCGUAAGUACGGCAAGCACGUGUUCUCCCACAAUACGAUGUUCUGCUGCGUCAAGCAGCCGCCUGGCAGUCAGAAGGGUGCCUACUAUGCCAUCCAUCACAUGCGGGCGAUCGUACGGGACCAUCAUCAACUUCUGCUACCGAGUAAACUCAAAGAUUGGGCCGCGAGCGUGUCGGCAAUCCAGGACGCGGACCUCCGACAAGAAUUCUUUCGCAUCCAGUCGGAGUUUGCGGAAAUCAUCCAUCAAGAUGUCCUUCGUACCUCGGGGCAGUUCUACCUCAGAAAUCAACCGUCCAACAGUGACAUCGACACAAUGCUACAAAUGCAGGCUGACAACGACCAUUAUUUCAUGACUCCCACGAUAGACGGCGGCUUCAUCCACGCUCCGGUCCCUUGAGUCGAGUCGAAAGCAGUGAUGCUGUGUCUAGUUCUGAAACAUCGAUUGGCUCAUGUUGUAAUUAAACUUUAAUGAACUUGUAGUAUGUCUCUUUGGUUUCGAGAGUCGUUCAACUUAGAUGUAAUCGAUGCUAUUAAUGUNNNNNNNNNNNNNNNNNNNNNNNNNNNNNNNNNNNNNNNNNNNNNNNNNNNNNNNNNNNNNNNNNNNNNNNNNNNNNNNNNNNNNNNNNNNNNNNNNNNNNNNNNNNNNNNNNNNNNNNNNNNNNNNNNNNNNNNNNNNNNNNNNNNNNNNNNNNNNNNNNNNNNNNNNNNNNNNNNNNNNNNNNNNNNNNNNNNNNNNNNNNNNNNNNNNNNNNNNNNNNNNNNNNNNNNNNNNNNNNNNNNNNNNNNNNNNNNNNNNNNNNNNNNNNNNNNNNNNNNNNNNNNNNNNNNNNNNNNNNNNNNNNNNNNNNNNNNNNNNNNNNNNNNNNNNNNNNNNNNNNNNNNNNNNNNNNNNNNNNNNNNNNNNNNNNNNNNNNNNNNNNNNNNNNNNNNNNNNNNNNNNNNNNNNNNNNNNNNNNNNNNNNNNNNNNNNNNNNNNNNNNNNNNNNNNNNNNNNNNNNNNNNNNNNNNNNNNNNNNNNNNNNNNNNNNNNNNNNNNNNNNNNNNNNNNNNNNNNNNNNNNNNNNNNNNNNNNNNNNNNNNNNNNNNNNNNNNNNNNNNNNNNNNNNNNNNNNNNNNNNNNNNNNNNNNNNNNNNNNNNNNNNNNNNNNNNNNNNNNNNNNNNNNNNNNNNNNNNNNNNNNNNNNNNNNNNNNNNNNNNNNNNNNNNNNNNNNNNNNNNNNNNNNNNNNNNNNNNNNNNNNNNNNNNNNNNNNNNNNNNNNNNNNNNNNNNNNNNNNNNNNNNNNNNNNNNAGUGGUGCGCCAUUAGUAUACCAGAUACUAAUGGCGCACCACUGGUGCGCCAUUAGUAAAAAUUACUAAUGGCGUGCUAGUAAUGGCGCACCAGUGAUGCGCCAUUAAUGGCCAAAUUAGGUGCGCCAUUAGUAGCGGUUUUUCUAGUACUGCAUAGUUAGGAGACCAUACGUACAUGCUUCGGGAAUCACAAACCUUAACACCAAUAUCCUUACUAAACACAACCAUUUACUAGAACCUCCCACAUAUUAUGAUCUCUGUAUCGCAAAACUAUUGCGAGGAAUCAAACAUAUCAUAUUCAGUGAUCUACAAGUUUUAUGUAGGAUUUUAUGACUAACCAUGUGAAUGACCAAUUCCUGUCAUCUCUCUAAAUAGAUAUAAGUGAAGAAAGAGAGUUUAAUUCUUUCUACAAAAGAUAUGCCCACGCUCUAACAAAUAUAAGUGAAGCAAAAGAGCAUUCUACAAAUGGCGGUUUUCUAUGUGAAGAGAAACAGGCAAUCCAAACUUCAAAUGAUAUAAGUGAAGCACAUGAAGCAUUAUAUAAAGCCAUACUCAAAAGAUUUAAGUGAAGUGCAAAGAGCAUUCUAUAAAUCAACCAAGGACUAUCUCGUACCAGCAUGGUGCAUAAAAGAAAAUUGAAAACUAAAUGCAAAAGACGCUCCAAGAUUUGCACAUAUCGCAUGAAUGAAACGAAUCCGAAAACAUACCGAUACUUGUUGAAGAAAGAUGGGAUGCCUUCCGGGGCAUCCCCAAGCUUAGACACUUGAGUCUCCUUGAAUAUUUACUUGGGGUGUCUUGGGCAACCCCAAGCUUGAGCUCUUGCCUCUCCUCCUUUUCCUCAUAUCGAGACCUCCUCGAUCUUCAAACACUUCAUCCACACAAAACUUCAACAGAAAACUCGGUAAGAUCUGUUAGUAUAAUAAAGAAAAUCACUACUCUAAGUACUGUUGUAAACCAAUUGAUAUUUUGUUUUUGCAUUGUAGCUACUGUAAUAUAACUUUUCCAUGGCUUAAUCCACUGAUAGAAAUUGAUAGUUUCAUCAGAACAAGCAAACUAUGCAUCAAAAACAGAAUCUGUCUUAAACAGGACAGUCUGUUGUAAUCUGAACAUUCACCAUACUUAUGGUACCCCAAAAUUUCUGCAAAACUUAGGAAAAAUUAACAAUUUGUAUAGAAAGACAUUACAAAAAGUUUCAGAACCGUUUGACGUUCCAGUAAAAAAAGUAAAAUCACGCACUACAGCCAAAGUUUCUGUCCUGCACCGCACAAACUAACAAGCAUUGUAAACAUCCUAAAGGCAAACCUUGGCACAUUAUUUAUUAGUAUAAAAUGGAAUUGUACAAGGGGAUAAUUAUUUUUGAUGAAAAUUUUUUGUAUUCACAAAGUUUUCGUGAGCUUGAACAAAGUUCAAGGAGCUCCCCCACUUCAACAAUGCUUGUCAUUCUCACUUUCACUUUCCUUUUUGAAAAGUCUUGGGUUCCCCUCUUUAUUUUUUUUGUUUCUAAACUAUAUGAAAGCACUCAACAGAAAUAAAUGACUCUCUAAAACUUCCAGGUUGUCUCCCUGGCAGCGUUUUUCUUUAAAUCCAUUAAGCUAGGCAUAUAGUGCUCAAGUAAUGGAUCCACCGGAUCCCAAGGUAUAUCAAAGCCAAUUUUAAUUAACAUUGAUUUGUAAUUUAGUAGUGAGCACAAAGUAACAUAUAUCAUGCAACAACGAAGUCUAACUCUCUUCCUAUGCAUAGGCAUGUCAUAAAAGAACAAUUCAUGCACACCAAGUAAAGGCCAAUGCAUAGUAUAAGCAGUUUCUUGCAAUUUUAUCAUAUUGGAAACAUAGAGAGGUGGAGAUAUAGUUCCUCUCUCAUAAUAAUUGCAAGUAGGAGCAGCAAGCAUAUUAUAUCUAUCAAAAUCAUCAUGUGUAGUAGUAAAACGCAACCCGUCAAUAUAAUCCUUAAUAAGGACAAACUUCUCUGAUAUAGUGUAGUUUGGAGUUUAUAUGAAUUUUUAAAGAGUUAAACAUUUUCUGGAUUUAUUAUUAAAUGUAAAACGGAGUUCUUGCAUUAGCAUGAUGUCAUCAUGAUGUCAACAGGGUCAACAGUCAACUCUGACUGGGUUGACUGUUCAAAGGGGCAGUGGGGCCCAAACGUCAUUCUGUACUAAAUAAUUAAUAGCUAAUUUGCUAACUAAUCAGACUAAUUAGGUCAGGUUAAUUAACAAUUAAUUAAUUAAGUAAGUAAUUAUUAUUUUAACUAAACCUUUUUAACAGGGGUGUGGUCCCCACCUAUCUGUGGCAUAGGAGGCCACUAGAGGGCUAACGGGGAUGGGCGACGGGCGCUGCCCCGGGGCAUGGGCUGGCCUGGGCGCAGCCUGCUGGGGCUGCGGUGAGGACGCCGGACCCAGGCGCGGGGCGGGUGUGUGAACGCACAGUCAAGGAAGCAGGGAGGCGUGGGCGGCAGGGUGCCACCGGGCGAUGGCCGCUGCGGCCGGCAACGGGCAGGGGCUGGCGGGGGCGGCCGGGCAUGGGGCAUGCCCCGGGCGCGGCGACAAGCAGGGGAGCCGCCGCGCCGGUGGACUAAGGCGAGAGCAGGCAAGGCGAGCGAGUUGGGCGGCUAGCGCAGCGGGUGCUGGCAAGCGGGCGCAGCGGGCUACAAACAGCGCAGCAGGGGCGGCAGGAGCGAGAGGCCAGAGGCGAGCCGCAAGCCGUGGCGGCAGCAAGGGGGCGGCUACGGCAGAGUUUAGGCCACGGUGCGACGGCGGGUACAGCUAGCUACGACCAAAAUUGAGCGAUCUAGAGGGAGGGGAGGGGAAGAUGCUCACGAUGGUGUAGGGGAGAAGCUUGGGAAGGCGCGGAGUGACGUGCAGCGGUGGCAAACUCCGGUGAGAUCCGGGUCAGGGCCAGAGAAGAAGGGGGCAUGUUGUCGAUGCAUUGCUCCCCGACUCGGUCUGCUCCUUGGAUUCGACAAGGACGAUGAGGGCCCCUCGGACGAGGUGGAGUGGCACGGGGACGGCGGUGGCCACAAUGGUAACGAUGGCUCGGCGACUAUGGCACACGGCAAGGUUGGGGUGCAGCGGAUCUGGGGGAGAGUGGGAGCGAGGGGGGUUAGGGUUCGAGAGGAGGGAUGCCGGGGACUAGUAGACGAGGGGGAGCGAGGGAUGGCUGCGACGCACAGCCUCGAGUGGCGGAUGGGCGCCACGGCCACCCCAGCCUCCUAUAGCGAGAAGAAGAGGACGUGUGGGGGUGGUUGGGCUGGUUUUUGCUAAAUGGGCCGGGUUGUCCAAUAGUUUAGGUCUGUUGCUUUCUCUCCUACUUUUUUUUGGUUACUGUUAUACAUUAUUUUCACAUUUAUUUUAGUUUCGUUAAAUCUAAAACUAGCUCCAUAAAUAGAGUUAUAAAAUAACCAACAACCACAAAAUGUUUCACACAUAAUUAAAAUAGUUUGACAUUUUAGAAAUUAUGAAAGGCAUUUAUUUAAUUGUUUUAGCUACACUUUUAUUUAUUUGAGUGCACUUAAAUAAUUUAUACAAGUGUGGUUUCUUCACUGAUAUUACCUAUGAAUUAUUUGCCACAGUUUGAACAAUUUAGAUUUGGCAUUUUGAAAACUUUAAAUUUUGACAUUAAUUUAAAUUUGAAUUUGGACCGAAUUCGAACCAACACGAGUUUAACAACAGUAAUCAUGAUGACGUGGCAUCAUUAGCAGGGAAUUACUAUAGCUUAGUUAUCCGGGCGUCACAAUUCUCCUCCACUACAAGAAAUCUCAUCCCGAGAUUUAAGGGGUGGAGGAAGGGGGAAAGACUCCAGAAGAACGGAGUUCAACACAAGAUAGGUAUCUAGGAGCUAUCUUAGUGAACGUGGCAUAGAGGCAUCUCUCGAGUAGAAAUUCAAGAAAGUAAUCGAGAGCAAGGUAAGAAGGUGCAAUAAGAAGCUUCAUGUUGUUAAUCAACCGUUCGUUGCAUGAAACAGAGGGUGAAGGGGGUUCGGAGCAAUGGGAAUAAGUAUUGCGUCUGAUACCAGAAUAGAUCACUAGGAAUGUGGCUCAUGAAUUACAUACGAAGCCAAGCACGAGGAAUAACUUAGGAAGCAGGGAUGUAUAUGAGAGUCAGGUUUCGACCCUGUGGAACUGUGGGUUAUGGGCCCACCAUGUGGGUUUAAAAGCGGGAAGGGUGCUAACAUUUGCACGGUCAUGAUAGCAAGGCCGGUUAGAGGACAACCUGUCAGUUAUGUUGGCAACAACGUUGGUACCAAGGGCAAGGGACGAAGAGAACUAUUUUCCUGCUCGUUAAGACGAGGCGGACCAAUAGGCAAAGUUCUCGUCCAUUGAUGGCUACCGGAAUGUCAUCAACAAUAGUAACAAGGCCUUACUGACAGAGUUUGUACACCGAGAUGUUUACAUAAGCAGGGAAUUAUCACUGGUCAGGUAUGUUAGGUUACAAGAAAGGUUAAACAAAACACUGGAAAGGGAAGUGUAGACUCGAAUCAGUUAUCGGUGUUCUCGAGUGUCUAACAACUCAGAACCCGUGGAAAACUUGAAUCAACGAGAAAUAAUAGUUGACGAAGAACUCAUAAGAAGUUAUGUAGUUCCGUGAUAUUCUUGAGAUACCAGAGGGUAAUACUCGAAGGUAGAACAGGAUAGAGGUUGGACAGGUGAAAUGAUCUACAGAAGACAAGUACUUCAACUUGUCCGAGAAAUGAAAUCAAAGGAGAACAAUCAUGGUCAGAACCACGGUUGCAUUGGACCAAACAUAGAUACAAGAUGAACUUAUCACAAGAGGAUUAUUAUUAUAACAUGAAGCUUCCAUGAUAGGAUCUACAUCGUGUCCAUGGGCAUGAACACAAAGUUCAAGGUCGACUCUCACUUCUCCAAUGCAUAACCUUCCAUGCACUUCUCGCAUUCGAAGAAGUUGUAGCAUUGAAAUUUUACCUGAAGAAGAGCCAGUAGAGUAUAACCCGCAUAACUUUCGAGUUCACACGGAUUUAGAAAAGACGUAGAUUCAACCCAAAGGGGCAUCUUAGGAACCUAUUCCACAAACUUCAGGAGUAAAUAUCUCAAGCUCGGAAGUAUAGCAUUGUUGAGGCAGCAGAGGAUAUAAUUUACCAAAGGCAUUAGGUUCCCGAGGAACAGGCUCACAAGGUUACUGAAUAUGAAGGACACUGUCGGAUAAAAACCAACAAAGGAUCUAGUGGUCCACAAGGAAUCUGAUGUGAGCAUUGAUACUCAACCAUAAGAAGAAAGAAUGCAAGGAUAGACAACUGACUAAUUCUAAGCUCGAAUGCAAAGGGAAUUAUGAUUUCCAAAAUGGGGGAUCGGAAGCAGAGGCUCUGAUCAAAUACAAUUAAUUAGAAUAGACAAAGAUGGACAAUCAACCAAGGUUUGAUUUUUCGAACACCAGCUCAUGUCCGGGGUGACAUCUGAGCAGAAGGGAAGAAUUCUAGUUGUGAUUGAUGAUUGCAAGCAUUCACUAAUAUAUCGAAUCAAAUGUUCAAAAUGACGAUGACAAAGGAUACUACUGAAUAUUACCAGACAUAUGGAAAGUAUCCAUAAUGCAAGCAGAAAAGUAUUUGCAGUGCAAUAGUUGGAGAGGAUUAUCGGAAGAUCGGACAGUAUUUCAAGGCAUCUUGUAAUAACAAUAGCAACUGGGGAUGAAGGUAUGAAUGACAAUGGUAGGUAGUUAUGUUGGGGAACGUUGCAUAAAAUAAAAAAAAAUCCUACGUUCACCAAGAUCAAUCUAUGAGUUCAUCUAGCAACGAGAGAGGGGAGUGCAUCUACAUACCCAUGUAGAUCGCGAGUGGAAGCGUUCAAGAGAACGGGGUUGAGGGAGUCGUACUCGUAGUGAUCCAAAUCAUCAGAGAUCCUAGCGCCGAACGGACGGCACCUCCGCGUUCAACACACGUACGGUCAGCAUGACAUCUCCUCCUUCUUGAUCCAGCAAGGGGGAAGGAGAGGUUGAUGAAGAUCCAGCAGCACGAUGGCGUGGUGGUGGAUGCAGCAGAGUUCCGGCAGGGCUUCGCCAAGCAACUACGGGAGGAGGAGGUGUAGCAAAGGGGGAAGGAAGGCACCAAUACUUUAGGGUGCGGCUGCCCUCCCCUCCCCCUCCUUUAUAUAGGCCCCUGGGGGGGGCCGGCCCUGGAGAUGGGAUCUCCCAAGGGGGAGGCGGCCAAGGGGGGUGGAGUGCCCCCCAAGGCAAGUGGAGGCGCCCCCCACCCUAGGGUUUCCAACCCGAGGCGCAGGGGGGCCCAAGGGGGGGCGCACCAGCCCACUAGGGGAUGGUCCCCUCCCCACUUCAGCCAACGGGGCCCUCCGGGAUAGGUGGCCCCACCCGGUGGACCCCCGGGACCCUUCCGGUGGUCCCGGUACAAUACCGGUGAUCCCCGAAACUCUCCCGAUGACCGAAACUGCACUUCCUAUAUAUAAUUCUUUACCUCCGGACCAUUCCGGAACUCCUCGUGACGUCCGGGAUCUCAUCCGGGACUCCGAACAACUUUCGGUUUGCUGCAUACUCAUAUCUCUACAACCCUAGCGUCACCGAACCUUCAGUGUGUAGACCCUACGGGUUCGGGAGACACGUAGACAUGACCGAGACGGCUCUCCGGUCAAUAACCAACAGUGGGAUCUGGAUACCCAUGUUGGCUCCCACAUGCUCCUCGAUGAUCUCAUCGGAUGAACCACGAUGUCGACGAUUCAAUCAACCCCGCAUACAAUUCCCUUUGUCAAUCGGUAUGUUACUUGCCCGAGACUCGGUCGUCGGUAUCCCAAUACCUCGUUCAGUCUCAUUACCGGCAAGUCACUUUACUCGUACCGUAAUGCAUGAUCCCGUGACCAGACACUUGGUCACAUUGAGCUCAUUAUGAUGAUGCAUUACUGAGUGGGCCCAGAGAUACCUCUCCGUCAUACGGAGUGACAAAUCCCAGUCUCGAUCUGUGUCAACCCAACAGACACUUUCAGAGAUACCUGUAGUGCACCUUUAUAGUCACCCAGUUAUGUUGUGACGUUUGGUACACCCAAAGCACUCCUACGUUAUACGGGAGUUACACGAUCUCAUGGUCUAAGGAAAAGAUACUUGACAUUGGAAAAGCUCUAGCAAACGAACUACACGAUCUUGUGCUAUGCUUAGGAUUGGGUCUUGUCCAUCACAUCAUUCUCCCAAUGAUGUGAUCCCGUUAUCAACGACAUCCAAUGUCCAUAGUCAGGAAACCAUGACUAUCUGUUGAUCAACGAGCUAGUCAACUGGAGGCUCACUAGGGACAUAUUAUGGUCCAUGUAUUCACACGUGUAUUACGAUUUCCGGAUAAUACAAUUGUAGCAUGAAUAAAAGACAAUUAUUAUGAACAAGGAAAUAUAAUAAUAAUCCUUUUAUUAUUGCCUCUAGGGCAUAUUUCCAACAGUCUCCCACUUGCACUAGAGUCAAUAAUCUAGUUACAUUGUGAUGAAUCGAACGCCCAUAGAGUUCUGGUAUUGAUCAUGUUUUGCUCGCGGAAGAGGUUUAGUCAACGGAUCUGCGACAUUCAGAUCCGUAUGUACUUUGCAAAUACCUAUGUCUCCAUCUUGAACAUUUUCACGGAUGGAGUUGAAACGACGAUUGAUGUGCCUGGUCUUCUUGUGAAACCUGGGCUCCUUGGCAAGGGCAAUAGCUCCAGUGUUGUCACAGAAGAGAGUGAUUGGCCCGGACGCAUUGGGUAUGACUCCUAGGUCGGUGAUGAACUCCUUCAUCCAUAUUGCUUCAUGCGGUGCCUCCGAGGCUGCCAUGUACUCCGCUUCACAUGUAGAUCCCGCCACGAUGCUCUCCUUACAACUGCACCAGCUUACUGCUCCAUGAUUCAACAUAUACACGUAUCCGGUUUGUGACAUAGAGUCAUCCAGAUCUGUGUCGAAGCUAGCGUCGACGUAACCCUUUACGACGAGCUCUUCGUCACCUCCAUAAACGAGAAACAUGUCCUUUGUCCUUUCCAGGUACUUCAGGAUAUUAUUGACCGCUGUCCAGUGUUCCUUGCCGGGAUUACUUUGGUACCUUCCUACCAAACUUACGGCAAGGUUUACAUCAGGUCUGGUACACAGCAUGGCAUACAUAAUAGAUCCUAUGGGUGAAGCAUAGGGGAUGACACUCAUCUCUUCUUUAUCUUUUGCCGUGGUCGGGCAUUGAGCCGAGCUCAAUCUCACACCUUGCAAUACAACCAAGAACCCUUUCUUGGAUUGAUCCAUUUUGAACUUCUUAAAUAUCUUAUCAAGGUUUGUGCUUUGUGAAAGACCUAUGAGGCGUCUCGAUCUAUCCCUAUAGAUCUCGAUGCCUAAUAUGUAAGCAGCUUCUCCAAGGUCCUUCAUUGAAAAACACUUAUUCAAGUAGGCCUUAAUGUUGUCCAAAAUUCUAUAUCAUUUUCCAUCAAAAGUAUGUCAUCUACAUAUAAUAUGAGAAAUGCUACAGAGCUCCCACUCACUUUCUUGUAAACGCAGGCUUCUCCAUAAGUCUGCAUAAACCCAAACGCUUUGAUCAUCUCAUCAAAGCGAAUGUUCCAACUCCGAGAUGCUUGCACCAUCCCAUAAAUGGAUCGCUGGAGCUUGCAUACUUUGUUAGCAUUCUUAGGAUCGACAAAACCUUCCGGCUGCAUCAUAUACAGUUCUUCCUUAAGAUAGCCGUUAAGGAAUGCCGUUUUGACGUCCAUCUGCCAUAUCUCAUAAUCAUAGUAUGCGGCAAUUGCUAACAUGAUUCAGACGGACUUCAGCUUUGCUACGGGAGAGAAAGUCUCAUCGUAGUCAACCCCUUGAACUUGUCGAUAACCCUUAGCGACAAGUCGAGCUUUAUAGAUGGUAAUAUUAUCAUCCGCGUCCGUCUUCUUCUUAAAGAUCCAUUUGUUUUCUAUCGCUCGUCGAUCAUCGGGUAAGUCUGUCAAAGUCCAUACUUUGUUUUCAUACAUGCAUUCUAUCUCGGAUUGCAUGGCUUCAAGCCAUUUGUUGGAAUCUGGGCCUGCUAUCGCUUCUUCAUAGUUCGAAGGUUCACCGUUGUCUAACAACAUGAUUUCCAGGACAGGGUUGCCAUACCACUCUGGUGUGGAACGUGUCCUUGUGGACCUACGAAGUUCAGUAGAUACUUGAUUCGAAGUACCUUGAUUAUCAUCAUUAAUUUCCUCUCCAGUCAGUGUAGGCACCACAGGAACAUUUUCCUGAGCUGCACUACUUUCUGGUUCAAGAGGUAGUACUUCAUCGAGUUCUACUUUCCUCCCACUUACUCCUUUCGAGAGAAACUCUUUUUCCAGAAAGGAUCCGUUCUUGGCAACAAAGAUCUUGCCUUCGGAUCUAAGGUAGAAGGUAUACCCAAUGGUUUCCUUAGGGUAUCCUAUGAAGACGCAUUUUUCCGACUUAGGUUCGAGCUUUCCAGGUUGAAGUUUCUUGACAUAAGCAUCGCAUCCCCAAACAUUUAGAAACGACAGCUUAGGUUUCUUCCCAAACCAUAAUUCAUACGGUGUCGUCUCAACGGAUUUUUACGGAGCCCUAUUUAAAGUGAAUGUAGCUGUCUCUAGAGCAUAUCCCCAAAAUGAUAGCGGUAAAUCGGUAAGAGACAUCAUAGAUCGUACCAUAUCGAAUAGAGUGCGAUUACGACGUUUGGACACACCAUUACGCUGAGGUGUUCCAGGCGGCGUGAGUUGUGAAACGAUUCCACAUUUUCUUAAGUGUGUACCAAAUUCGUGACUUAAAUAUUCUCCUCCACGAUCUGAUCGUAAGAAUUUUAUCUUUCGGUCACGUUGAUUCUCUACCUCAUUCUGAAAUUCUUUGAACUUUUCAAAGGUCUCAGACUUGUGUUUCAUCAAGUAGACAUACCCAUAUCUACUUAAGUCAUUAGUGAGAGUGAGAACAUAACGAUAUCCUCCGCGAGCCUCAACGCUCAUUGGACCGCACACAUCGGUAUGUAUGAUUUCCAAUAAGUUGGUUGCUCGCUCCAUUGUUCUGGAGAACGGAGUCUUGGUCAUUCUGCCCAUGAGGCAUGGUUCGCAUGUGUCAAAUGAUUCAUAAUCGAGAGACUCUAAAAGUCCAUCAGCAUGGAGCUUCUUCAUGCGCUUGACACCAAUGUGACCAAGGCAGCAGUGCCACAAGUAUGUGGGACUAUCGUUAUCAACUUUACAUCUUUUGGUAUUCACACUAUGAAUAUGUGUAACAUUACAUUCGAGAUUCAUUAAUAAUAAACCAUUGACCAUCGGGGCAUGACCAUAAAACAUAUCUCUCAUAUAAAUAGAACAACCAUUAUUCUCGGAUUUAAAUGAGUAGCCACCUCGUAUCAAACGAGAUCCAGAUACAAUGUUCAUGCUCAAACUUGGCACUAAAUAACAAUUAUUGAGGUUUAAAACUAAUCCCAUGGAUAAAUGUAGAGGUAGCGUGCCGACGGUGAUCACAUCGACCUUGGAACCAUUCCUGACGCGCAUCGUCACCUCGUCCUUCGCCAAUCUCCGCUUAUUCUGCAGCUCCUGCUGUGAGUUACAAAUAUGAGCAACGGCACCGGUAUCAAAUACCCAGGAGUUACUACGAGUACAGGUAAGGUAUACAUCAAUUACAUGUAUAUCACAUAUACCUUUAGUAUUGUCGGCCUUCUUGUCCGCUAAGUAUUUGGGGCAGUUCCACUUCCAGUGACCCUUCCCUUUGCAAUAAAAGCACUCAGUCUCAGGCUUGGGUCCAUUCUUUGACUUCUUCCCGGCAACUGGCUUACCGGGUGCGGCAACAUCCUUGCCGUCCUUCUUGAAGUUCUUCUUACCCUUGCCUUUCUUGAACUUGGUGGUUUUAUUGACCAUCAACACUUGAUGUUCUUUCUUGAUUUCUACCUCUGCCGACUUCAGCAUUGAAAAUACUUCAGGAAUAGUUUUCACCAUCCCCUGCAUAUUGUAGUUCAUCACAAAGCUCUUGUAGCUCGGUGGGAGCGAGUGAAGGAUUCUUUCAAUGACCGCCUCGUCCAGGAGGUUAAUGUCCAGCUGGGACAGGCGGUUGUGCAACCCAGACAUUUUGAGUAUGUGCUCACUGACAGAACUAUUUUCCUCCAUCUUACAACUAUAGAACUUGUCGGAGACUUCAUAUCUCUCGACCCGAGCAUGAGCUUGGAAAACCAUUUUCAGCUCCUCGAACAUCUCAUAUGCUCCGUCUUGCUCAAAACGCUUUUGGAGCCCCGAUUCUAAGCUGUAAAGCAUGCCGCACUGAACGAGGGAGUAAUCAUCAGCACGUGACUGCCAAGCAUUCAUAACGUCUUGGUUCUCUGGGAUGGGUGCUUCACCUAGCGGUCCUUCUAGGACAUAUGCUUUCUUGGCAGCUAUGAGGAUGAUCCUCAGGUUCCGGACCUAGUCCGUAUAGUUGCUACCAUCAUCUUUCAGCUUGAUUUUCUCUAGGAACGCGUUGAAGUUCAUGUUGGCAUGAGCGUUGGCCAUUUGAUCUACAAGACAUAUUUUGCAAAGACUUUAGACUAAGUUCAUGAUAAUUAAGUUCAUCUAAUCAAAUUAUUUAAUGAACUCCCACUCAGAUUAGACAUCCCUCUAGUCAUCUAAGUGUUACACGAUCCGAGUCGACUAGGCCGUGUCCGAUGAUCACGUGAGACGGAUUAGUCAUCAUCGGUGAACAUCUCCAUGUUGAUCGUAUCUUCCAUACGACUCAUGUUCGACCUUUCGGUCCCUGUGUUCCGAGGCCAUGUCUGUACAUGCUAGGCUUGUCAAGUUAACCUAAGUGUUUUGCAUGUGUAAAACUGUCUUACACCCGUUGUAUGUGAACGUAGGAAUCUAUCACACCCGAUCAUCACGUGGUGCUUCGAAACGAUGAACUUUAGCAACGGCGCACAGUUAGGGAGAACACUUUCUUUAAAUUAUUAUAAGGGAUCAUCUUAUUUACUACCGUCAUUCUAAGUAAACAAGAUGCACAAACAUAAUAAACAUCACAUGCAAUUAUAUAGUAAUGACAUGAUAUGGCCAAUAUCAUAUAGCUCCUUUGAUCUCCAUCUUCGGGGCUCCAUGAUCAUCUUCGUCACCGGCAUGACACCAUGAUCUCCAUCAUCGUGUCUCUAUGAAGUUGCUCGCCAACUAUUACUUCUACUACUAUGGCUAACGGUUUAGCAAUAAAAUAAAGUAAUUACAUGGCGUUAAAUCAUUGACACGCAGGUCAUACAAUAAUUAAGACAACUCCUAUGGCUCCUGCCGGUUGUCAUACUCAUCGACAUGCAAGUCGUGAUUCCUAUUACAAGAACAUGAUCUCAUACAUCACAAUAUAUCAUUCAUCAUUCAUCACAACUUUUGGCCAUAUCACAUCACAAGGCAAUUGCUACAAAAACAAGUUAGACGUCCUCUAAUUGUUGUUGCAUCUUUUACGUGGCUGCAAUAGGGUUCUAGCAAGAAUGUUUUCUUACCUACGAAAAAGCCAUAAUAUGAUUUGUCAACUUCUAUUUACCCUUCAUAAGGACCCUUUUCAUCGAAUCCGCUCCAACUAAAGUGGGAGAGACAGACACUCACUAGCCACCUUAUGCAACUAGUGCAUGUCAGUCGGUGGAACCUGUCUCACGUAAGUGUACGUGUAAGGUCGGUCCGGGCCGCUUCAUCCCACAAUAUCGCUGAAGCAAAAUAAGACUAGUAGCUAGGAGUGGGCAUAAAAACCGAGGAACCAAAGACCGAACCGAAGCCAAAACUGAAAAAACCGAAAUUUCGGUUUUUAGUAGUGGUAAUGAAAAAUUCGGUUUUUACUUUUGUUAACCGAACUAACUUUGAUCGGUUCAGUCUUACACUGGUAACCGAACACGCAAGCACUACAGCGCACGUCGCUAAAAGGACGCGCCAGGUAGCAACUACGAGUGUGCACGUGCGGUCGGAAUAUCACUUCCAUGGGCCCAGCCAACUACCUGCAUGCAUGCACGUUUUUUUGGGCUUUUUAUGUGGCACUGCGUGGCCCAUGUUCUCUUCCUGUACGCCGGAAACUAGCAGGACGUGCUGUCCUUGUGGGUUUAGUUCCACCUCGGCUGGCUACGUGAAGGAACACAUGAUGCUUGGCUAUAUAAAAGACUUGGUUGCUAGAGGUAUCAGGUGUGCACGAUGUUGCGCUAAUACUUCGGUAUGUACGGUAGAAACCGAAUACCAAACCGAAUUAUCGGUUGACCAGAGUUUCGGUUUUCUAGUUUUCUGAUUCAUUUUCGGUGAGCAUUUUGUCUAAUCGAAAUUCAAAAAAUACGAAAAUAUAUUAACCGAACUUUCGGUUUCUACCUAAUGCCCAGGCCUACUAGUAGUGGCAAGCAAGUUGACAACAUCUAUGCCCACAACAGAUUUGUGUUCUACUCGUGCAAUAAAGAACUACGCAUAGACCUAGCUCAUGAUGCCACUGUUGGGGAACGUUGCAUAAAAUAAAAAAAACCCUACGUUCACCAAGAUCAAUCUAUGAGUUCAUCUAGCAACGAGAGAGGGGAGUGCAUCUACAUACCCUUGUAGAUCGCUAGCGGAAGCGUUCAAGAGAACGGGGUUGAGGGAGUCGUACUCGUCGUGAUCCAAAUCACCAGAGAUCCUAGCGCUGAACGGACGGCACCUCCGCGUUCAACACACGUACGGUCAGCGUGACGUCUCCUCCUUCUUUAUCCAGCAAGGGGGAAGGAGAGGUUGAUGAAGAUCCAGCAGCACGACGGCGUGGUGGUGGAGCAGCAAAGUUCUGGCAGGGCUUCGCCAAGCAACUACGGGAGGAGGAGGUGUAGCAAAGGAGGAAGGGAGGCACCAAGACUUCAGGGUGCGGCUGCCCUCCCCUCCCCCUCCUUUAUAUAGGCCCCCUCGGGGGCGCCGGCCCUGGAGAUGGGAUCUCCCAAGGGGGCGACGGCCAAGGGGGGUGGAGUGCCCCCCAAGGCAAGUGGAGGCGCCCCCCCCCCCCACCCUAGGGUUUCCAACCCUAGGCGCAGGGGGGGCCAAGGGGGGCGCACCAGCCCACUAGGGGCUGGUCCCCUCCCCACUUCAGCCCACGGAGCCCUCCGGGAUAGGUGGCCCCACCCGGUGGACCCCCGGGACCCUUCCGGUGGUCCCGGUACAAUACCGGUGACCCCCGAAACUCUCCCGAUGGCCGAAACUGCACUUCCUAUAUAUAAUUCUUUACCUCGGGACCAUUCCAUAACUCCUCGUGACGUCCGGGAUCUCAUCCGGGACUCCGAACAACUUUCCGUUUGCUGCAUACUCAUAUCUCUACAACCCUAGCAUCACCCAACCUUAAGUGUGUAGACCCUACGGGUUCGGGAGACACGUAGACAUGACCGAGACGGCUCUCCGGUUAAUAACCAAUAGCAGGAUCUGGAUACCCAUGUUGGCUCCCACAUGCUCCUCGAUGAUCUCAUCGGAUGAACCACAAUGUCGAGGAUUCAAUCAACCCCGCAUACAAUUCCCUUUGUCAAUCGGUAUGUUACUUGCCCGAGACUCGGUUGUCGGUAUCCCAAUACCUCGUUCAGUCUCGUUACCGGCAAGUCACUUUACUCAUACCGUAAUGCAUGAUCACGUGACCAGACACUUGGUCACAUUGAUCUCAUUAUGAUGAUGCAUUACUGAGUGGGCCCAGAGAUACCUCUCCGUCAUACGGAGUGACAAAUCCCAGUCUCGAUCCGUGUCAACCCAACAGACACUUUCGGAGAUACCUGUAGUGCACCUUUAUAGUCACCCAGUUACGUUGUGACGUUUGGUACACCCAAAGCACUCCUACGGUAUCCGGGAGUUACACGAUCUCAUGGUCUAAGGAAAAGAUACUUGACAUUGGGAAAGCUCUAGCAAACGAACUACACGAUCUUGUGCUAUGCUUAGGAUUGGGUCUUGUCCAUCACAUCAUUCUCCCAAUGAUGUGAUCCCGUUUUCAACGACAUCCAAUGUCCAUAGUCAGGAAACCAUGACUAUCUGUUGAUCAACGAGCUAGUCAACUAGAGGCUCACUAGGGACAUAUUGUGGUCUAUGUAUUCACACGUGUAUUACGAUUUCCGGAUAAUACAAUUAUAGCAUGAAGAAAAGACAAUUAUCAUGAACAAGGAAAUAUAAUAAUAAUCCUUUUAUUAUUGCCUCUAGGGCAUAUUUCCAACAAGUUACCCAUAAGGAUUUAUUGGUGGUAGGGAUCGCAACGGCAAAGGGCGCAAGGGUCUCUAGAAAACUUCGGAGAGUAUCUUCAGAAUCUUCCGGUGCACCAAAUAAUCAUCUGGAGUGAGGGGCUCUCCGGUGAUAGUAUUUACGAGAACCUAGAGUUAGAGUUAGCAAAAUCAUUUAACCCAAAUAGAAGAGAGAUUAGAUUCCCAGAGUAUAGACGAGGAGUAAAAGGUCCUAAUACUACCCAAUGGCGAUGUGGGCCCGUAAACCGCACAGCCAUGUUAGUAAAAGUUUUUCAGUGGCUAGACUCAACUUCGGCCAAGGAGUUGGAAAGGGGGGUUCCUACGGGCAGUCGGCUCUGAUACCAACUUGUGACGUCCCUGAUUCAAUCGUACACUAAUCAUGCACGCAAAUGUGUAAGAUCAAGAGCAAGGACUUACAGGAAGAAAUCACAACACAACUCUAGACACGAAUUGAAAUAAUACAAGCUUUAUAUUACAAGCCAGGGGCCUCGAGGGCUCGAAUACAUAAGCUCGACACACAAGAGUCAGCAGAAACAACAAUAUUUGAGUACAGACAUAAGUUAAACAAGGGUGCCUUAAGAAGGCUAGCACAAAAGCAACACGAUCGAAGAGGCAAGGCCUCCUGCCUGGGACCCCCUAAACUACUCCUGGUCGUCGGUGGCCUCCACGUAGUAGUAUCCGUCGGUGGUGGCAUCUGGCUCCAUGGAUUCACCAUCUGGUUGCAACAACCGGAAAGAAGAAAGAAGGGGGAAAAGGGGUAGCAAAGCAACCAUGAGUACUCAUCCAAAGUACUCACAAGCAUCAGAUCUAUACUAAGUAUGCAUUGGUAUCAAAUGGAAGCUUUGUAUCUAUAGACUGACCUGUAGAAUGCCAGAAUAGAGGGGGGAAGGCCUAGCCUAUCAAAGACUUCUUCAAGCGGCUCCAAGCAUCUUGCACCAUGUAGGAGAGUAAAGAAUAGCAGUUUAUAAUUAGCAAGCAUGAUGUAGCAUUAACGCCCAGAGAUCCUUCAUUGACUCUCUGCGAGAAAGCAAUCCUGGGGCCACAUGUCUCAAGUAUCCAUUUCUAGUUGUAAAAGACCAGGAUAUAAGUCUGAACUUGCCGGAAGAACCAUACCCAGCUCGGAAACUUCUAACCCUCCACAACUUCCAUGGGAAGUGGGAUGAUUUUAUUGUUCCCAUCCACACCAAUAGCAGACAGGAUUUGCCCUUUGUACUGACCUGUCAGGACUGUACCAUCCACAAACAUAACUGGAGGACAAUGCUGGAAAGCUUCGAUGCACAUAGCGAAAGAGAAGAAUAAUCAUUUCAACACCUUGAAAUCUGGUAUACUCGGCAACCUCGUGUGUUGUACAUUCACAUAUCAUAUGAGUCGGGAUUCCUCUCCUUCAGUAUGUCAAGGGACGGACAACAUUAUCAUAUGAGUCAAAGAACGUCCCAAACCUUCCCUUCAUAGCCUUCUGCUUAGCCCUCCAAGCCUUCCCAUAAGGAAUGACAUCAUUCCAUCUGAUCUUCACUACUGUUUGGAUAUCUUUUGCUUCCAUAUCAUUCUUCUCUACUAUCUCAGUAUACAUGAGUUGCGCAAUGAGAGUUGAAGUCUGGUUGUCAUACUUCGACACAUGCCCAUGCACCUUCCUAGGACAACAUGUUUCAACACAUUUCAUGGUAUAAUUUGUUGGACUUGAUAUGUGUGUCCGAAAAACCCUCUGUGUAGACAUGGCCCACUUUAUCACCGCAUAAUUUAAUUUUUUUCUUUGUAUCAAACAUAGCCCUAUCUGGACUUGGUUCAGAUUAUACUGCCAUGAAGUCUCAUGUCCAUCGUUGAUCGUAAGGCCAGUGGAUAUGUCCUGGUCCCAUGCAGAAGGAAUCGGUACCUCCACUUCAUCCUCGGAAUUUUCAGAAUCCAGAUCCUCCGCCCAUCCAUCCUCGUCCUCUUCCUCCAUCACCCUCUAUAUUUCAUCCCCUUCCUCAUCCCCAUCGGCAAAACCAGAACCAGAUAAUAUUAUCGAUUGGCUACUCUACCCAGUAUCAUGACCACAAACAUUGUGUGGCACGUAGUCCGACUCUUUCUCGGGUUGGCUAGCAUCCACAUCGGGUGGCUGUGACCCGGAUAAAUCAAUCUCAUUAGCCACUUGACUGCCUUGUCCGGGUUCAUACCCCCUAUGGAGUUGUAUGGUAUUCCCUCCUUCGCCACAAUUUGCACAAGGGCAUAUGGGUGGAUUCUUUGGUCUCGGCAACGUCUUAACAUUGUCAACCAAUGAUGGCUCCUAUCUAUCGACAUCAACUCACACUUGACAUUUUUACAGGAUUUGGUCCACAAUGCAUGAAUACUGACGGAACAUACUUGAGGAUCCAGCCCGAAACUAGUUGUCAACCAGUACUUCAACUGUCUAAUGUCCAGUCUGUCCGGGUCUGCUAGUGUCAUUACGCCAUUUUUAAACUCGCUAAGAUCAACCCCCAACUCAUUAUAUCAAACAUUACUAGCGCCGUAGUAAACAAUCAAAUUUACUGAUUCAUACUUCACCUGUCAGACAUUGUCAUCUUCUCAUUAAUCACAACGAACACUAAUAUUACCCGCUACACUAACUAUGCGCUAAAAUGCCACCACAUACAAAUUAACACUACAAUUCGCAAUAUGACCUAUCUACACUAAUUAAACUAUAUAAUUCAGAGAAAAUUUGUGAGGACAUGGUUAUACCUUCGACGCGUGUGUCCCCGGUUUGUUGCUCCUCUCUUCAACUCAGCACCACCGGCCACCUCGCGGAGUAUUUGCACCACCGGACAACGAUAGCACAACCGCCGCCCCCUCGACGACCAGAGGUUCAACUCCGGAUACAACCCAAGCCGCACCUCCUCCUCACCACCUCCUCCUCCACACCUGCUGCUCCUCCUCACCACCACCUACUUCCCAACCGCACCUCCUCCACCCCACCAUGGCUCCUCCUCCCCAAACGCUCAAAUAACUAUCCAAUAGUAAUAAAACACUGUAGGCCGUGGGAGAUUGAAAUGACCUACCAAUUAUGUGCCUUAGAUGUGAAAACGUGGGGAAAUGGAGGAGAUCGGCGCGGGGUGGCGAGCUACAUAGAGAAGAAUGAGAGAGAGAGAGAGAGAAACAUAGGCGAGCAAGACGAGAGGAAGGAGAUGACCCCGUCGGUGGCUUAUCCAGACCUUUUCGGUCGAGUGGUGGUCGAAAAGCUUAUCGGCUGCGGGCUAGCGAAAUCGGCCCACUUCGAUCGCGCGUAGGCCGAAGCUACUAUUUUCGGCUGCCCUCCCACCGACGCCAACUCUUCGGCCCAUGUUAGCCCAUCUUCGGUCAACUCCAGGCUGAAAUAUCGUUUUCGGCCAACUACGGACCGAAAAGACCCUUUUCGGCCCCCACCAGGCCGACAGGGUCAUACUUUUGAAUAUAUUUUUUCCAUUCAGUGCUAUAGUUUCUGAAUUUGCUAUAAAAAAAGUCAUAGUUUUGAAAAAAAAUCGUCUCUGACUUGCCUUUUUUUCUACUGCAUAAGGAGAACAGUGUAGGUCCCUGACUUCACUCGUGCAAGUCACAGGAUCCGGCUCCGAAACUUUCCCCAAUCCUCAAACCUCAGCUAGCUCACGAACACGAAAAUCAUCGGCGACAGAGGAGAUUUUGGAUCGGUGCGGCGGUGCGGCUGAGCAAGGGCAGCGGCUGGGUUGAGGUACGGCUCCGAUCCACGCCCCUUCCUCCCCGGUCUCCUCCCUCCCUCCCUCAUUUGUUUCCCGGCGGCGCGUGCGGAUAGCGGGGAGCUCAAGCUGCGCGGAACGCGGAGUUCUCCGGCGGCGGGGCACGCAUCUUCCCGUAACGGGGAGCGCCACUCCUAUUCCGUCGAGCGUGGCGGGGAUCACAUCUUGCUCUGCUCUGCUCUCUGCUCUCUGCUCUCUCUCUGCUCUCUGCUGUCUGCUCUCUGCUCUCUGCUCUCUCUCUGCUCUCUCUCUCUCUCUCUCUCAGUAUGUGGCCUAACUUCCGUCUCUGACGAUUUUCCUGCAGCUAGCACGGAGAAGCAACAAUGCUGGUGGCACCGAGCCGGCGAGGAGAAGCAGCAGCGCACUCUUCGUCUGCGGUGGACAACAUCGCCCCCAGCGGCGGGUCUUCGCCUGCUGCGUCGGCCAUCGUCGCGCCGGCUGUGUCCGGGUCGCACGUCGUCAAGAUAGACGGCUACUCCCGCAUCAAGGGGCUUGGCAACGGCAAAUGCAUCGCGUCGGAGUCUUUCACCAUCGGAGGCCAUCGAUGGUGUAUGCACUUCUACCCAGACGGCGAUCGGACUGAAGACGCAGAUUGGAUAUCCAUUUUUCUGUGCCAUACAGAUCGAACUGAUGCUAGUGAAGUCAAAGCAGAGUUCAAGAUCAGUUUGCUUGACCAGGACAGGCAACCAGUGGCAUUGCACGGCAGAUGCAUACACACCUUCUCCAGCAAAGAUUAUACGUGCGGCUUCCGUUGGUUCAUCAAAAGAAAGGACUUGGAGGAAUCCACUUACCUUAAGGAUGAUGUUUUCAGCAUCAGGUUCGAUGUCACCGUCUCAAAGGAGAUCUUCACCGAGCUAAUCCUGCCGCAUGUGGUCGUGCCACCGUCCAACAUGCACCAGCAUCUUGGACAACUGCUCCUGGCCGGCGAGGCGGCCGAUGUUACCUUCGAGGUCGGAGGCGAGACAUUUGCCGCGCACAGGUGCAUACUCGCAGCUCGUUCGUCGGUCUUCAAGGCGGAGCUCCUCGGCCCCAUGAAGGAGAAGACCGCAACUCGCGUUCUGAUCGACGACAUGGAAGCCAUGGUGUUCAAGGCUUUGCUCCACUUCAUCUACACCGAUUCGCUGCCCGCGAUCGGCGAGGGCGACACGGCGGCCAUUGCUCAGCAUUUGCUGGUUGUUGGAGUUCUAUCCAUAUGAUCAAUCACAUCAAAUCACGAUAAACACGCACACGAAAAACUGAUAGCCAAGGCCUUUGUCGUGCCCUUAUUUUUCCUCUUUAUUACUUUCUGAUUUUUCUCCACGGUGUUACAAAAGACUCACGCCCAAGUGCAUAUAUAUAUAUAUAUAUAUAUAUAUAUAUAUAUAUAUAUAUAUGCAGAUAGCCGCCGACUCAACAGCUCCUAAACCUACACGUGCUAGGACUCCUAGUUCUACUUAGACUAGAACACAGCCUAACCAAUCUACGGCCGGGUGAUAAUCCUAGUCGGACUCAACCUGCGAGACUAGUACUCACGACAUGACAUGAAGUCCUACAUGGACACGUACUCAACUCCUAUCACGCGUUCUACAACCAAGACAUCAAGCCGGACUAACUAGUCUACUACUGACAAGAUUACUGCUAACAAUCUUCCCUUAAUCUUGACACUCCGUCUUCCGUGCUUCUCUGGUCUUGGCUCGUUGUAGAUCACCCCUUGUCGCUCAUCCGCUCGCACCACGACAAGUCAAAUUGACGAUCUUGAUUGCUCGCAACAAUCUCCCCUCCAAUUUUGACUUGGCCAAUUUACGGACCACCUCAAAUAUGUCUUGGACUACCCAGCCUCGCCAGUAACCUGUGGAACACACCACCGGGUGGAUUACACCAUCCACCCUAGCGAGAUACAUGCCGGCUCCUUGUGGAUCACACCACCCUGUGGACUACACCGCCCACUCCAGCCUCAUGUAGAGACAUGGCCUCAUUGAAGAGACUCACCUUCACUGGUUUACCGCCCCCACAUAGUUGAACUUGAUCCUCUCGUCGAGACAUAUAGACGACCUGGGCUUCAUCUUCAACGCCACCUCACAGAGACGAGCACUUGGACAUGACGACGACUGACGACCAACUGACCGACCGACCGACCGUGCUAACCCGCACGACUCCUUGACUCUAACUCCCGCAGAUGACGAUCUUGACGACUUCCCGGCACCGCAUCACCGCACCACCGCCCCGUCAACGAUCUCCAUCCACCGCCUUGCCGACGACAUCCCGCCGUCUUCUUCCAUGUCGCUCCGCCGAACGACAAUCUCCCGAUCCUCCGCAUCGCUGCAGCAUCCAGCGAUAACAUUGCCCUCCGCUCCUCGUCGCUGCACCACCCAGCGACCAUAUCGGCCGCCCCGAGGCGCUAGUAGGUCGCCACCCCGGGGCAAGCACGGCUUCAAAUCGACCUAGCUCUUAUACCAAUUGUUGGAGUUCUAUCCACAUGAUCGAUCACAUCAAAUCACGAUAAAUACACACACGAAAAACUGAUAGCCAAAGGCCCUUGUCGUGCCCUUAUUUUUCCUCUUUAUUACUUUCUGAUUUUUCUCCACGGUGUUACAAAAGACUCACGGCCAAGUGCAUAUAUAUAUAUAUAUAUGCAGGUAGCCGCCGACUCAACACCUCCUAAACCUACACGUGCUAGGACUCCUAGUUCUACUUAGACUAGAACACAGCCUAACCAAUCUACGGCGAGGUGAUAAUCCUAGUCGGACUCAACCUGCUAGACUAGUACUCCCGACAUGACAUGAAGUCCUACAUGGACACGUACUCAACUCCUAUCACGCGUCUACAACCAAGACAUCAAGCCGGACUAACUAGUCUACUACUGACAAGAUUACUGCUAACACGGGUAGCGGCUGACAGGUAUGAUAUGGAAAGGCUGAAGCUGAUCUGCGAGGCGAAGCUGUGCGAUCACAUCUGCAAAAGCACGGUGGUGACUACGCUGGCGUUGGCGGAGCAGCAUGGCUGUGGUGCUCUUAAGAAGGCAUGCUUGAAGUUUCUGACGUCUGAAGGUAACCUCAAGGCAGUGAUGGCAUCUGAUGGAUAUGAGCACCUGAGCAGCAGUUGCCCAUCUGUUCUCUAUGAACUGGUCGCCAAGCUUGCUCCUUGAUCUCUAUUGAGUCUAAAACUCACAAGAUCUGGAUAUUUAUUCUGCUAUUUAUAUUUUUAGAAGUGAUGGUAAUCCCACUACUGGUAGUCUGUUAAAGACAGUAAAGUCUAUGUGAAAACCAAUGCUGCUUGCAUUUGCUGCAUCUGUUUGAGCCCAGUCGUAUUUUCUACAAAUAUGGGAACGCUUUAUAAAAUUCUGAACAUAAAUUUAGAAAACUGAAAAUGUGAGAAAUUGUUGUUUAAUCUUUGUGUUCUGAAAAUUAGAGGAAAGAUUCGGAAAUCCUAAGGAUGAAUCUCGGGAAAAGGAAAAUCCUCAAUUUUUUAAUUAUUAGAGUUUCCAAUUUGCGGUACUUACCACACGGUGGCACGGUGCUUAAUUCAAAUGUGAGGUUAUGAAUUGUUAUUACAUUGCUUUAUUCAGAACUAUAGUGGCUGCGCAAAUGCGCUGGCAAUAAAUUUAUUGUUUUUCACACAUAGAAAACGUUUACUAAUUUCGUCUGGGCAACACAUUUAUUUGUUUCUUAACACAUCAAAAUUGUUUACAUAUAGGAAGAUGAUUUAUGUACAUUAUGUGCUUUAGUACAAUGUACUAUAUCCAGAUCAUAUCUUGGCCUAGAACCGGACCAAUCAACCAAAUAUAGAUGCACUCUCCAUCACUCACUUUUACCCAAGGGCUAAUAGGCUGAUUAGACAUUCCCAAUACCUUCCUUAUCUUCUCAUGAAUCCAAGGAAACAAACGAUGCCAACUUAUAAAUGUAGGUGUCAAUAUUAUUCUAUGCGCCCUUGCGAGGGCCAAUUCCCCGAAACUCGUUUUCUUGUGUGAGAUGAGACUUCCAGCAACAAAAGUUGAAAAGUUAAGAUGGCGAUUGGGUCUCCGAGGCUUUAGUGGAUUGUGAUGGCCGAGGAGGACUUGGUCUUUUUUGGGAUGAGACACUGCAAGUAACAAUUCUGGAAGCGUGUAAUCGCUUCAUUGAUGUUAGGAUCUUUGAUCCAGGAGUUGACAAUACUUGGAGAACAACAUUCGUCUACAGCGAACCCAGGGUAGAGAAUAGAAGGAACAUGUGGGAUCAUCUCACGCGGCUCCGCGGCCGAUCUAAUGAGCCAUGGUUGGUCUGCGGAGACUAUAAUGAAUGUGUGUGGCAGCACGAGCAUCUCUCGUGCAUGCAACGAGGUUCAGCACAAAUGGAAGCCUUCCGAGACUGUCUAGAAGUAUGUGAGAUCAGAGAUCUGGGUUUUUCCGGCGUCCCAUACACGUACAAUAAUAACCAGUAUGGAGCCCGUAAUGUCCAAGUCGCCUUGACAGAGCCUGCACAGAUGAAGCGUGGCGCGAACUGUUUCCGAAGGCGCGGGUGAAGCAUCUUAUAUCGCCCGUCUCUGACCACCUACCACUGCUGAUUGAGGUGGAGGUACAGGAGCCGACGCGAUGCAAGAACAGCGGUGGCUGGUAUGAAAUCAUGUGGGAGAGGCAUGCGGCCCUCCCGAGUAUCAUUGCAAAGGCAUGGGCGAAGAAGAAGGCUAAGGAUUUGGGCGAGGUGGCGCAGAAUCUUCAAAAUAUGAUGUGUGAAUUACGUGAAUGGAGCAAACAACACUUCGGCCAUGUUUCAAAACAGAUAGAAGUACUUAGAGCUGAACUGGAGGACUUACAGUUGAAGAGGGCAGAAAGAUCAAUCAUUCGAGAGAAGAUGUUUGUCCUUGACGAGCUCCUAUACCGUGAGGAAAUGAUGUGGCUGCAGCGCUCUCGAAUCAAUUGGCUGAAAGAAGGUGAUAGAAACACUCAGUACUUUCACCGAAAAUCAGUUUGGCGUGCUAGGAAAAAUUAUAUUCGUGUCUACGGAAGACUGAUGGCACGUGGACUGAAACACCCACUGAUAUGGAACGUAUGGCUCAGUCCUACUUCCAAGAGUUGUUCACGAAGGAUCCAACAUUAUCAGCGGAUGAGUUGCUGGGAUGCAUUAAAUCAAAGGUAACACAGCAAAUGAAUGAUACUCUAAAUGCACCCUAUACAGAGAAAAAGGUGGCAGAUGCCUUGUUUCAAAUUGGUCCCAUAAAAGCUCCGGGACUAGAUGGGUUUCCGGCGCGAUUUUUUCAACGCAAUUGGCAGGUUUUGAAAGAAGAGGUAACAAUGGCUGUUUUCGAAUUUUUUGCAACUGGACAUAUGCCAGAGGGGGUAAAUGAUACGGCAAUUGUUCUUAUUCCCAAAGUUCCUACUCCUACGGAUCUGAAAGAUUUUAGACCAAUUAGUCUUUGUAAUGUGAUUUACAAGGUGGUGUCAAAGUGUAUGGUUAACAGACUCGUCCUUUGCUAACAGAGCUCAUAUCAGAGAAUCAAAGCGCCUUCAUCCCUGGGCGUUUGAUCACAGCCUUCGAGUGUAUACAUCACAUCCAAUCAGUGAACCAAGCACAAUCUUAUUGUGCUUACAAACUGGACCUAUCGAAGGCAUACGAUCGGGUGGAUUGGGAUUUUUUGGAGAAGGCCCUACUCAAAUGGGGCUUCUCAGCAGCGUGGGUCGACCGCAUCAUGGAAUGUAUUCGGUUGGUCAGAUACUCGGUGAAGUUCAAUGGUAAAUUGUUGAGUAAAUUUUCUCCAACAUGUGGCCUUAGACAAGGUGAUCCGUUAUCCCCUUUUUUAUUUCUUGUUGUGGCUGAUGCCUUGUCUGCACUGUUACAUAAAGCUACUCGGGAGGAAGGGUUGGAGGCGAUGCAAAUUUGUAGAAGGGCUCCUGAGAUCUCUCACUUAUUAUUCGCGGAUGAUACCUUGUUAUUCUUCCGUGCGAGACCAGAAGUGGCAAAAAUUGUCAAGAAGGUGUUGAACACUUAUGCUGAUUCGACAGGACAACUAAUCAACCCGUCCAAGUGCUCCAUCUUAUUUGCUGACAAUUGCCCUCCUGAAGUUACUAAUGAGAUCAGGAGUAUUCUCAGUGUCUCUCAAGAAGUGUUCGAGCCAAAAUAUUUAGGCUUACCAGUACCUGAGGGAAGAAUGAGCAAAGGCUUAUUACAACCAAUCGAGGCAAAGCUAAGCAAACAACUUGUUGACUGGAGCGAGAGAUACAUGUCAAUGACGAGUAAGGAAGUGUUAAUUAAGGCAGUGGCCCAAGCAAUACCCACAUACGCGAUGAGCGUUUUUAAAUUGCCUUUGUCAGUGUGCGAUGACCUGUCUAAAUUGAUUAGGAAAUAUUGGUGGGGUGUGGAAGAAGGAAAGAGGAAGAUGGCUUGCCUUUCUUGGGAUAAAAUGAUGUUACCAAAAUCCAUGGGGGCAUGGGAUUCGGGGAUAUGAGAGUUUUUAACCAGGCUUUAUUAGCAAAGCAAGCAUGGAGGUUAAUAGAGCACCCGGAGAGCUUAGUUGCAAGGCUACUGAAAGCAAAAUACUUCCCUUCAGGAGAUCUAGUUGAUACUGUGUUUGCUAGCAAUGCGUCUGCAGUAUGGCGUGGAAUUGAGCAUGGUCUGGAACUAGUUAAAAAGGGCAUGAUUUGGCGUGUGGGUAAUGGCCAGAAUAUUCGUAUAUGGAGGGAUCCUUGGGUCCCGAGAGGGCCUUCCCUGAGGCCGAUCACUCCUAAUGAGGUGCAGAUUGAAAAAGGUGUCUGACCUACUGGAUACCAAUGGGAGAUGGAACGUUGAUUUGCUUAACAAACACUUCUUCCCGGCUGACACCCAUAUCAUUCGGUCAAUAAAAACAUCACCUAGUAACGGUGAUGAUUUCAUAGCGUGGUACCCAGGGAAGCAUGGAACAUUUUAUGUCAUUUAGCUAUGCAUGAUCACGUACAACAGUUUAAUGGUGGGGCGUGCAGCUCAAGACCAGAAGGUGAACGGCCUUGUUGGAACCUUAUCUGCCAGGCCGAUGUACCUCACAAAAUGUGCACCUUCGCGUGGAAGGUCGCAGUGGGCGCGCUUCCAACAAAUGGAUGCAAACUGAAAAGACACAUUGGUGUUCUGCACAGUGUAGUAUUUGUGGUGCAGAGGAGGAAGACUCCUUCCAUUCUUUGAUAAUUUGCCCUCAUGCAAGAAACCUUUGGGAGGAGGUGAGCAGCGAGUGGCCUCUUCCGAGGAAUGACGAUCUGUUGUACACUGGAUCAGAAUGGUUGUUUAGCAUCUUAACCAAUCAGCAGGAGGAAGUAAGGGCAAUGAUAAUCAUGCUGUUAUGGAGAGUGUGGAGCUUGCGCAAUGAUAUAGUUCACGGCCAGGAGGUUCCGCCGGCGCAGGUGUCUCGAUCAGUGUACCUCGUCAGCUACCUAUCUUCAUACGCUCAAGCGCAAAAGCAAGGUGUUCAAGAAAUUAUAAAGGGCAAGUCUCCAUUGUUUGUCCCUCCGAUACACUAGUAGAAAAAGGGUCAAAUGUUCAGCUUAUUAGUGCCGGUUCCAACGGCUAGCCGGGCCACUCUCAUUAGUACCGGUUCUUGCCUAACUUUUAGCACCGGUUCGUGCCACGAACCGGUACUAAUGACAGUGGUGGCAGGAUGUUGUCAGUCUGGGCCCCUCCAGCACCUUUAGUACCGGUUCGUGCUACGAACCGGUACUAAAAGUCGCCCUAUAUAAACCCUUCGUCCACCCGAGCUCGCUUCUUCCCCCUUUUCCCUCUCCUCUGUUCUUCCCUUCCUCUCGAGCUCAUCACAAAUGUUGCCCAAAUUUUGUCAAGAUUUGAAGGCCUCCCAUACAUUCAAAUGAUCACAAAGGUUAGCAACUUUGUCCUUUCAUCUCUCAUUGCUAGAUUAGCUCUUGCAAUGGUUUAUAUAGUGAUUAAUUUGUGGGUUUUAGUAAUUUGGGAGGAAUUAUAUGUGGUAGUAUUUGAUUUAUAUGCAAUCUGAGGUCAAAAUAACACUUAGUUUGCAUAUUUAGGUGUGGUUUACUUAGUGUCUUCUAAAUCUCCGUCGUAACCACCGUCGAUCGCCCGCACCGUCCCGUCGCCGGCACCACCUUGUGGUGAGCCUCUUAUUCAUGAAUUUUUUAUAUAAAAAAUUGAUGUUUGUGUGAUUUGGAUAUAUAGUUACUCGUAUAAUUAUCUUACCCGUAUGUUGUUUGUUAUACAUAGUGUUAUGGUUUUGAUAUCCGUCCCCGUCGGCCCUCGUCCUUGUUAUGAUUCGGAUGUGGUAUGUUAUUUUUUAAAACUAUUUAUUGCAUUUCGUGUUUAUGAAAAAUUAUGCCCAUCAAGUUGACAUAGAUAUUUUUAUCUAGAAUGUAUGUGAACCGGAAAUUCCAAUCGACCCUAUUGUCGAGAGGUUAAAUUUAGUUGAAAGAAAAAACGAGUAUUUGAAAGAAAAAUUGAAAAGAAUUGAGGGGGAGAAGAUGGAAUUGGAGUUUCAUGUUGCCGAUGUCGUCGAUGAUCACAAGAUCAAGAUGGAGAAAAUGCAUUUGAAGAUUAGAAAGAUUAGAAAAUAUGCCAUUGAUAGUGAGGCUUGGUAUCAUUAUGUUGUUGGAUCAACUAUUACCUUAGUUGCGAUCUUGAUCGCAUUUGUUGUUGCAUUUAAGUGCUUUAGCUAGAGAGUUAUUUGUUUGUUGCAUUUAAGUGUUGUAUGAACUUUAUACAUGAACUUGUAUUAAUUUGGUCUUUUCGGUGUUGUGUAAUAAAGAUGAGCCGACAAUGGAUGUACGAUGACCGAUGCUCUCCCGAGUUCAUUAAUAGCGUGCAAUGGUUUUAUGCCUUGUCCAUGUGCUGGCUGUAAGAAUGAUCAUAUACUCUAAGUCAAGAACCAUUCACGUCCAACUGUUUGAGUCCGGUUUCAUGCCCCACUAUAAUGUUUGGACCAAGCAUGGAGAAAGAGGGGUUAUGGUGGAAGACAAUGAAGAAGAAAAGGACGAGGACAGCUAUCCUGGCCAUGGGUUCCCUGAAUACGAUGAUACAACAAUGGGGGGAGAAGUUGAGCCGGCAAUGCGGGAAGAAGCUGAAGAAGAGACAUCAGAUGAGUCCGCCGAUGAUCUAGGUCGGGCCAUUGCCGAUGCAAAGAGAAACUGCGCAAGUGAUUUGGAGAAGAAGAAGUUGCAGCGCAUGUUAGAGGAUCAAAAAAAAUUAUUGUACCCGAGUUGCGAAGCUGACAAGAAAAAGUUGGGCACCACACUGAAAUUGCUGCAAUGAAAGGCAGAGAAUGGUGUAUCUAUCAAGGGAUUUGGAAAGUUGCUGGUAAUGAUAAAGAAUAUGCUUUCAAAGGACAACGAAUUGUCCGAAAGUACGUACGAAGCAAAGAAGGUUGUCUGUCCUCUAGGGUUAGAGGUGCAAAAGAUACAUGCAUGCCCUAAUGACUGCAUCCUCUACCGCGGUGAAUAUGAGGAUUUGAACGUUUGCCCAGUACGCGGUGCAUUGCGCUAUAAGAUCAGCCGCGAUGACCCUGAUGAUGUCGAAGGCGAGCACCCCAGGAAGAAGAUUCCUGCCAAGGUGAUGUGGUAUGCUCCUAUAAUACCACGGUUGAAACGUUUGUUCCAAAAUAAAGAGCAUGCCAAGGCGAUGCGAUGGGACAGAGAAGACCGUAAGAAAGACGGAAAGUUGAGAGUACCCGCUGACGGUUCGUAGUGGAGAAAAAUUGAGAGAAAGUACAUGGAGGAGUUUGCAGGUGACGCGAGGAACGUAUGGUUUGGUCUAAGCGCAGAUGUCAUUAAUCCUUUUGGGGAGAAGAGCAGCAACCAUAGCAUCUGGCCGACCAUAGCACCUAGACUCUAUAUUUGUAUAACCUUCCUCCUUGGUUGUGCAUGAAGCGGAAGUUCAUUAUGAUGCCAGUGCUCAUCGAAGGCCCUAAGCAACCUAGCAACGAUAUUGAUGUGUACCUAAGGCCAUUAGUUGAAGAACUCUUACGGAUGUGGAAUAGAAUAGGUGUACGUGCGUGGGAUGAGCACGCACAGGAAGAAUUUGACCUAAAGACGUUGCUGUUCGUGACCAUCAAUGAUUGGCCUACUCUUAGUAACCUUUCAGGACAGACAAACAAGGGAUACCGCGCAUGCACACACUAUUUGGAUGAUACCGAUAGUAUAUAUUUGGAUAAUUGUAGGAAGAAUGUGUACCUGGGACAUCGUCAACUUUUUCUGAGCAGGCAUCCCAUAAGAAAGAAAGGCAAGAAUUUCAAAGGUGAGGCGGAUCACCCGACGAAGCCUCGCCACCGUACUGGUGCUGAUGUACAUGAUAUGGUCAAGGAUUUGAAGGUAGUCUUUGGAAAGGGUCCUGGCGGACAACCUGUUCCGAAUGACGCUGAUGGACGCGCACCCAUGUUGAAGAAGAAAUCUAUAUUUUGGGACCUGCCUUAUUGGAAAGACCUAGAGGUCCGCUCCGCAAUCGACGUGAUGCACGUGACGAAGAAUCUUUGCGCGACCCUGCUUGGCUUCUUGGGCGUGUAUGGGAAGACAAAAGAUACACCUGAGUCACGGGAGGACCAACAACGUAUGCAUGGAAAAGACGACAUACAUCAGGGUCAUGCCAGCUACGCUCUUACCAAAGAAGAGAAGGAAAUCUCAUUUGAAUGCCUACUUAGUAUUAAGGUAUCGUCUGGCUUCUCGUCGAAUAUAAAGGGAAUUAUAAAUGUGCUAGAGAAAAAAUUCCAGAACCUAAAGUCUCAUGACUGCCACGUGAUUAUGAUGCAACUGCUUCCGGUUGCAUUGAGGGGGCUUCUACCGGAAAACGUUCGAUUAGCCAUUGUGAAGCUAUGUGCAUUCCUUAAUGCAAUCUCUCAUAAGGUAAUCGAUCCAGAAAUCAUACCAAGGUUAGAGAAUGAUUUGGUGCAAUGUCUUGUCAGUUUUGAGUUGGUGUUUCCACCAUCCUUUUUCAACAUCAUGAUGCACGUCCUAGUUCGCUUAUGCGAAGAGAUUAACGUUUUGGGUCCUGUAUUUCUACAUAAUAUGUUCCCCUUUGUGAGGUUCAUGGAGUCUUAAAGAAAUAUGUUCAUAACCGUUCUAGGCUAGAAGGAAGCAUCUUCAAGGGCCAUGAAAAUGAGGAGGUCAUUGAGUUUUGUAUUGACUAUAUUCCUAAGCUUAAGCCGACUGGUGUUCCUGAAUCGCGGCAUAAGGGCGGACUGGAUGAAAAAGGCACACUAGGAGGGAAUCAAAUAAUAUGUAUGGACGGACAUUCUCUCACUAAAGCACACUACAAAGUUCUACAGAAUUCCACCUUGGUGGCUCCAUAUAUGGACGAACACAAGAAUUUUCUAUGCUCCAAACACCCAGAGCGGUCUGCUGACUGGAUUACACGUGAACAAACGAGGACUUUCGCCAGCUGGUUGCAGACACAUGCCAUGCAUGACCCCUCUAUUGAAGAUGACGUGUACUCGUUGUCCCAGUUACCAUCUUCGAAUAUAAUGACUUUCAAAGGGUACGAGAUAAAUGGGAAUACAUUUUACACGAUCGCCCAAGAUAAGAAGAGCACCAACCAAAACAAUGGUGUCCGCUUUGAUGCAGCAACCAAGACGGGAAAGGAAACAUAUUAUGGUUACAUAGAGGACAUAUGGGAACUUGACUAUGGACGUGGUUUGAAGGUCCCUCUGUUUCGGUGCAAAUGGGUCAAUAUGACACGAGGCGGGGUAACGGAAAACCCGUAGUACGAAAUGACAACAAUGGAUCUCAACAAUCUUGCGUAUGCAGACGAAUCAUUCGUCCUAGCCAAUGAUGUGGCAUAGGUUUUCUAUGUGAAUGACAUGUCUACCAAGCCAAGAAAAAGAAAAUAUAAGGAAGCGAAUGCAUCAUACAAUAAGCCAAAGCGCCACAUAGUUCUUUCUGGGAAAAGAAACAUCGUUGGAGUGGAUGACAAGACAGACAUGUUAGAAGAUUAUGAAAAGUUUGAUGAAAUUGCUCCAUUCACAGUGAAUAUUGACCCGAGCAUCCAGUUAAAUGAUGAAGAUUGUCCAUGGCUACGGCGCAAAGGGACACACGCGAAGAAAAAGUUUCACACCCAAAGAUCUAGAAUGUGAUCGGCUUCACUAUGAUCACUUUCUUCUGUGUUUCACACCCAGGAGGGAAUCUCUGUAAUAGUUAGGAUAGUUAUGUGUUUUGGCAUUUGAAAUGCGAAUUUUUUUUAUUUGCAAACAAAUUCUUUCAUGCAUUUACUGAUUUUUUCAGCUAAAUGACCCUAAAAUUAAAAAACACUUCAAAUAAACUUCGAAAAGGUUGAAAGUUGACAUGGUAUCAUAAUUUCACCCGCAUAGCAUGUGCAAAAAAGUAGAGAGGGUUACGGCAAAAAUUGGAUGCACUUCAUGUACAAAAUGGACAAUCUCUUUCGAAGUAUCAGGGUUUCGGAUGAAAACUCGUCUGUUACAAAUGCAUUUCAUUUUUUAAAUAACCUAAGCAUUACCAAAUUGAAUAUAAUGAUAAAACACACUAAUAUUAAACAUAAAAAAAGAAUCACUGAAAAAUCUAUUUAUAAAGUUAAGUUAUUCACAAACUAGUGAUUUACACAAAUUUCAAAUAAUUCAAAAUUUAAACUAUUCAAAUUUGAAAACUACUAGCACUAACAGAAAGUUUGUAAUUUUUUGUACCUAAAGAAAAAAUAUUCACAAAGAAACUCUAAAUACAGCAAAAAACAACUCAGCAAUAAAUAAAAGAAAAUAAAUAAAGAAAAAAGAAAAUAAAAAAUAAAAAAUAAAAAAUAAAAAAGCCCGCCUACUGGGCCACAGCAGCCUGCAUACGACUAGAAACCCAACCUUUUAUUGGGCCAGGAUGUAGGCCCGCAAGGCCUAGUUGGCCCAAAGGGCAGAACGGAACAGGUAAGCCCAGAAGGCCUGCUUUGGAGAGGAGCUCGAAGGAGCAGCCGCGGCUGGGUUUAUAAACCAGUGCGGCUGCCCAUCGCUAGGCGAGGUGGGACUAAACUUUGCGCCCCUCGCCUGGCAGCGCACCCCCCUUUAGUUUCGGGUCAUGGCUCCAACCGGUACUAAAGGGGGGGGGGGUCUUUAGUACCGGCUGGAGCCACCACCCGGUACUAAAGGCCUGCCCUUCCCGCCGCUUGCCCUGGCCAAAACAGUCCUAUAGUAUCAGUUGGUGGCUCCAACCGUACUAAAGGUGCCUCCUACAUAAGAAAACACUUAAAAAAAUUCUGUUUCUCAUCUCCCACUUCUCUCUGCCGCCGCCCCGUCCCGCGUCGUCGCCGUCCUUGUCCCGCGCCAUCGCUGCCCUCGUCGCGCCGUCCCGCGCCGNNNNNNNNNNNNNNNNNNNNNNNNNNNNNNNNNNNNNNNNNNNNNNNNNNNNNNNNNNNNNNNNNNNNNNNNNNNNNNNNNNNNNNNNNNNNNNNNNNNNNNNNNNNNNNNNNNNNNNNNNNNNNNNNNNNNNNNNNNNNNNNNNNNNNNNNNNNNNNNNNNNNNNNNNNNNNNNNNNNNNNNNNNNNNNNNNNNNNNNNNNNNNNNNNNNNNNNNNNNNNNNNNNNNNNNNNNNNNNNNNNNNNNNNNNNNNNNNNNNNNNNNNNNNNNNNNNNNNNNNNNNNNNNNNNNNNNNNNNNNNNNNNNNNNNNNNNNNNNNNNNNNNNNNNNNNNNNNNNNNNNNNNNNNNNNNNNNNNNNNNNNNNNNNNNNNNNNNNNNNNNNNNNNNNNNNNNNNNNNNNNNNNNGCCGUCGCCGUCCCCAUCGCGUCGCCGCCCCGUCCCGCGCCGUCGCCGUCGCCGUCGCCUCGACCUCGCCCGCGCGCGCUGUGAGCCCCUCCCCCGGCCUCUACUCCCUCCAAUACACCGCGCCGCCGCCGGCGCUGGCCGCACGCACACACACACACACACUGCACGCGCACAAACACACACACUACGUACACACGCGCGCGCACACACACACACACAUUUUUUUCUGUUUUUAGUUUUUAGUUUUUUCUGUUUUUUUUGUUUUUGUACAAAGUAUUAGAUAAACUAAUUAAUUAGAUUAGAUUAAUGUCAAAUAGUAUAUAGAAAUGUUAGUUAUAAUAUAAUGUCAAAGGUUUUUUCUAUUUUUUCUGUUUUUAUACAAAUGUUAUAAAUUUUAGUAUAUAGAAAUGUUAGAAAUUUUAGAAAUGUUAAUUUUAGCUAGAUGAAUUAGAUUAAUUUCAAAUUGUUAGAGGAUGAUCGAUGUUUUUUUAGUUUCCUAUAAUUUUAGUUAUAGGAGGGCAGGGCUUGGGCAAAGUUCAUCAAGGUGACUCCAGGCAAAUGGUGAGAAAAAUUAUUUUGGUAUCGACCCAAGGUAAGUAAUUAAGUAGUACUAGUUAGCUAUCAUCUCUUUAAUUCUUAUUUCAAUACCAUUAAUUAAUUAUCAUGCUUGAUCAAUUAUUAUCUGAUUAAAUUUCAUUCUCGUAAAGGCCCUGAAGCAGGCGCCGGGGACUGAAGUGUGUGCAUACUACGUUUGCGAGGGACAAGCUCCUACCAACAGAGCGCAUACGAGCACUUCAAGAAGAAAUAGCGGGACUUUUGCUCGACCAGGUCAUAGAUCCCAAAGGAGAAUACUAUUACCCACUACCACCCCCAUGAACCACUCCCAAUUGUCAUCGUGCUCCGAAGGCACCAAGGCAACAUGUAGGAGAAAUUGUAUAUAUAUACAUGUGUAUGUGUGAAUAAUGGUGGUUGUGAGAUAUUCUAUAUAUAUAUAUAUAUAUAUAUAUAUAUAUAUAUAUAUAUAUAAUUUCUACGAGAAAUUCUAUUUAUAUAUAUGCAUAACGUGUACAAUAUGUAGUAUCGUAAAAUACCAGCAAACAAAAAAAAUUCAAUGAAAAACACAAAAUUAAAGGAAAAAUAAAAAAUAAAACCAACCCCCCAAAUAUUGUAGUACCGGUUCGUGUUACCAACCGGUACUAAAUGUCUCCCCGCCCCCGGUGCUGGCUCGUGCCACGUGGGGACACUUUAGUGGCGGUUCGUGCCGAACCGGUACUAAAGGGGGGACCUUUAGUCCCCACUCUUUAGUGCCGGUUGCAGAACCGGCACUAAAGACCCUUACAAAUCGGUGAUACAUCCCGAUUCUGCACUAGUGAUACCUCACGUCACGACGCCAGUAGUCAGCCGGCCGUGGCCCUUCCCACCUCAAGGCUGGGUGGCUCUGUCGGUUGCUGACACCUUUGUAAAGGAUACAGGCGAGGCUAGUGCAGGUAUGAUCUUAAGGAACACAGAUGGGUCAGUCAUUUUCUCAGCAUACAGAUAUAUUUUCCAUUGCAAGGACGCCCUUGAAGCUGAGAUUAGUGCCAUCUUAGAAGGAUUGUCCUUGAGCUUGGAGCGGUCUGAUCGGCCUAUCGUAAUCCACUCUGAAUCUCCGGUUGCUAUUGCUGCCCGAACGGAUGAUUCACUUAAUAGCUCUGCCUAUGGACACUUGAUGAGAGAAGUCAAGAAGCUUUUACAGCUUUGUGGGUUUAUUCCGCUGAAAGUUACUCGUAAUUAAAAUAGAGUUGCUCUUAGUCUAGCUAAUGUGGGGGAGGUAGCACCGCUUGUUGGUUGCACCAAGCUUCAGACUGUGUGAAUUUUUUUUUAUUAGCAGACCGUAACACUAUUUCUAAGGAAUAAAAUACCCACUAUUUCCCGCAAAAAAGAAAUAUUAUUCUAUGCAUGUGCACACAAACAUUUCUUCAACUAUACACUCGUCCUCAGGCUAGUCACAGUGGGGAGGAACUUAGGAGUAACAUCACACACUCCAAUACAACUUUGCUUAUGUGGCACAUAUUUAAUGAAGAGAGAGGUGCUUGUGGUAACUAGCUAAGUUACCGGAACAUCACACACUCCAAGAAACAAUGAGUCUAUAACCUAAUAAAUACAUCGUUGCAUGACACUACAUAGAUGUUCCUACCCACUAUGGAGGUAGUAACAUAGUCUAGGGAAGUGUGAAGUUACUAGCUUAUGUUCUUGCCCAUUGUGACCAGCCUCAGUAUCAUGUGUUCUUCAACUGGAGUGACUAAUACUACUUUUGUCUCGUUCAUUGGACCAAAUGUUUCAGACCAUAACCUAGCCCGCCCAUCGAUCUCCUCCCGACCACAAUGGCAAAAUGAGAAGAUAUGGCAGGCAUCUAGAUUCUUCAUCUUUGGUCGUGCAAUAGAUUUUGACAGAGUUUCGGGAAAAUCCACCACCAACAGAUGGUUUCCACCAAGUAAAACAUCAAGGCGGCUAGAUUAUGAGGAACAAGAAGAUCACUAGAUCAGCAAGCGUGGAAGAUAAUAGGUAGAAUUUCUAGAUAUAUGAAAUACAUGUAUUUUUCAAAUAGAAUAUUCUAUACAUGUUAAUUUUUUUAGAGUAAAUGGCAACAUAAAAGGUGGGCCUAGUUUCUAUCACAUACUAAUGCAUGUUGAUUCUAGAGUAGUAACAAUUUUGUGAGUCAAUAAAGAAGCAUGUUUCUUACUGAGAAGAGCCAUUAGUGGAUCAUGGCUAUACAUUACUAAUUUUUCAAAUUGAUUAUGGAAAGGAUAUUUAUUCACUCAUCUGAUAAUCUCACCGCUAUAUGCAAAUUUGCAUUGGUUGAUGUUCUCAGGUUCAGUUCUACACUCAUAACACUGACUAGGUAGGAACAAAAGGAAAUAUUACCGGAGACUGAAGGCGCAAUGGCCUAACACCACAACACUACAACACUCAAGGGAUCACAUAGUUUUGGUGACUAUAAAUUAUAAACUAAAUGAACAAUUUAGAAAGAGCAUUAGACACAAACAUAAACUAUAAUUCAUCUUAUAGCUAAGAUAAAAAUAAGAAGUAAGUAUGAAACAAAAAUAUCACAUAACGAGGACAAUGCAAACACAACAGUGGAAGAAAUGACCCGAUAGGAGUGUAGGUUCCCAGGAUUUUUGUAAACCAUGAUGAGUAAAUGGACCGUUGUGAGUGACGAUGUGAAAUCGUUGAAAAUAACCCUCGUUCAAUCACCCUGGAUCUAUUUUGAUUGGUGGGUGAAGGUUGAGUUAACAUAUGUAUAUUAAUUGUUUAUACUAAAUAUUUUUGCUUUUCAUACUUAUAUCUCAUUCUCUCAAAAUUUAAUGUUAACUAGUAUCAUAUUAUAUUCAACAAAAUUAACAUGUCAUAUGAAAGAUAAAAAUUAGGCUAUUAUAAUUUUAUUACAUAAUUUCAAUGUUAAUGAUGGAAAAUGCACACCAAAGUUUAAGCAUAUAUCAUGAGGAUAAUGAGGUUCGUUGUUCCUUUUUUUAAUAUUUACUGUGGAUCAAAGCUCCAAAACCCUUAAUUAAAUAAAAGAACUGUACAAAAGUCCUAAGUACAACCAAAAAUAGACCUACCUUAGCCUACCUAAAGUUACAUGAGGGUGUUAAUCCAAGCCAACAGCUUCUGCUUGGUGCUAUCUCUAAGCCUAUGUGCAAGAAGAUUAAUGUCAAAAUAUCCCCAUAGAUUGCGCCACUAGAUGACUAUCAAAUAUAUAUGUAUGUCUUGGUUAUUUUUGUUGUAAAUGUUUGUUAAUAGCUCUAAAGCUAGCAGAGGUUUCUAGUGUGCAUGAUUGUCUAUUUUUUAUGCAAAUAAAUAGAAGUGAUAAUUAUCAAUGUAAUAAGUAGAAAACCCUAGAAUAUUAUCAAUAAGGAAUUUUUCCAUGAAUGGUUACCUUUCUCGUUUGUUGGCUCUUUUAUUGAAAAAGAUGGCUUUCAUAUUCCUGGAUUCAACAAGCACCAAGCAUGACAUGCCCAAUUUUACACUUGGUCUUGAAGUAGCAUUAGUGAGCUCAACUCGCAUGAAAUACAUAUACCCCCUCCCCUCCCCCUCUAAUAGUGAGGUGGAUAACCAACUAUAUUUGAGAAAAACUACAAGUUGCUCACUGGUCAUAUAAACCGCAAUUCCCCCACAGCACCACUCUAUCCCCGAUGGAGCACACUGUGAGGGAGAGGUCUUUCCCCUGAUUUUCUUCUCAAGAAUGAGAUAGACCUUUUUUUUAUCCAAGAAUAUGGAGAUAGACUUAUGUGUGGUGGGGUUCACGGGACGGCAUUGGUGGGUAAUUUCGCCGGCUUUAAAGUAGAUCUAAUGGCCGUAAUUUUCCGAUGGACAAAAUUAAUGACUAGACAUUUGAUGCAUACGAUUGGAUGGUCGAUAUUUCACCCGCGGUUCAUGGACACGUCCGAAGUUAUUUUCAGUUUUUAGUUUCACAAAAAUUUCAGCACCAACCAAAAUCACCAAAAUUCAGUGUGUUUCAGUUAUUUUGAUUUGCGUUCAGCGGAAGACCAAAAUAUUAACUUGAAAUCAAACAAAUAUUUGAAUGUUUUUUUAAAAAAUUGUGAAAUAUUUGAGUGCAUGUGUACUAUUGAAAUUGCUGGAAUAGUUUGGCUGAAAGGUAAAUAUUUCAGUGACAGCUGAAAUUAAUGAAAUUCGGUAAAUUUCAUUGAAAUCUCAAUGGAAGUGAAAACCAUACUCUGCAUCCACUGCUCCAUCGCCGAGGAGAGCAUCGAGAGGGAGAGGUCUUUCCCCUGAUUUUCUUCUCGAGAAGGAGAUAGACCAUCUUUUUUAUCGAAGAAUAUGGAGAUAGACUUAUGUAAUGGUAGGGUUCGCGGGAUGGCAUUGGUGGGUAAUUUCGGUGGCUUUAAAGUAGAUCUAAUGGCUGUAAUUUUCUGAGGCACAAAAUUAAUGGCUAGAUUAUUCUGAUUUUUGUUGGAUUUUGUAGCAUAUUUCUCUUUUUUCUAGUUUACCCGCUACAUUCUUUUAUAUAUAAAUACGGUGAAGCUAAAUUACAGUCGACUGCGUGGUCAGAUAUCGAUCACACCUCCCGUGUGGAUUCCAUUGUCAGGGAACAAAACACAUCUCCUCGUCUACAGGAGUAAAUGGCCCCCAUAGGAUUCGAACCGUGGCCGCUUCGCCCGAACAGGAGGUCAAUAACCACCCCGCCAACGAUUCGUUUGUGUCUUAUUUAUUAAUCCAAGUACUUCAUUUGACCUUGUAUCAAUAGUAAAUGCGAGUGAAAACGAAAAGGAAAAAAACAGCUAGUGGGAUUUGAGCCUACUAGAUGACGUUCCAGGAUCGCGAUCAGCUUGACUAAUUCUCUCUUAUGACUAGGUAUGGGUACUUUUUGUACAUCAUUUAAAAUACGAACUUGAAAAAAACAACUCAUCAACCUAGGUUUUCAUUGACCCUUCUGGCUAUAAAAUAGGUACACAUAAACGACAAACUCAUAUGUACAUGAUUUUUCAUGUGGGAUUUUUUUGUUGAAACACACCCUCGGUAAUUUGUGUGUAAAUAGCACGGCAAGUUAUGCAUCUCAUGCCUCUUAAUUGACUUACAGACGUCAUGUUAACUUUGAUCUGAGAAAUUUAUAUGUAAAUAACAUGCUAACUUACACAUCACAGACCCGAUAACACACUUUUCAAUAAUUUUUGUGCAUAUAACAUGCUAAUUUAUGCACCGUAGACCUUAUAAGUUUGUACAAACACCGUGGUAACUUUGAUCCAAUGAAAAAAUGUUGAUAACAUCCCACGAUAAUUUCUGUGUAAAUAACAUGGUAAUAUACGCAUUGUUUGACUGCAUGUCGUUCGGAUCCGUUUACUAAAAGCGGACGAUCGGAAGUUAGCAAAGCUUAAUAGCACGGUAACUCACACAUCGCAUACCUGAUAACUUAUAUACCCCGGUCCUGGUAACUUUGACGCCUAGGGGGUGAUAAAAUAUCCUUACCCCGGUCCUGGUAACUUUGACGCCUGGGGGGUGAUAAAAUAUUCCCGUGGUAACUUUUAUGUGAAUAGCAUGUUAAGUUGGUGACUCACAAAUCACAAACCUAAUAACUUAUGUAUCACAGUCUUGAUAACUUUGGCAUGGGGAGUGGGGGUUGAUUAAAUAUCCCCCCGGUCGGUAACUUUUGUGUGAAUAGCAUGAUAACUCACACAUCGCAGACUUGAUAACUUAUGUGCACUCACACGUCGUAGACAUGAUAACUUAUGACCCCGGUCCUGGUAACUUUGGCGACCGGGGGGGUGGGGGGUGGGGGGGUUGAUGAAAUAUACGCCCGGUAACUUUUGUGUGAAUAGCAUGAUAACUCACACGCUGCAGACCUGAUAACUUAUGUGCCUCGGUCCUAGUAGCUUUGGGGGGCGGGGGAGGAAGGGGGUGAUGAAAUAUACCCACGGUAACUCACCUGUUGCAGACAUCAUAACUUAUGUACCCCAGUCCUUGGCGACCAGGGGGGAGGGGUUUGCUGAAAUAUACCCCCCGGUAACUCACACACCACAAACCUGACAACUUUUGUACCCUAGUCUUAGUAACUUUGGCAACGGGUGUGGGAUGUGGGAAGGUGUUCAAAAAAAUCCGGGAACUUUCAUGUAAAUAACUUGGAACUGUACACACCUUAUACGUGAUAACUUAUGCAUAAAUACCACAACAACUUUGAUCCGGGGUGGUGGGAGGGGAGAAAGUAGUUUGAAAACAUACCCCUCCCGAUAACUUCCAUACAAAUGUCAUGAUAAUAUACGUAGCAUAGACUUGAUAAUUCAUGUACAAACACCGUGAUAACUUUGACCUUGGGGGAGGAAGUUGUUUGAAAACAUAACUUUGAUAACUUAUGCAUAAAUAGCAUGGUAAUAUAUGAACCACAGACAUGGUAACUCGCACACAAACACCGCGGUAAAUUUGUCCCGGAAAAAAUAGUUAUUGAAAAUGUACCACGGUAACUCAUGUGUAAAUAACAUGAUAAUAGACACAUAUCCGAGCUGAUAACUUACUUAGCCCAGGCCUGGUAACUAUUUGCACGAAAAAAAAGUCAUCAGAACAUAUCAACAUGGGAUUUAGUUUUGUAAGUCUCGUCGCAACUGAUUUUUUAUGUGAAAACGAUUUUUUGAUCAGACUGACGAUUUGACCUAUAACACAUUUUAAAGUUUUGAAAUAUGUAGAAUCAAGGAUGCAUCCAUUUUUUCACCCUUCUAAUGUAUGCAUCCAUGUGCAUGUGAAGAGAAAAUUACAAGAACUACCUUUUAUGUCCCAGUAAUUUCGGUAUAAAUAACAUGAUAACUUAUAUACAACCGCAUGAUAACUCGUGUAGCAAACGCGUGGUAACUUUUGACCCCAAAAAAAAUAUCGUCAAAACAUACCAACAUGGGAUCUAGUUUCGAAGGUCUCGUUGCGACGAAUCUUUUAUGUGAAAACGGUUUUUCAAUCGGACCAACGGUUUGAGCUAUAAAAUAUUUUAAAUUUUCGCAUUGGGAAGAAUCUUUGAUGACAUCAUCAAUUUCGUUUUUUUGCAUGUAUAUGAUUAUGAAAAAACUAACGCCCACACAUGUGGCAUCUUGUACAUCGCCCACACGUCCUCAUCAUCACUCAUUUUGUCACGUAUGAACAGAUGACAUCAGCAGAAUCUUUUUUGUUUUUGGCUUAAAAAUGUUUUAUCUCCUAAUUAAAAAAUUGAAUUAAAAAUAUGUUUUCACCAUUAAAUCCGUCUCGACGAGAUCUUCAAAACUAGACCCCAUGUUGAUAUGUUUCGACGAAAUAUUUUUUUUACCCAAAAGUUGCCAUGAUAUUUACACUGUAGUUGCCGUAGUGCUUAAAUUAAAGUUGCCAUGUGGCAAUUUUAGUUUGUAGAACAUGGCAAUUUUAGUUUUCUUAUGAUGCCAAUUCCAGUACUUUGACCAUGAAAUUUAUUUUUUGUAUGAACCAUGGCAAGUUUAAGUGCAUGUAUCAUGGCAAUUUUAGUUUAUGGUUCAUGAAAAGUCUAGUUUCUUAAUUCCCCGUUUUAUAAUGUGUCAAAAUUUACUUUUAAAUGUAGAAAAAAAAUAGCUGAAACAUAUCAUGGCAACUUUAGUGUAAACAUCAUGACAAUUCAUGUGCAAUAGACAUGACAACUUUUAACGACAAAAAAAUCGUUGAAAUAUAUUGAUACGAGAUCUAGUUUCGAAGAUCUCGACGCGAGGGAUUUAAUGGUGAAAGCGGAUCUUCAAUCGGAUUUUUCAUUUAAAAGAUAAAAUAUUUUAAAAACUAAAAAUCCAAAAAAAUUCCCACAUGCAUUCAUGAGGUGACGUGGCGCAGUCUGCAUGUUAUAGGGCGUGUGGCCAGGUUUGGCUCCCACCACAUGUGUGGGCGUUAGCAUUGUCCUAUGAUUAGUAGCUGCUAAUUAACUGCUAAUGGAUAGUGGACACGUACAGAAAAAAGAAAGAAAAUAAGAUGAAGCUAAUGCAUACAUGCAAGCUAGGGAGAAAUUGUGCGGAUCUGUUGCUUAACUUCAAUACGUGUGGAAGCUAGCACAGUCCAUAUAAAUAAUAGAUACUUUUGGAUUUCUAUUUUUUUAGUAGGUGCCUUAUGCACCUGCGCGGAGGGAUAUAUAUCGAUCUAGGCCAUACAAUUUGCAGCGGGUUGUCAUCGAUCAUGGCCAUGGCCACUAGGGGCUUCUUUUUGAAACGGCGGCGAGCAUGGCCUGCCAAAACGCCACCAGUAGUUAGACUCCUGGUGUUUGCCAACGGAAAUAAAUUAGUGACAUACAUCUCGCGGUGCCUCGUUUCCUGUCUCUCUCGCCUCCUCGAGUCCCCGCGCGACGUAAAUUACGCCGGCGAGUCGUACGCAUGCUUGCGUCUCCUCGUCGCUCGCGGCAGCAAGUAAAUAGUACGCGACGACUGCUCGGGCGUCGGGCAGGAUGAUGAAUGCACAGCGACCAUCACCGUAUACGGUACUCCACUAUAUAAGAACAUCCAUGUGUGGUAUCGCAACUCCAUACCCACAGGACACAUCUCGCUAGCUGCUGUCUCCACUCACAAUGUCCUCUUCGUCCACGGUGGGCAACAUCGCUCCCAACGACGGAUCGUCGUCGCCGCCUGCGUCGGCCAUCGUCGCGCAGGCCAUGUCCGGGUCGCACGUAGUCAAGAUAGACGGCUACUCCCGCACCAAGGGGCUUGGCAAUGGCAAAUACAUCAAGUCCGAGACCUUCACCAUCGGAGGCCAUCCCUGGUGUAUGCGCUACUACCCAGACGGCUGUCAGACUGAAGACGCAGAUUGGAUAUCCAUCUAUCUGCAGCAUAGUACUGAUCCAACUGAUGCUAGUGAAGUCAAAGAAGAGUUCAAGAUGAGUUUGCUUGACCAGGACAGGCAACCGGUGGCAUUGUACAGCAGAUGCAGCAGCCACAUAGGCACAUUCUCCAGACUCCACGAAAGGUGCAGCAUGGGCUUCGCUCAAUUCAUCAAGAGAAAGGAUUUGGAGGAAUCCCUUUACCUUAGGCAUGAUGUUUUCAGCAUCAGGUGCGAUGUCUCCGUGUCAAAGAAGAUCUUCACCGAGCCAAUCCCACCGCACGUCGUCCUGCCACCGUCCAACAUGCACCAGCAUCUCGGACAACUUCUCUUGGCCGGCGAGGCGGCCGAUGUUACCUUCGAGGUCGGCGAGGAGACAUUAGCUGCGCACAGGUGCAUACUCGCAGCUCGGUCACCGGUCUUCAAGGCAGAGCUCCUUGGCCCCAUGAAGGAGAAGACCGCAACUCGAGUGCUGAUCGAUGACAUGGAAGCCAGAGUGUUCAAGGCGUUGCUCCAUUUCAUCGACUCGUUGCCCUCCAUGGACAAAGGCGGCGCGACGGAGAUUGCUCAGCAUUUGCUGGUGGCGGCUGACAGGUAUGAUAUGGAGAGGCUGAAGCUGAUCUGCGAGGGGAGGCUGUGUGAUCACAUUCAGGGGUGGAGUCAGGAUUUGGGUAUGGAGGGGCCAAGCCAAGUAAGAAAAAAAAAAUCCAGUACAAAAAGUAAUCGUAUAGAACAAGGUUUUGCUUAAGUAACAUAAAAAUAUCAUUACAUUUGUAUUAAUUUAAAGUGGCCUCUACGACUGCCAAUAAGAUCAAAAAUAUUAAUAAUUUGAUUAUAAAGUCAAAUCAAUUCUCAAGAUAAAAAGCAACCAAGAUAUAACUUAAUGUAGUAUUAGUUAAGUACUUUUAUAGAGAGUAGAAAAACAUACUUGCGGUUAAGUGGACUCUGAUUUGUAACGUGUGAUUAUGACUUCUGUUUGUUCUGCAAGAUUUACCAUGUCCGGCAUAACCUGAUCAGAAGCGUUAACUGGACUCGGAUUGUCGGAUUUGUAACUUGGACAUCAGCCUCACUAACAAUUUCAGUAGGAUGAGAACUUGAAGCAACUGGCUUAAAAAAGCAUUAAUCUUAACGGGUGUUUGGCUUUGCUUUUCUCUUCGUAGCUGCUGCCUGCUGGAUUGGAAUGGAAAAUCAACAUACUGUAUAAGUUUGACAAUAAAAAAAUAUUGCAUCACAGUUAGGAACUAAUACAAGGUAAUUUGCAUCACAAAAAUAGGAACUGGCCGAGACACAUCACCAGUACACCACUGAAUUCAUGAUAAUUGUGGGACUGGGACAUUUACAAAAUAGGCAUAUCCAGAUCAGAAGCAUCAACUGGACACCACUGAAUCAUAGAUCAUAGAGUCACAAAUUACAGAACCAAAUUACCACAAAAAAAAUCUGGAGUACCAAUUCCACAAUCGACACUGAUACAGGAUGAGAUUCUACAGAGAUUAAACCUUUGCUCUUUCGUUGGUUAAGCGGGAGAAAUUGACAAGUACAGCAGCCAAAUACCUGAAUAUGUGAAUCAGAUCGACUGAUCGAGAGAAGCAUGGCUUGGUCCUGAGAGCAGGGCGAGAAGAGGCGAACGGGCGGUGUCAGCGACAUUAAGGGCGCGAGGCGCGAGGGUGUCGAAAACUGGAACGGCGGCGACUAGUCCCAUGUAGUAUACCCUAAAUACGAAUUACAGACUUACAGUUACGAUGGGCAGGGGACCUAGAGCCGAUGCCCAUCGGCCACUACUAUAGUAGGCCUACUAGUGGGCUUUUUUCACAUGGGCCUUUUUCUUCCUUUUCUCACAUCUGCAAAAGCACGGUGGCGACCACGCUGGCACUGGCUGAGCAGCACGGCUGUGCUGCUCUCAAGAAGGCAUGCUUCAAGUUCCUGAUGUCUCCGGGUAACCUGAAGGUGGUCAUGGAAUCUGAUGGAUAUGAGCACCUCAAGAGCAGUUGCCCAUCUGUUCUGGACGAACUGGUCGCCAAGCUUGCUCCAUGAUCUCUUUGAGUCUAAACUCACAAGACCUGGAUAUUUGGCAUGCUAAUUAUAUUUUCAGAAGUGAUGAUAUCCUACUACUGGUAGUCGUCUGUGAAGGACUGUUCAUUCUAUUAAAAUUAAGGUUGCUUACGUUGCUGCAUCUGCUUGAUUCAAACAAUCUUGAUAGUAGCAAAGCUUUAUAAACAUUAAAAUAUAAAUAGAAGUUUGAAAACUGAGAGAGAAACUUCUGUUUAUUCUGAAGAAAUUAUUGCAGAGUUCUCAAAAUUAGAGGAAGCAUUUAGAAAUUCGAAGGAAUGUCCUCAAAUUUAAUAUGUUAGCAGAUAUUUACAGUCUAUUUUAAUCUUAAUUUCAGACAUGGUGCAAUGGUGUUAAAUUCAAAUGUGAAGUUAUAAGUCAUUAUUACAUAGUAGUCGUGGUCAAAAGUAUGUGUGCCAAAAAAUUAUUUAAAACACAUAUCCCAAGUGGGGACCGCUUGGCCCGGCUCCAAGGCAAUGGCGGGCACGUAAGACGACAUCUGCGGCCGGUCAGGGAUGCCGCCACUCCUGGGGGGCCUUCAGCCACUAGGUGGAGGCCGGCGGAGGUGCAGGUGGCCUCGGAUGCCAUGCCUACGAGGUCACUGUCCGGUGCUUUACCUAGUUUUUAGUUUAGUUCAAUUCUUAUUGGGUUAAUUGAAACUUUGUUAAGUUUCAUUAUUUGCUGAAAAUAUAUCAAAAUUAGAUUUAAUCUGUUUUAGCAUCAAUUUUAUCCAUUUGUAUGCUCGAUCCGUUUGUUUUCACUUUCAGUUUCACAAAAUAUUUAGCACCAGUCGAAAACACCGAAAUUCAGUGAAUUUCAGUUAUUUUGAUUUGCAUUUUGACCAAAGUCGAAAUAUUCACUUGAAGUCAAUUUUUUUUUGAAUUUUUUAAAAUUAUUUUUGAGAAAUAUUUGAAUUCAUAUGUACCACUGAAUGAAAUUGCCCAAAUAUUUUAGCUGAAAUGCAAAUAUUUUAGUGAUUGCUGAAAUUAAUGAAAUUCAGUAAAUAUUAUCGAGAUCUUACUGAAAGUGAAAACCAUGCUCGCAAUGUGUUGUACAUGGACAUUUGAUCCCCUCCGAAUGUUGAUCCGUCGCUGGAGUUGGCCUCAAGGGUAUCUCUCUAUGACGUUAGUCCCCUCGCCCACACGUACCCCUCUCGGACAUGCUUGCUAUUCUUCUGGGCCAGCCUAAAAGCAUCUCUAGCGUAUCCGGCAAAACACCACCUGUAAAAACAGUAUAUAGGUCGAUCCUAAAACGAAUUUACAGUACCGCGAGGCAUCCGAUAGAACAGAUGUCGUAAACCCAUAUCCUAAAAGUUUCUUCUUCUUCUUUUUUCCUCACGCUUCUUCUUCCCUGGAAUGCACGCAUGGAUGAACUCAGAACUCUAGCCGGCCAGAACGGCGCCGUUUCCGGUCUGUCGCCUGCUCCGGCCCGCUGCCUACUCCGGCGAUGCUCCGGCCAGCCGCUGCCGAACUCCUCCGCCUGCUCGCUGCUCGCGCACGACAUUGUCAGCCCCCCUGCUCCGGCGUUGACCGAUUUUACGGGGCUCGAAUCCUCCAUAUAUGACGGAUGGAUGCUCUAAUAUAUGGAAACCCGUAAAAAAAUUACAUAAUAUGAUGUUUUACGGGAGCUGGAUGCGGUUUUUCCAACCUGUGUUUCAUAAAUAUGAAGGUUUGACUGCAGAUCUGGAGCACAAGCUCGAACGGCUCCAUGGCCGCCGAGCUCAGCCUCCACAAACAUGGCCAGCCACUCCCUCUGCUUCCCCGCGGCGCAACGACCCAAGCAUCGACCACCGGAUGUGAACAAUAGGUGACAUAGUCGACCGGGCCGCGCUGGUGAGGCGGGGCCACUCCGAUCGUCGGCCAUCUCCGCCACGGCGCCAGAGGCGAAGGGCGGGGUGAUACAUCUCUAACAUAUCUAUAAUUUUUGAUUGCUCCAUGCUAUUAUAUAUUCUGUUUUGGAUGUUUAAUGGGCUUUAUUAUACAUUUUUAUAUUGAAAGUGCGUUAUAUCGACGAGAGGGGGGUGGAUAGGCGAUUUUUAUGAAUUCUUCACGGAGGAAUUUCAGGGUGAGGAAAUUCCUAAGCGAAGAACUACUUGCAGCGGUAUAACUACUCAGAUGUAAACAUAAUGGAACACAAGCAUGGUCAUCAUGAUGAAAUGAAGACAAGCACAGAGUACAGAAAGCGUAAACACAGGAUAUCACAGGACAAAGACAAACAGACUGAAGAAAUUGAGCUGAGGAAAUUGAGAAAAGUCUUCAGUCAAAGUCUUCAAGCAGAUAUGAACAAGCACAUAACACAGUUAUGAGGAAAUGAAAGAAUUGAGGGAAUAGAUCCAAUAAGCUUGGUGAAGACAAUGAUUUGGUAGACCAGUUCCAACUGCUGUCUCAGUUGUACGUCUGGUCGGAGCGGCUAGGUAUUUAAACCUGAGGAUACACAGUCCUCACCGUAUUCUCCUUGAGCUAAGGUCACACAGGCCUCGCCCAAUCACUCGUGGUAAGUCUUCAGGUGACUUCCAAACCUUCACAAACUCGGUCACUCGGCGAUCCAUAAUUUCCUCUUGGAUGCUCUAGACCAUGACGCCUAACCAUCUGGAAGAAACACAGUCUUCUAAGGUAACAAGCAUCGGAUCCACGCAGGAUCAAUCUCUUCAGUGAUGCUCAAUCACUUUGGGUUUGUAGGUGUUUGGGUUUGGGUUUUCCUCACUUGAUGAUUUUCGUUCAAAGUCCUCGGAGGAUGGAUUGCUCUCAAAUGACAAGUGUCGGUUUCUCUCGGAGUAGCCAACCAGCUAGUGGUUGUAGGGGGGCGGCUAUUUAUAGCCUAGGGAGCAGCCCGACAUGAUAAGACAUAAAUGCCCUUCAAUGAUAUGACCGUUAGGUGGGUAGAUAUUUUGGGACAGCUGGCGCGUAGCACAACAACGGUCGGAAUUUUGAGUAUCAAAUACCUCAGGGCUAUCAUGUUCCUCACUGUGUAGGCAAUCCGCGCUGCCGAAUUCCUAACUCCUCAGUCAGAACAAAUUCCUCAGAGACCAGAAGAACUUCGUCUCUGUCACUGAAGAAAUUGACUGAACUGUAUGAGAUUUCCAUUGGCUUAACUCGAAGGGAUUGGUAGGUAUAGAAUUUUGAGUUGAGCAUCACAUGGAAAAUUUUCCUUAGUAUUUCCUCGACCCCCUUUAACAGUACGGUGUUUCCUAUGACUCAAGAAAGAAAAAAUGAAACUACAAAAACAAAAGUCUUCACGCUUCAUGUUCCUUGAAUGAUUACGAAGUCUUCAUGGUCACACCAAUUUCUUCACUUUCAAAGUCUUCAGAAAGUCUUCAGAAAUCCAAAAUCUUCAGUCGAAGAUAUUCAUUUUUAGGGGUCGACUUUUACUGUAAAUCUCAAACUCCUCAUAGACUUAUAGACAUGUGUACACUCAUAAACACAUUAGUCCCUUAACCUAUAAGUCUUCAAUACACCAAAAUCACUAAGGGGCACUAGAUGCACUUACAAUCUCCCGCUUUUUGGUGAUUGAUGACAAUAUAGGUUAAGUUUUCAACGGGGAUAAACAUAUGAAGUGUAAAUACUGAUACUGAGGAAUUUGAUUGCAAGAUAUAGAAGAACUCCCCCUGAAGAUGUGCAUAGUGAGGAAUUUGCUUUUGAAGCAAUGCACACUUGAAGAGUAGAAUCAUGGAGAUCUCCCCAUGUAUCUUGUAAUUCAUGCAUGCAUUUGACAUAUAAUAUGAAGAUUUUGAAAUGCAUGAUGAAAUAUGGUGACUGAUGUAAUUCCGCAUGCAUGCAUUAAUAUUAAUAAGGAAUAAACAUGCAGAAAAUCACAGCAAAAGUAUCAGGCCACCAUAGAGUUUAAGUUUACAACUCGGUCGAAUAAAGUCUCAGAAGAACGAGAGUUGUAACUUUGCAAAAAAAAACGCCCAUAUAAGUAGACCCGCUUGAAGACUAACUCAAAUUUCUCCCCCUUUGUCAUCGAAUGACCAAAAGGGUCGAAAAAUGAGGACUAACGGCCCUGAAGAAUGUCAUGAUGAUGAAGGAGCGCCAACGAUGUUGGGGUCGUUUGUUGUUGAAGGGCCUGCCGCAGUGUCAUCCAAGUCUUCAUACUCGUCGGUGUCGCAUGGUGAAGAAUAGGAGCUGGCCACCAAGGAAGGAACCUGGACCUUCUUGUAUUUCUUCGGUGGAUGUGCAGACCAGUCAAAAUCCUCCUUGAGACCCAUUUUCUUCAGAUCUUCUUCACCAUAUAGAUGUGACGGAAUUGCCCAGGUGCGACCGAAGACUUCAUGGAGGUAGUAAUGGUUUUUCUUCACUGCAUUAUGUGUAGCAGUCAUGUUGUGAAUAAUAGAACCAAACUGACGCUUAACCCAUUUAUGGUUUUGAUCCACCUUCUGGUGAAGACUAAGAAGAAGCUCAUGGUCAGUCAUCACUCUUGGAGCAGUGGCUUGAGGAUUUGGCUUGGAUGCAUUUGCAGCAGAGUCAUGAGUGGCAGAGUCAUCAUUGGUGGAAUAAGAUGCAGCUUUGCGAAACUGACCAUCCAAUGGACGAAUGCCUUCAUCAAUAACAGCUGGUGCCUUGCCCUUUUCAUCAGCUGAGGAAUAUGUCCGCUUGAGGACUUCAAUUGGGGGCAAGUUGCUGAGGUGAUUCUGAAAGUUAGCCUUGUUGUUAAGUGAAGACCUUGUUCAGAGGAAUCUCAUAAUCCAAGGAGCAUAAGGCUUCAACUCAAACGGAGAGAGUGCAACAUUUGCCAGAGUUCUCAUGAAGAAAUCAUGAUUGUUGACAGGAAUGCCAUGCAUGAUAUUGAAUAGCAGAUUCUUCAUGAUGCCAACAAUUUCCUCAUCAGAUGAGUCGUGGCCUUUGAUAGGACUCAAUGUCUUCGUUAGAAUGUGAUAGAUUGUUCUUGGCACAUAUAGCAAUUUCUUCACGAGGAAUUUUGUCCUUGGGGCUUGACCAGGCUUUAGAGGCUUCAUAAGCACUUGCAUGUAAUGAGCAGUGAGUUCAGGCUCCUGGUACAGGCAGAGAGAUCCUUCAAGGGGUGGACUGAUGGGCAGGGCAUGAAUUAAUUCAGAGGCCGGUGCCUUAUAAUGAGUGUUUUCGGUCAUCCAGUCCAAUACCCACGUGUUGAUAUCAUCAGCAUCACCUGUGACGUGCAGAGUUGCGAAGAACUGAAGAAUAAGCUCUUCAUUCCAAUCAACAAUGUCAGAGAAAAAGUUGACCAGUCCUGCAUCAUGAAGCACACUAAGGAUCGGGGUAAAGCAAGGCAGUGAUUCCAUGUCCACAUGAGGAAUAUGCUCAUGGUCGAAGACUUUGUCCUUGUUGAAGAGCAGUGAGAAAUAAAAAUUGGCCUGGCUGGCAGUCCAGAAACGCUUCCUUCUAAGACGAGCAGAGUCAUAAGGAUUAUAGUCAGUGAGGAAGACAUGCUCGCCGAAGAAGUCAUCAGCCUUGAAUUUUUGUUUCUUCGAGAAGGGAUCCUUUGGCUUUGGCUGAGGAGUAUCAGUUAAUUGCAUCACCACCUCAGGAAUCGCAAUCUCAGGUUCCACAGGGUGAGGAAUUUCAGGUUCUUCUUCAGUGACAGCCUGGGUUUUUAAUUCUUCAUUAACAUUUUCUUCAGCACUAGUGGCUGGAAUCUCUUCAGUGACAGACGGGGUUGCACGAGGUUCUUCAGAUCCCAUUUGUACUUCAGUAUUGACAGCGGACUGAGGAAUUUGUUGCAGAUGUGUGAACAGAGGUGAGUUGGGGUGCUGACUUUCCCAAAAGUCAUCAUUCAGCAUAGGAGUUGUACACCCAAUGUCCACAUCUUCUUCUUCACUCUUUUCCUCAACGCCAGCCUCUUCAGCAGUGAACUGAGGCAUGGCCGAUGAGACUAUUGGGGUUGAAGGGAUUGCAUCCGCUUCAAUUUCUUCAUCCAACUGCUCUGACGAAGCAGCAGAAGGAAUCUCUUCAUCUGGUUCACUUGAAAUCACAUAUUCUUCAUCAAAAGGAACAAGGUCCUUUGAUGGCAUGGAUGAGACCGGAAUAGCAUCAAUUGGAUUCGCAAAAGAGCUGGUCAAUGGCUUCAUCUUUUUCGGAGCUGAAGAAUCUGAUGAAGUUGAUGCUUUCCUUUUCUUCACAGCUGCACACUUUGCAGCCUUGGUCUUCUUCACAUCUGAUGCAGAGGAAGAAUUGGAGUUGAGGUAGGUGCAGGAGGAGCAGAGGAAUUUGGUUCAUUUACUUCAGGCUCAGUGGCAGAAGCUUCAGCUGGCCUAACAGUUUCUUCAUGCGCAACACUAGUGGUUGCCCUGGCAAUUUCUUCAGCGGCUGGAAUGAAGUCAUCAGCCCUGGUACUCUGAGUUUCUUCAGCAGCCUGAUUGUCAUUAGCGGUGUUGGCAUUUUCUUUAGUCGGCUGAGCAGAUGCCUCAGCCUGAGGAUUUUUUUGUUGCGUUGGGGCUGCAAGAUUGGAAGUGAACUUCUUAGUCAAAUUUACAAAUCUGACUUUUUCUCCAAGCUAGUCAGCGCGGUAUACAUCAAAUUCAUCACUGAGUUUCCUGAUCUUAGAUUGAAUUGUGACAAGUUCUUCAGUUGUGUGACGCCCUCGAUUCAAUCAUACACUAAUCAUGCACGCAAAUGUGUACGGUCAAGAUCAAGGACUCACGGGAAGAUAUCACAACACAACUCUAGACACAAUUGAAAAUAAUACAAGCUUUAUAUUACAAGCCAGGUGCCUCGAGGGCUUGAAUACAUCAGCUCGAAUACAAACGAGUCAGUGGAAGCAACAAUAUCUGAGUAUAGACAUGAGUUAAACAAGUAUGCCUUAAGAAGGCUAGAACAAAAGCAACACCGAUCGAAAUGGCAAGGCCUCCUGCCUGGGAGCCUCCUAACUACUCCUGGUCGUCGGCGUCCGUCACGUGGUAGUAGGCACCCUCGGGGUAGUAGUAGUCGUCAAAGGUGGCAUCUGGCUCCUGGACUCCACCAUGUGGUUGCAACAACCAAAAAGAAGAAAGAAGGGGGAAAAGGGGUAGCAAAGCAACCGUGAGUACUCAUCCAAAGUACUCGCAAGCAAGGAUCUACACUACAUAUGCAACAUUAUCAAAGGAAGGCUGUAUAUGUGGACUGGGCUACAGAAAUGCCAGAAUAGAGAGAAGGCCUAGUCCUAUCGAAGACUAGCAUCUUCUGGAAACCACCAUCUUGCAGCAAACAGGAGGGAGUAGAGUAGCAUAAAGUAAAGUAGUAGUAGUGUUAUCAACCUCGGCCAGAGAUCCUUUCUCGACUCCCUGCAAGAAAGCAAUCUCAGAGCCAUACUAUCCAAUUGUCAUCACAAUCCAAUUGUCAUCACAAGUAUCCAGUUCUAGUUGUAUCGAUCGGGAUACAACUCCGAGUGUCCGUUACCAUAGGACAGGCUAUCGAUAGAUGUUUUCUUCCCUGCAGGGGUGCACCAACUUACCCACCACGCUUGAUUAACUCCGGCCGGACACACUUUCCUGGGUCAUGCCCGACCUCGGCCAAACAAUACGCCGCAACCCGACCUAGACUUAAUAGAGAGGUUAGCACGCCGGACUAAACCUAUGCCCCCAGGGGUCAUGGGCCAUAUCCCCGAAAACUCCUGCAUGUUGCGUAUGCGGCCGGUGAGCAGACCUAGCUACCUCCUUAAAAGGGUAGGUGCUUACCAGUCCAACCCGGCGGGCGCCGCUCAGUCGCUGACGUCUAUUAAGCUUCGGCUGAUGUAUACGACGCAGAACGCCCAUACUAUGCCCACGUGAUGGUUAGUGCUAUUAGGCCAGAGGCCCCUCGGAUCAAAUAUCCAAAUCAUAGUGGAUUAGGAACGCGCGGUAACAAGCAGAGACUCACGAAAGAUGUGACCCCGUUGCCCCAUCUCGAGGACUCGCGGCAAGGGCUACGAAUGCCCGGCCAUGCCUCGUAAUUAUCUCACGGGAACCUUCCAGGUUAACCCGACUCCACAUCACUCGCAAUUAUGCUCGUGCGGGUACCCCUCAGGGUCGACCCGUCUUUAGUAACAUGGUUCAGUGUAAAGUCAUAGUAAUCAUAGUAACUGUGUGUCUAAACAUCAAGGGGAAAACCCGAGGAAUCACCCCCGAUGAAUUCCACUCGUUGUAAUCAUCAAGGUGAACGUAAGAGGAAUCACCCCCGAGGUUCACACUUGAGGGGUUGCACGACAAAGUCGUAUCAGAAGUGGUUAAGGCGGAAUCACCCUCGAUAACCACGACCGAAUAGCUACACUACAGGGUUAACAUCAGAAGUGCUGUAGAGGUCUCACCCUCGGCACUCGAUAGUAACCUAGCAGUGUCGAGCAACUAAGGGGAAAGUGAUGUGCGGUGCCGGGGCCUGGUCUUCGAUCCCGUUAAUCGGGUCUUCGAUGAUGAAGUAGGGGCAACAAGGACAAGGUGGGGGUCACUGAUGGAUCACUAACCAACCUAUACUAAGCAGUUUAUGAUAAGCAGGUAAGGUAGAACAACAGAUACAAAAGCAGGCUACGCAUCAGAAUAGGAGCAAUCAAUAACAGUAGCAAAAUCUAAUGCAAGCAUGAGAGAAUGGAAUGGGCGAUAUUGGGAUGAUCAAAGGGGGGGCUUGCCUGGUUGCUCUGGCAAGGAGGGGUCGUCGUCGAUGUAGUCGAUCACAGGGGCAGCAUCGGUCUUAGGGUCUAUCGGAGAGAAGAGGGAGGAGAAAUAGUAAAUAUAAAGCAAACAUAGCAUAACAGGACAACAGGCAGAGCUAGACGUGUUCUAACGCGGUGCUACACGAUACCGGCGAGGCGGGAAGUCAACCGGGAAUGUUUUCCCGGUUUCGGACCUGUGUUAGACAGAUGACCGGAGGGGGAAAGUUCCAUGUUCAGCAUGCUAGGGGCAUGUGACAGAUGAACGGACCGCGUAUUUGGAUUCGUCACGUUUUUCUAAGCCACUUUCAUGUAUAAAGCUUUUUGAUCCGAGCUACAAUUUAUUUUCUAUGAAUUUUUGAAGAUUAAAACAUUUUCUGGAAUUAUUUAAAUUAACAUAAAAGGUUAUUGCACCAGCAUGACGUCAGCAAAGCAUCAGCAGGUCAACCGCAGCUGUUCAGGUCAAACCUGGCAGCUGGGCCCCACUUGUCAUAGAGAGGGGGUUCAGAGCAUCGGGAAUAGAUCAUCUCUCUAACUAUGGCUCGUGACAACACACAAAGCCAAUCUAUAGGAAUAACUUUGGAAGCAGGGAUGUACAGGAGAGUCAAGGUUCGAUCCUGGGACCUGUGGGUUAUGGGCCCACCAUGUGGGUUAAAAGUAGGAAGGGCGCUAACAUCUUGCAUGGUCAUGAUAGCGAGGUAUGUCAAAGAAUAGCAUGCCUGUUAUGUUGGCAACAACGUUGGUACCAAGGGCGAGGGACAAAGAGAACCAUUUUCCUGCUCGUUGAACGAGGCAGACCAAUAGGCAAAGUUCUCGUCCAUCGAUGGUUACCGGAAUGUCAACAGCAAUAAUAACAAGGUCUUACUGACAAAUUGUACACCGAGGUGUUUUCAUAAGCAGGGAACUAUUACUGCUUAGAUCUCAUAAACCACAAGGAAGGUUAAACAAAACAAUGGAAAGAAAAGGUGAUCAUUAGAGCAAUCGACACAUUGGAAAGGAAAAAAAUGUGUUUACACACAGGAAUUAGGAGUAUAUCCUUCCCAAGGGGAAGCGUAGCAGGAUAUACAUGAUAUUACAGCAAGUUCAAAAGCAUUUAGAUAAAGGGGGCGAGGGGAUAAUCAUGAUAUUACCCUUACAACAGUGUUUGGAUAAUAGAUCAAGAAACAUUUGACAAUGUGCUUACAAUGUUCUUGUUGAUAUUCGGAAUACCUCAGUCAUGCUUUGAGGUAGCAUUAACAUGGUGUUACAAGUAGGGGUUGGAGUUGAAGAUCAUAAGAAAUACUCCAUGAACAAUUGCAGUAAUAGCAAGGAGUCCAAAGGUAUAACCAAGACAUGAUGAAACAUGUGUUGGAAAGAAGACAAGGGGGUUGUCAAUGAUAACUCAAAUCAUUGAAGGUCAAGGAUGGUAUUUCUCACCAUGAAAUUUAAUUGUCGUCUCAACGGAAGUCAAAAUGUUGAUGUUGAUCACGACACAUUUGUCAAGAGGUUCUAUGAAGAUGUCAUCGAGGACCGACAACAUCAAGCAACAGGAAGGAUGAAGCGAAAGGCUAUUGGAACCACGGAUACGACACAAGUUCAAAAUCAAGCUUGCUAUUCAAGGCGAAAAGGUAUGACGAGGAAGAUCGACAUAAGCUUAGCUCAUCGUCGAAAAUUGUGCUCUGGGAAGAAAGGACCAAGCAGGACAGUUAAAAUUUAGGACGAUAGUGGUAUAGCUGAUUAUGCUAGGAAUGACUUGAAGGAUUAAUAAACUCAUAAGCAACGAAGAUUAUAUAGAGUUGUUGAAUCGGAGUGCGGAAUUUAUUCACUUAUCAGUGUUCUCGGUUGACGACAACCUAGAACCCAGUAAAAUUGGACUCGGUGAGAAAUAAUAGUUGAUGAAGAACCGAUAAGAAGUUAUGCAGUUCCAUGAUAUUCUUGAGAUACCAGAGUGUAAUACUCGAUGAUAGAUCAACGUAAAGGUUGGACAGGUGCAAUUAAUCUGCAGAAGACAAGUACUUCAACUUGUCCGAGGAAUGGGAUCAAAGAAGAACAAUAUGGUCGAAACCACGUUCGCAAAAGACCAAAUCUCGGAUAUAAGAACUUAUACCAAGGGGACAUUUAAUUUUAAGAGAAGCUUCCAUGAAGAUCUACAUCGUUUCUAUGAGCAUGAACACAAAGUUCAAGGUCGACUCCCACUUCUUCAAUGCAUAACCUCUCAUUUACUUCUCGCUUUUGACAAAGUUGUAGUGUAGAACAUUUUAUCCGACGUAACACCAGUAGAGUAUGACCCAUAGAAAUUUUCGGGUUCACACUAAUUAGGGAAAGCAUUAGUUCAACCUGCCGGGGCAUCUUAGGAACAUUUGCAAAACUUUAGAGGUAAUUAACUCAAGUUCGGAAGCAGAGCAUGGUUGACAAAGUAGAGAAUACAAUUUACCAAAGGCAAUAUGUAUCACGGGAAGAGCGCACAAAAUUUUGAAUGUGAAGGAAACUGCCGGAUAAUAAUCCAACAAAGGAUUCAACGGUCCUCAAUGGAUCUGAUUUGAGUAUCAGUACUCAAUCAGAAGAAGGAAAGAAUGCAAAGGCAUUGGAUUAUAGAAACAUCUGAAUAAUUCGAUGCUUAAUGCAAAGAAAUUAUGAUUUCCAAAUUAGAAGAUCAGAAGCAGACACUCUGGUCAAAAGAUAAGUAAGUUGAAUAGAUAUAGAUCGACAAUCAACUAAGGUUUGGUUUGCCGAGAACCAACUCAUGUCUGGAGUGACGUCUGAGCCGAAAAGAUCAUUUAAAAGGAUCAACUGAUGAUUGCGUGCAUUCGCUCACAUGUUGAAUCAAUAGGAACAAAAUGACGGUGUCAAAUGAUACUAAUGAAUAUUGCUAGACAUAUGAGAAGCAUCCAUAAUGUAAGCAGACAAGUAAUUGUCGAGCAAUAGUUUGAAGAGGAUUCUCAGAAGAUCAAAUAGUAUAUCAGAGAAUCUUAUGAAGCAUACGAACAACUGAGGAUGAACAGAUACUCGAUAAGUGCGAGGAAUUAUCCAUAGGGGUAUUCAUGUGGUAAAGAACUGCAAGGCAGUAAGCUCAAGGGAUUCUCGGGGCAACAGAGAGUAUUUUAGGGCAUCUUGAAAAUAACAAGAGCAACAAGGAAUGAUUGUAUGAAUGACAAGUGUAUGUAGUUAGUCAUAGGGGCUUAUCGGUGGUAGGGAAUUUCAAAAGCGAUGGCACAAGUCUCGAGAGAACAUCGGAGAGUAACUUCGAAGUCUUCUGGUGAAGCACGCGAUCAUCUGGAAUGAAGGGGCUCUCCGGGUGGAAGUGGUUACGAGAUCCUAGAGUCAGAGUGAGCAAAAUCAUUUAACCCGAAUAAGGGAGAGAUCAGAAUCCCAAAGUAAAGAUGAGGAAUAAAAGAUCCUAACACCACCCAGUGGCUACGUGGGCCUGUAAGACACACAUCCAUGUUAGUAAAAGUUUUUCAGUGACUAGACUCAACUUCGGCCAAGGAGUUGGAAAGGGGGCUACCUAGAGGCAGUUGGUUCUGAUACCAACUUGUGACACCCUCGAUUCAAUCGUACACUAAUCAUGCACGCAAAUGUGUAUGGUCAAGAUCAAGGACUCACGAGAAGAUAUCACAACACAACUCUAGACACAAUUUAAAAUAAUACAAGCUUUAUAUUACAAGCCAGGGGCCUCGAGGGCUCGAAUACAUCAGCUCGAAUACAAAUGAGUCAGCAGAAGCAAUAAUAUCUGAGUACAGACAUGAGUUAAACAAGUAUGCCUUAAGAAGGCCAGCACAAAAGCAACAUCGAUUGAAAAGGCAAGGCCUCCUGCCUGGGAGCCUCCUAAUCCUGGUUGUCGGCGUCCGUCAUGUGGUAGUAGGCACCCUCGGGGUAGUAGUAGUCGUCAAAGGUGGCAUCUGGCUCCUGGACUCCACCAUCUAGUCGCAAAAACCAGAGAGAAGAAAGAAGGGGGAAAAGGGGUAGCAAAGCAACCGUGAGUACUCAUCCAAAGUACUCGCAAGCAAGGAUCUACACUACAUAUGCAACAUUAUCAGAGGAAGGUUGUAUAUGUGGACUGGGCUGCAGAAAUGCCAGAAUAGAGAGAAGGCCUAGUCCUAUCGAAGACUAGCAUCUUCUGGAAACCACCUUCUUGCAGCACACAGGAGGGAGUAGAGUAGCAUAAAGUAAAGUAGUAGUAGUGUUAUCAACCUCGGCCAGAGAUCCUUUCUCGACUCCCUGUGAGAAAGCAAUCUUAGAGCCAUACUAUCCAAUUGUCAUCACAAGUAUCCAGUUCUAGUUGUAUCGAUCGGGAUACAACUCCGAGUGUCCGUUAUCAUAGGAUAGGCUAUCGAUAGAUGUUUUCUUCCCAGCAAGGGUGCACCAACUUACCCACCACGCUUGAUUAACUCCGGCCGAACACACAUUCCUGGGUCAUGCCCGGCCUCGGCCAAACAAUACGCCGCAACCCGACCUAGACUUAAUAGAGAUAUCAGCACGCCAGACUAAACCUAUGCCCCCAGGGGUCAUGGGCCAUCUCCCCAAAAACUCCUGCAUGUUGCGUACGCGGCCGGUGAGCAGACCUAGCUACCUCCUUAAAAAAGGUAGGUGCUUACCAGUCCAACCCGGCGCACGCCGCUCAGUCGCUGACAUCUAUUAAGCUUUGGCUGAUGUAUAUGAUGCAGAACGCCCAUACUAUGCCCACGUGAUGGUUGGUGCUAUCAGGCCAGAGGCCCCUCGGAUCAAAUAUCCAAAUCGUAGUGGAUUAGGAACGCGCGGUAACAAGCAGAGACUCACGAAAGAUGUGACCCCGUUGCCCCGCCUCGAGGACUUGCCGCAAGGGCUAAGAAUGCCCGGCCACGCCUCGUAAUUAUCUCACGAGCACCUUCCAGGUUAACCCGACUCCACAUCACUCGCAAUUAUGCUCGCGCGGGUACCCCUCAGGGUCGACCCGUGUUUAGUAACAUGGUUCAGUGUAAAGUCAUAGUAAUCAUAGUAACUGUGUGUCUAAACAUCAAGGGGGAAACCCGAGGAAUCACCCCUGAUGAAUUCCACUCGAUGUAAUCAUCAAGGUGAACGUAAGAGGAAUCACCCCCGAGGUUCACACUUGAGGGGUUGCACGACAGAGUCAUAUCGGAAGUGGUUAAGACGGAAUCACCCUCAAUAACCACGACCAAAUAGCUAUACUACAGGGUUAACAUCAGAAGUGCUGUAGAGGUCUCACCAUCGGCACUCGAUAGUAACCUAGCAGUGUCGAGCAACUAAGGGGAAAGUGAUGUUCGGUGCCGGGGCCUGGUCUUCGAUCCUGUUAAUCGGGUCUUCGAUGAUGAAGCAAGGGCAACAAGGACAAGGUGGGGGUCACUGAUGGAUCACUAACCAACCUAUACUAAGCAGUUUAGGAUAAGCAGGUAAGGUACAACAACAAAAGCAGGCUAUGCAUCAGAAUAGGAGCAAUCAAUAACAGUAGCAAAAUCUAAUGCAAGCAUGAGAGAAUGGAAUGGGCGAUAUCGGGAUGAUCAAAGGGGGGGCUUGCCUGGUUGCUCUAGCAAGGAGGGGUCAUCGUCGACGUAGUCGAUCACAGGGGCAGCAUCGAUCUCGGGGUCUACCGGAGAGAAGAGGGGGGAGAAAUAGUAAAUAUAAAGCAAACAUAGCAUAACAGGACAACAGGCAGAGCUAGACGUGUUCUAACGCGGUGCUACACAAUACCGGCGAGGGGGAAAGUUAGUCGGGAAUGUUCUCCCAGUUUCGGACCUGUGUUAGACUGAUGACUGGAGGGGGAACGUUCCAUGUUCAGCAUGCUAGGGGCAUGUGAUAGAUGAACGGACUGUGUAUUCGGAUUCGUCACGUUUUUUUGAGCAACUUUCAUGUAUAAAGCUUUUUGAUCCGAGCUACGGCUUAUUUUCUAUGAAUUUUCAAAGAUUAAAACAUUUUUCGGAAUUAUUUAAAUUAACAUAAAAUGUUAUUGCACCAGCAUGACAUCAGCAAAGCGUCAGCAGGACAACCGCAGCUGUUCAGGUGAAACCUGGGAGCUGGGACCCACUUGUCAUGGAGAGUGGGUUAACUAACUAACUAACAGGGUUAAUAAACUAGGUGGGGCCCCAUGUCAGUGGCUAAUUAACCGAUUAGAUUAGGUUUUUAACUAAAACCAAGUUAAUUAACUUAACUAAACGGGACGGCCCACUAGUCAGUGGCUGCAGCGCCAAGUCAGCAUAGUUGACCGGGGUCAAGGGGUCAGCUGGGGCCCCUGGGACCCACCGGGCAGUGGCCCUGGGGGUGGCCCCCGGCCGGCCACGUCGGCAUGGCCGGCGUUCAGCCGUCGGCGACACAGAGAGGCAGCGGAGGCGCUCGGGAGGCUGGAUUUCGCCUACAGAGGGCCAAAACGGACGUGGCCGAUGCCGUUCGAACGAGAGCGGCGAGCCGCAGCUAACCGCGGUGGUGGCCGACCACGGGGCGUCCGGAAACGGCGUCGGCGUGGAUCACGGGCGGCGGUGGCCUUCGGUCGCUCGACGGAGAUGGUGCUUCGGGACACGGCUUGCCACGCGGAGCGGCUCCACGGGCAGCUGGUGCUCGCACGCAUCCAUUGCCGUAGUCCAUAGUAGCCGGGAGGCGAUGAGCUCAUCGGAGACGAGCUCACGGCGGCGGCCGGAGCACUGGCCCGGUGAGGACGGCGCCAGGGGGAGCGGGAGGAGUCGCGGGCGCGUGCGGUGGGUGCAGGCGGAGGUGGUGAGCACGACGGGGUGGUCGGCUGCGAGCUCCACGAGCCGUGGCCACGAUGGCGAGCAGCACCGCGGUGACGAACUCGGGCACGACGGGGAGGAGCAGCUACAGGGGGGCAGAAGAGAUGCGCGGCGAGAGGGGAAAGGAGUCGGAGCUCACCGGGAAGGCACAAGGAGGCCCAGCGACAACUUAGUAGCAGCAGGGGGGUGGCCGGAGUGGACGGCGACGGCGACCACCGAAGCGGAGGAAGGUGGCGAUCCAGCGAGGCAGAGGGGCUUCGAGGCCCGUGGCGUGGUUGCGGUCAUCGUGAUAAGCAGGUAAGGUACAACAACAAAAGCAGGCUAUGCAUCAGAAUAGGAGCAAUCAAUAACAGUAGAAAAAUCUAAUGCAAGCAUGAGAGAAUGGAAUGGGCGAUAUCGGGAUGAUCAAAGGGGGGGCUUGCCUGGUUGCUCUAGCAAGGAGGGGUCAUCGUCGACGUAGUCGAUCACAGGGGCAGCAUCGAUCUCGGGGUCUACCGGAGAGAAGAGGGGGGAGAAAUAGUAAAUAUAAAGCAAACAUAGCAUAACAGGACAACAGGCAGAGCUAGACGUGUUCUAACGCGGUGCUACACAAUACCGGCGAGGGGGAAAGUUAGUCGGGAAUGUUCUCCCAGUUUCGGACCUAUGUUAGACUGAUGACUGGAGGGGGAACGUUCCAUGUUCAGCAUGCUAGGGGCAUGUGAUAGAUGAACGGACUGUGUAUUCGGAUUCGUCACGUUUUUUUGAGCAACUUUCAUGUAUAAAGCUUUUUGAUCCGAGCUACGGCUUAUUUUCUAUGAAUUUUCAAAGAUUAAAACAUUUUUCGGAAUUAUUUAAAUUAACAUAAAAUGUUAUUGCACCAGCAUGACAUCAGCAAAGCGUCAGCAGGACAACCGCAGCUGUUCAGGUGAAACCUGGGAGCUGGGACCCACUUGUCAUGGAGAGUGGGUUAACUAACUAACUAACAGGGUUAAUAAACUAGGUGGGGCCCCAUGUCAGUGGCUAAUUAACCGAUUAGAUUAGGUUUUUAACUAAAACCGAGUUAAUUAACUUAACUAAACGGGACGGCCCACUAGUCAGUGGCUGCAGCGCCAAGUCAGCAUAGUUGACCGGGGUCAAGGGGUCAGCUGGGGCCCCUGGGACCCACCGGGCAGUGGCCCUGGGGGUGGCCCCCGUCCGGCCACGUCGGCACGACCGGCGUUCAGCCGUCGGCGACACAGAGAGGCAGCGGAGGCACUCGGGAGGCUGGAUUUCGCCUACAGAGGGCCAAAACGGACGUGGCCGAUGCCGUUCGAACGAGAGCGGCGAGCCGCAGCUAACCGCGGUGGUGGCCGACCACGGGGCGUCCGGAAACGGCGUCGGCGUGGAUCACGGGCGGCGGUAGCCUUCUGUCGCUCGACGGAGAUGGUGCUUCGGGACACGGCUUGCCACGCGGAGCGGCUCCACGGGCAGUUGGUGCUCGCACGCAUCCAUUGCCGUAGUCCAUAGUAGGCGGGAGGCAAUGAGCUCACGGCGGCGGCCGGAGCACUGGCCCGGCUAGGACGGCGCCAGGGGGAGCGGGAGGAGUCGCGGGCGCGUGCAGUGGGUGCAGGCGGAGGUGGUGAGCACGACGGGGUGGUCGGCUGCGAGCUCCACGAGCCGUGGCCACGAUGGCGAGCAGCACCGUGGCGACGAACUCGGGCACGACGGGGAGGAGCAGCUACAGGGGGGGGCAGAAGAGAUGCGCGGCGAGAGGGGAAAGGAGUCGGAGCUCACCGGGAAGGCACAAGGAGGCCCAUCGACAACUUAGUAGCAGCAGGGGGGUGACCGGAGUGGACGGCGACGGCAACCACCGAAGCGGAGGAAGGUGGCGAUCCAGNNNNNNNNNNNNNNNNNNNNNNNNNNNNNNNNNNNNNNNNNNNNNNNNNNNNNNNNNNNNNNNNNNNNNNNNNNNNNNNNNNNNNNNNNNNNNNNNNNNNNNNNNNNNNNNNNNNNNNNNNNNNNNNNNNNNNNNNNNNNNNNNNNNNNNNNNNNNNNNNNNNNNNNNNNNNNNNNNNNNNNNNNNNNNNNNNNNNNNNNNNNNNNNNNNNNNNNNNNNNNNNNNNNNNNNNNNNNNNNNNNNNNNNNNNNNNNNNNNNNNNNNNNNNNNNNNNNNNNNNNNNNNNNNNNNNNNNNNNNNNNNNNNNNNNNNNNNNNNNNNNNNNNNNNNNNNNNNNNNNNNNNNNNNNNNNNNNNNNNNNNNNNNNNNNNNNNNNNNNNNNNNNNNNNNNNNNNNNNNNNNNNNNNNNNNNNNNNNNNNNNNNNNNNNNNNNNNNNNNNNNNNNNNNNNNNNNNNNNNNNNNNNNNNNNNNNNNNNNNNNNNNNNNNNNNGGAGGGGGCGUGGGCCGGCCUAGUUGGGCUAGCUGGCUCGGGCGGGCCGAAGCCCAAGUGGGACAGGGGCCUUUUCCCUUUUAUUUAAACAGAGAAAGAAAGGAAGUUAAUUGGGCAUCCAAAUAUCUUAAGUAAAUUAUGGAACUGGGCCCAUAAAAUCCAAGGCAUUGUUAGUCAGUGCCACAAAUAGUUUGGAGGCCAGGGGAUGUCAUUUACAUUUUUCACAAUUAAAAUGACAUUAAAAAAUGUUGAAGUUGCAAUGAAAUAAUUGCUACUGUCCAUCUUAGCCCAAUGGUGAUGUUGUUUUCCUUAACAAAUACUCCCUCCAUUCGGAAUUACUCGUCCAAAAAAUUAAUUUAUCUAGAUGUAUUUUAGUUGUAGAUACAUCCAUUUUUAUCCAUUUUUAUGACAAGUAAUUCCGAACGGAGGGAGUAAUUGUUAUGGAAUUUUUGAUAAAUGAUGAACGUUUUUCCAGCAACUUUUGAGCAACUUCAAACUUCACUUGAAUUUGAUUUGACUGGAAUUUCAAAUGGGAUAUUGAACAAAGAUGAUUAAACACUAUUUGGAAAAAUGAUUAGUUUAAUCACACAGGGUUACUGUAGCAUGACACUGGGGGUGUUACAAAUCUCCUCCACUACAAGAAAUCUCGUCCCGAGAUUUAAGUGGGGAAGUAAAGAGUAACUCCGGGAGAACUGGCCCUUAUAGGGUUAAUUACCUGGUGAACAAUUCAGGGAAUGUGGCAGAAGUAUCUCUCGAGUUGAAACUUAAGAAAACAUCGAGAGCAAAAUAUGAAGGUACAAUAGGAAGUUUCAAACGAAUGGACAAACGAUCGAUACCUGAACAGAGUGUGAGAAGGGGGUUCAGAGCAUCGGGAAUAGAUCAUCUCUCUAAUGGUGGCUCGUGACAACACACAAAGCCAAUCUGUAGGAAUAACUUUGGAAGCAGGGAUGUACAGGAGAGUCAAGGUUCGAUCCUGGGACCUGUGGGUUAUGGGCCCACCAUGUGGGUUAAAAGUAGGAAGGGCGCUGACAUCUUGCAUGGUCAUGAUAGCGAGGCAUGUCAAAGAAUAGCAUGCCUGUUAUGUUGGCAACAACGUUGGUACCAAGGGCGAGGGACGAAGAGAACCAUUUUCCUGCUCGUUGAACGAGGCGGACCAAUAGGCAAAGUUCUCAUCCAUCGAUGGUUACCGGAAUGUCAACAACAAUAAUAACAAGGUCUUACUGACAAAUUGUACACCGAGGUGUUUUCAUAAGCAGGGAACUAUUACUGCUUAGAUAUCAUAAACCACAAGGAAGGUUAAACAAAACAAUGAAAAGAAAAGGUGGUCAUUAGAGCAAUCGACACAUUGGAAAGGAAAAAAAAUGUGUUUACACACAGGAAUUGGGAGUAUAUCCUUCCCAAGGGGAAGCGUAGUAGGAUAUACAUGAUAUUACAGCAAGUUCAAAAGCAUUUAGAUAAAGGGGGCGAGGGGAUAAUCAUGAUAUUACCCAUACAACGGUGAUUGGAUAAUAGAUCAAGAAACAUUCGACAAUGUGCUUACGAUGUUCUUGUUGAUAUUCAGAAUACCUCAGUCAUGCUUUGAGGUAGCAUUAACAUGGUGUUAGAAGUAGGGGUUGGAGUUGAAGAUCACAAGAAAUACUCCAUGAACAAUUGCAGUAAUAGCAAGGAGUCCAAAGGUAUAACCAAGACAUGAUCAAACAUGUGUUGGAAAGAAGACAAGGGGGUUGUCAAUGAUAACUCAAAUCAUUGAAGGUCAAGGAUGGUAUUUCUCACCAUGAAAUUAAAUUGUCGUCUCAACGGAAGUCAAAAUGUUGAUGUUGAUCACGACACAUUUGUCGAGAGGUUCUAUGAAGAUGCCAUCAAGGAGCGACAACAUCAAGCAACAGGAUGGAUGAAGCGAAAGGCUAUUGGAACCACGGAUAUGACACAAGUUCAAAAUCAAGCUUGCUGUUCAAGGCGAAAAGGUAUGACGAGGAAGAUCGACAUAAGCUUAGCUCAUCGUCGAAUAUUGUGCUCCGGGAAGAAAGGACCAAGCAGCAUAGUCAAAAUUUAGCACGAUAGUGGUAUAGCUGAUUAGGCUAGGAACGACUUGAAGGAUUAAUAAACUCAUAAGCAACGAAGAUUAUAUAGAGUUGUUGAAUCGGAGUGCGGAAUUGAUUCACUUAUCAGUGUUCUCGGUUGACGACAACCUAGAACCCAUGAAAAUUGGAAUCGGUGAGAAAUAACAGUUGAUGAAGAACCCAUAAGAAGUUAUGCAGUUCCAUGAUAUUCUUGAGAUACCAGAGUGUAAUACUCGACGGUAGAUCAAACUAAAGGUUGGACAGAUGCAAUGAUCUGCAAAAGACAAGUACUUCAACUUGUCCGAGGAAUGGGAUCAAAGAAGAACAAUAUGGUCGGAACCACGUUCGCAAAAGACCAAAUCCCGGAUAUAAGAACUUAUACCAAGGGGACAUUUAAUUUUAAGAGAAGCUUCCAUGAAGAUCUACAUCGUUUCUAUGAGCAUGAACACAAAGUUCAAGGUCGACUCCCACUUCUUCAAUGCAUAACCUCUCAUUUACUUCUCACUUUUGACAAAGUUGUAGUGUAGAAAAUUUUAUCCGACGUAACACCAGUAGAGUAUGACCCAUAGAAAUUUCCGGGUUCACACAAAUUAGGGAAAGCACUAGUUCAACCCGCCGGGGCAUCUUAGGAACAUUUGCAAAACUUUAGAGGUAAUUAACUCAAGUUCGGAAGAAGAGCAUGGUUGACAAAGCAGAGAAUACAAUUUACCAAAGGCAAUAUGUAUCAGGGGAAGAGCGCACAAAAUUUUCAAUAUGAAGGAAACUGCCGGAUAAUAAUCCAACAAAGGAUUCAACGGUCCUCAAUGGAUCUUAUUUGAGUAUCAGUACUCAAUCAGAAGAAGGAAAGAAUGCAAAGGCAUUGAAUUAUAGAAACAUCUGAAUAAUUCGAUGCUUAAUGCAAAGAAAUUAUGAUUUCCAAAUUAGAAGAUCAGAAGCCGACACUCUGAUCAAAAGACAAGUAAGUUGAAUAGAUAUAGAUCGACAAUCAAUUAAGGUUUGGUUUGCCGAGAACCAGCUCAUAUCUGGAGUGACGUCUGAGCCGAAAAGAUCAUUUAAAAGGAUCAACUAAUGAUUGCGCGCAUUCGCUCACAUGUUGAAUCAAUAGGAACAAAAUGACAGUGUCAAAUGAUACUAAUGAAUAUUGCUAGACAUAUGAGAAGCAUCCAUAAUGUAAGCAGACAAGUAAUUGUUAAGCAAUAGUUUGAAGAGGAUUCUCAGAAGAUCAAAUAGUAUAUCAGAGAAUCUUAUGAAGCAUACGAACAACUGGGGAUGAACAGAUACUCGAUAAGUGCGAGGAAUUAUCCAUAGGGGUAUUCAUGUGGUAAAGAACUGCAAGGCAGUAAGCUCAAGGGAUUCUCGGGGCAACAGAGAGUAUUUCAGGGCAUCUUGAAAAUAACAAGAGCAACAAGGAAUGAUUGUAUGAAUGACAAGUGUAUGUAGUUAGUCAUAGGGGCUUAUCGGUGGUAGGGAAUUUCAAAAGCGAUGACACAAGUCUCGAGAGAACAUCGGAGAGUAACUUCGAAGUCUUCUGGUGAAGCACGCAAUCAUCUGGAAUGAAGGGGCUCUCCGGGUGGAAGUGGUUACGAGAUCCUAGAGUCAGAGUGAGCAAAAUCAUUUAACCCGAAUAAGGGAGAGAUCAGAAUCCCAUAGUAAAGAUGAGGAAUAAAAGAUCCUAACACCACCCAAUGGUGACGUGAGCCCGUAAGACACACAGCCAUGUUAGUAAAAGUUUUUCAGUGACUAGACUUAACUUCGGCCAAGGAGUUGGAAAGGGGGCUACCUAGAGGCAGUCGGCGCUGAUACCAACUUGUGACGCCCUCGAUUCAAUCGUACACUAAUCAUGCACGCAAAUGUGUACGGUCAAGAUCAAGGACUCACGGGAAGAUAUCACAACACAACUCUAGACACAAUUUAAAAUAAUACAAGCUUUAUAUUACAAGCCAGGGGCCUCGAGGGCUCGAAUACAUCAGCUCGAAUACAAACGAGUCAGCGGAAGCAACAAUAUCUGAGUACAGACAUGAGUUAAACAAGUAUGCCUUAAGAAGGCUAGCACAAAAGCAACAUCAAUUGAAAAGGCAAGGCCUCCUGCCUGGGAGCCUCCUAACUACUCCUGGUCGUCGGCGUCCG
rnacentral:lncRNA from 1 species